rnacentral:lncRNA from 1 species
GGCAAGAAGCCCCGAGUACUGGGAAAACGCAGAGGAGUUUAUACCGGAGAGGUUCGAGGACGGCACGGCUACCUACAAGGGCUCGCGGUUCGAGUACUUGCCGUUCGGCACUGGAAGGAGGAAGUGCCCCGGCGAUACCUUUGGGCUGGCCACACUGGAGCUCGCGGUGACACGGCUCCUCUACUAUUUCGAUUGGAGCCUCCCUGCCGGAACACGGGUAGAUGAGCUCGACAUGGAAACAAGCGUGGGGAUAGCCACGAGGAGGAAGAACCAGCUGCACCUAGUGGCGACCCCUUAUAAGUGUGCUUGCUAGGCAAAUACUAUCUAUGUGCUCUCUUAUGUUCUUUUCCGUACACAAAAAAAAAUCACCGUGGAGUUUUUUUUCCCGAGAAAUAAUCACUGUCGAGUGUAUUUGUAAAUUAAGUUCAUAACCUCUUUAUGCGUGCACAUGGACGGGUGAAUAGCUCAUGUGUGAAGUUUUUGAUGCGAAUUGGAAAGAAUGAAACGUAGUUGCGAUGAUUUACAUGGCAAUAAUAGCCCCUAUACAAUGGGAAUGGUCAUCAACGGGGAACGCAGUUAAGUUAAAAACAGGGAGUCAAACUGAUAAGUGCAUCUGGUGGCGGUCCUCACUUGACAGUGCAUCGAGGUUAACGAUUUCCCGCCCGACUAGACCCGUGCUACUCCCCUGUUUCUGGUUGCUGCUCCCGUCUUCAUUCUCGUCGGCGGCGGCGACGGCGGCAGAGCUUACGUUCACGGUCUCGACGGCGUAUGUGGAAAGUGUAUUCGGCAUUCUAGAGUUGUUCCCCUAAGUCUUGAGUUAGAUCUAACCAAGUGAGCCUUUGUUUUCCACGGGAUCCAGAUUGUGGAGGCGGGUGGGGUGGGGGAGCGGUUGCGGCGUUGGGCUGAACGAGAUGGAGCCGCGAGAGACAACACCGACUAGGUAAUGAUCACCCUUUCUAACCUAUGCGAUGUGUGCCUAGUCUACUUCUGCUGCCUCACGGUGUCCGCCAUUGAUACACAUGGGCGAUGGUGCUCAGGUCUUCGAAUUCACUAUUGAAUUCUUUCCGUCUAAAGUGAAGCUAGUUGAUGGUAGUGUGCGAGACACACAGAGAGAUACAAUUGUGAAAUGAGAGGUUGAAUUUGCAGAAAUUGACCCAUAGAAAAUACAGAGAUGGAAGAGAGGGGCGUGAGGAAAUUUGAGGAGAAAGUUGGGGAGAGCAUUUUUUGGGUCCAGGGUAAGAGGUAUAAUUGUUACUGUUUGAUAANNNNNNNNNNNNNNNNNNNNNNNNNNNNNNNNNNNNNNNNNNNNNNNNNNNNNNNNNNNNNNNNNNNNNNNNNNNNNNNNNNNNNNNNNNNNNNNNNNNNAUUAGUUCAUUGAGUUUAGGAAAGGAUGCCAGUUUGGAACAGUUGGUGGAGCAUGGUGAAACGCGCUCAUUUGGAGUGGCUGAAACAGAAACGUACUCGAGAGCUACUCGUCUUCCUAAAAGCUCUAGCAAUGCAAGACCUGUCCUAAUGCAAUAAAUACCGGUGCUCUCGAACUCAAUCAGCACAGGUACAGGGCCAGGUGCUUCUCCAGCUCUUGGUACCGUCUCUUGUGCCCCACCUGUAUAGCUAGGGUUAAGUAACCCAUUCAGGAGAAGAUAAGAGAAACACCAUCUGGUAAGGUUGGAUCUAUAAAACAACGUUGGUUGACAGAGCUAUCUUGACAUUAUAGGUGGGGUCUUUGGAUAGCAGGUAUGCUGUGUCAGAGAGCAUUGGUGAGAUUAUCCAUCUUAUAACCCCCGUUAGACCGACAGAUGAUAGAUUCCCUUCCAAGCCAUUGAAACCUCGCUUUUCUUAUCUAAAUACAGGUGUUAGAAUACGUUUUUUGAUUGAAUAGGUUCUAUCUGCUUCCAAUCAUUAUCCAUGUGCUUGUGAAUUUAUUAGAAUCCAUUUCAGUAGGACAACAGGGCUCUCGCCUAGCUGAUUCUAAAGUGGAAGCAAUUCAGGUAUCAGCACAUACAGGUACUAAUUCACAUUUCUGUCGCUACCCCGUGGUAUUGGAGCUUGUAGUGAUAAGGAUUUUUAUAAUAGAUAGUUUGUUUUAUCCUUGAAGUAAGAGCACUGAGAAUAGCUUAGCUUUCCAGUCGAAAGAAAGCAUAGAGAACCAUCAAACAAAUACUGGAUGGAGAAUGCACUCUUCGUUGCCCAAAGGAAAGGGUGCAGGUCCAGUAAAUAUCGCCUUUAAAGGGCUAUGUCUAUAGACAGUUCUAACAGAGAACAUAGUAAGCGGAAGGAAUUAGUGCCUUGAUCGCCCUCUUGCUUUUUGUCAAUGGAUCAUGAACAUUUUCUAUUUGUUUUAUUGAUUCAUGCGAAAUGAAAUAUGAAUAUUCGAGUGCUUAGGUAGUAGUUGGCGCGUACUAUAGAUACGCGAAAGAGUACCUGUAUCCUUGCAGGAUUUGGUCCGAAGGUUUGAGUCAGUACGGUGAAGCAUUGAAGGAAUCGAAUGGAAAAAGAGCUUAAAAUAAGGGAUUUUUUAAGCUCUGUAAGUACUAACUAGAUGCGCAGGGCAUCAGAGGCUUACUCAAAUGGAACAUACGAAUCGAACCUUGCUUGACUCUCUUUUUCAUACUUGCCCUCGGGAUCAGUGGUAGAUUCAUAACGUUAUUACUCAUGGGUAGCAGAUGAUGGAUCCAUUUCUGUUGAAGCAGUGGAGUGAAGAGGAGGGUUGGGUCCUGCCUCACAACGAGCCCGGGUAGAUAGAUAGGUAGAUAGUAGAUAGCAGUCCGGAUAGUGAUAAAAUCUGAAAUAAUCUUCUUCUUGAUUGAAAGAAAGCCUGUGCCGGAAAUAGAGAGAGUUCUGCUCUUGGUUGACAUAGAUCGCUCUACUCUCGAAUUGACAUACAUAGAGUUGAAAACACACUCCUCACAAAUGAUCAUAGUUCACUACUAAUGAGCGAGUAACUACUAACGUUACGAGCAAAAAGACGAAUCUACUUGGUUCAUAUCAUAUGUUCCGCUCCGUUGACAGGUUCAUAUAUGUACCUGAUGUUCAUGGAAACAACAGGAUGAUAAUCCGUUGAUGGGAAACUCACUUUGCUAUGCUAGGAAACUGACUAAUGAAACUAACAAGUUCAAGUGCUCUAGUCAAGUAGUAAGCUCCAGUGGGAAGCGCUAGUCCAGAUAGAAAGAAUAGACAGGAGGAUUGCCAGGUUGGUCCGCACAGGUGCAUAUCUGUAGGUUUCAGCACGGGAUUCCAGAUCGUUGGUACCCGAUGUUCAGUUCAUGGGAAUGGGAAUGUAGGAAACUCUCUCUUCCGUCCGGAACAUAUAGAUAGAUUGAUUGCUGUAGCAGCAAGUCAACUAGAUCCAGUGAGGAAUGAGAACCUUUCCGGGGGCAAGGGGGGGGGCGAAGAUACUAGCUACUAUUACUAUUGGCUAUGGAUGUCCUAACACGAACGAAGUCUAUACGAGCAGAGGAAAGCGAAGCGUAUUGGUUGGUUCGGAUUUCAGAGUGCACUGGUUCUAUUCUAACUAGACUCGCAUCAUAAGUUUGCCUGCUUUCAAAUCCCGCGAAAGUACUACUGGCAGCUCCUAUAUGAGGUUGAUGCCACAAAGAUUAUCAUAUCUACAUGAAAGGAAAAUUCAUGGAAAGGAAAAUGAACGUGAUGCACACUAGAAAAGAUACCAAGCAAGAGGAUGUGCGCAACGUCGCGCUCGAAAGUCUUGUCUAUGAAAUCAAACCCUAGUUCCGUGAGGAGGAAGACUCUCUUCGGUCGAGGGAUGGAUGGACUAGUGCCGUAAGGAUGAGUGAUGCUAGAGGGAAGUAGAUCAAUAGGUGCCGCUUGCUUACUACAGUGACAAGGAAAUCAAACAAAGUAGUGGCCAGGCCAGUCUCAAGAAUGGGUGAGUCAAGUAAACUUGCCAGUAUGCCGGGAAGCCGGUAAUGCGAGGGUAUCUCCAGUCGAAAAGGAUGCCGGAUCCAACUAAUACGGCUAUGCUUGAGGAAGAAGAGUGCUCCUACUCCUACUUCAGCUUCUAAGAAUAGGCCCGGUGCUAACUCCACCUUCCGGACUGCCCUUCAUCGGCACGAAAGUAAGAUUGGACAUGAUAGACGGAAGCAGAAUCGAGGCAGUAUCAGUUUCCUGGUUUCGAGGAAGGAAAUGUCCGCGGGGCUCUCUUAUCUUCUUAAAGGAUGAGUGUGUAUACAACCAACCUAUAAUACGUAUUUUCGAGGUUCCUAUGCUAUGGUAUCCAGGUUCCCGCCAGGGAAGGGGAGGUUCCUAUGCUAUGGUAUCCAGGUUCCCGUGAGGGAAGGGAUAGGGUGCCGUGUUUUCCACAGAACAGUCUGGUGGAAUCCAGUGGUAUAUAGAAGCUCUGUGCCCUUCUCUUUCUCCUGCAGCAAUAUGAACUCAAAGGGAUCCUUUCCUACCCGGGACAACUUCAUAGCUCCUACCUUUACUCUUGAUUUGCGCAAGAGUGCUCGUCAGUGAUCUCCAUUCACAAAAGUGGAAAGGAAUGUUCCAUUGCCACGAACAAUAUGGGCUUUCUCAUGGAUUCCCCUUUUUCUUCUACACAUUGUACUAAUAUAAUUGGAUUGGGAAUUCGCAGGAAUGGGUAUUGAGAGGAGGAUCACCAUGGCCAAAACAUCUCUUGUCAGCGACAAACUCUAUGAUUUGCCAAUUCCAAUCGAUUUGCAUAUCAGCAAGCAGGGAUGAGCACAUCUGGAAACCUUGACUUCCUCUGGAUGCGGACCAAUAUAUGCACCGAACUCAGGUCGUGCUUCCAAAAUGUUCAAAAAAUUCUGAAUUUUUUUAACACACUGACACAACCAACAUAGGACGUCACAAAAUUGAAAAACGUAACUCGAAAAACAAAAAUGACAAACUCAACACUGAAUAGUACAUAACAUAACUUGGGCUUUAGAUUUGGCUCAUUAUCACACCGAUGUCAUAUUUUUCAUUUUUACAUCUCAAAAAAUAUUUUGAAUUUUUAUAUGAAAUUCUAUGACAUCAUACAUCGAUGUUGCAUUAACAUGCUAGUUUUUUUAUAGAUUUUUUUAAAAACUUUUUGUGGCAUCCGGUGGGUUCUGCGAGGUGGCUGAUGCGGGAACAGGCCCUGAAGCGAGUCCGCCCAAGUGCUCGGUCGUUUUCUGGCAGGACAGCUCGGUGGCAAUUUGGAAGUAAUUAGGGUACAUUUAUAUUUUCAAACGUUUUCUUUGGAGGGACUAGCCGGAAUCUAAGAUUCUAGGAGAAACCAGGUAUUUUUAUAGAUUCUGAAUUGCACUAGGAUUUUACAGAAUUCGGUCAAGAUUUAAAAAGUUCAAUCCAGUUCUUUUGAUUCCAGAUUUUCGGGGACCGUAUUCUUUAAAAUCUGCUCAAAAGAACUGGCCAUAUUCCAGAUUUUAUGACAUCAUACAUCGAUGUUGCGUUAACAUGCUAGUUUUUUUUAUAGAUUUUUUAAAAACAUUUUAUGUCAUCCGAUGCAUUGGUAGCACCAGAAGUGCGAGCCAGUUCUUUUCACCUGGGAUUCUACAGAAUCAAGAUUAUGGAAAAUUCUCCCAGAAUCUGCUUCUCUCAGAACCAGUCGGCGAGUUCUUUUUGAAGGUUGUAGUUUGAGAUUCUGGAAGUGUUGUGUGUUGAAAUGUCUAUACUACCCUUAGACCAAAGUUGUCUGAUGAAUUGUUAACACUUUAACGUCAACAUCAGCAAGCAUCUAACAAAUUCAAGCAUUAAUCCAUUUAUCUAUCUAUUUGAAACUACUCCCUCCGUCCAUAAAUAAGUGUACAUGUAGAUUAGUACUUAGUCAAACUUUUUAAAAUUUGAUCAACUUUAUAGAAAAUAGUAGCAACAUAUAUGGCAUGAAAAUGAUAUAUUUAGAAACCUCAUGUAAAGACAAAUCUAUUGAUACUAAUUUGAUGUCAUAAAUGUUAGCACUUUUUCAAUAAAGUUAUCAAAGUUUAACAAGUUUGACAGACAAAAAAAAAAUACACUUAUUACCGGACGGAGGGAGUACAUCAUCAUCAAGCAUUUAACAAGUUAAAGCAUUACAGAAUGAAGAACAGAUAAAUGGAAAAAGAGUGGCUCACCAUGAGCGUUGAGGUGCAACGACGGGAGGCCGUCGAGGUGCGCUGGGCGGACAGCGGGGCGGGGCGAAGGCAGCGAAGGAAACCUGGCAGGAGAGGGCAGCGACGACUGGAGCCGCGGGGGGAACCUGGACGACGCCGGGUGCGACGACUUGGCCGAGGACAGCAAGGUGGGUUCGACGGGGGAGAGGUGGGUUCCGCGAGGUGGCCGAUGCGGGAACAGGGCCUGAAGUGAGUCCGCCCGGGUGCUCGGUCGUUUUCUGGCAGGACAGUUCAGUGGCAAUUUGAAGUAAUUAGAAUACAUUUAUAUUUUCAAACGGUUUUUUUUGAAGGGACUAGCCAGAAUCUAAGAUUCCAUGAUUUAAAAAGGUCAAUCCAGUUCUUUUGGAUCAGGGUUUUGGGGGCCGUAUUCUUUAAAAUCUGCUCAAAAGAACUGGCCCAUACUCCCCCGGGCGUCCCUAGUCGACCACCUGCAUUUCCAAAAAAGAAAAAAAAAGAUGCUCGUACCAGAGCAUACUGCGAUCUCCACGAAACCCGUCCGGAUGUCGUCGUCGUAGCGAGGCGUCGGCAAACGGGACGUGGCGCGCGCGCAUCGCCGCCCCCACCCCACACGGGAUCCACCACCAUCCGUCCGUCCGUCCGUCCAUCCGCCUUUCAGACACAAAACAGAACGAAACCAUCCCGAUCGGUCGACCGAUCCAUCCAUCCACACCCUCCGUCCCUCUCCCACCCCACACCACUCCUCUCCUCGGGCAGCCCAGUCGUCGUCGUCGCGACCGAGGACCAGAGACGCGGGCGGGGAGCUCGAGGCGGAGGGACACCAUCAGCAUCAUCGGCAUCGGCGCCGGGUCAGGGGCCAGCAGCGAUGGGCUUCGUCUCCUUCGUCGGGAGGGUGCUGUUCGCGUCCGUCUUCCUCCUCUCCGCCUACCAAGAGUACGUCCACACCCGCACGUCCCUUCCCCCCGUCUCCCCCCCGCCAGAUCUCGUCUCCGGCCGCCUCCCGGGGACCGACGCGCCGCCCGCGUGCGGCCCCUGGCUCCUGCUUGUCGGUGCGACGNNNNNNNNNNNNNNNNNNNNNNNNNNNNNNNNNNNNNNNNNNNNNNNNNNNNNNNNNNNNNNNNNNNNNNNNNNNNNNNNNNNNNNNNNNNNNNNNNNNNNNNNNNNNNNNGACCCGCCGCGGCGAUUCGUAGAGGCAGAUACGCGCACGGGGAGCGCGUGAGGAGGGGUUUCGGAUCAGGCCAGCGGUCCAUUCCAUGCGGAUAGCGUAGCGGCUCGAAGCGCGCGGCUCCUUUGAGUCUGUGAGUGACGAACCCCAUCCGGUCCAGAUGCUUCCUCAGUCCAGCGUCUCCUCUUCCAGAACGCGCACUUUACCCGCCGCUCCUUCAUACUACGAGCUAGCUAGCUUCACUCCGCUGGCAGCUUUGGUUCGAUACCAAGGGCUACGAUGCAUUUGUAUGUCAAAUUUUCCAUGGUAGUACAACAAGUGUUGCGUUGCUCCUUGUGUUAGCCGAGUUAUUUCACCGAUGGCGCAUAGCUAGGUAGCCAUAGCUUCACCCUGCUGGGCCUUUUUAGGCCUUGUGCCGUUGCUUCUCAUUUAACCUCAUUUUACUGGUACCAGCAGAAUUGUUUCCAUAUCAAGGGCCAUGUCAUUGUUUGGAUUUCAUUUUUUAUCUGGUAGUAGUCGUAGUAGUACAGGAAGUGCUGUGUUGGUUCUUAUGCUAGUCCCGUUAUGCUUCUUAUUAGUUGGCUGCACAGGUCAAGUACCGCUCUCUAAUUUCCGAAUAUCUCCAUGCUUCCAAUGUACACCAUGCAGGUUCAGUGAAUUUGGGACCGAUGGAGGCCCAGCAGCAAAGUCUCUGAAGCCAAAGUUCAACCUCUUUGUGAAGCAGGCGUCUGCCAGCGUUGGGAUGGCUGUGCCACACAUUGAUGUAUGGAUAUUUUCUGGUUGCCUGCCCCGUUAUACAUCAUUGUUUUUGUUUUAAGGAUCCGUUCAACUAGUUCCUAGUUUGAUGUUUUUUUUUCCUGUUUACAGAUCAAGACUGUCAUCGCUUUGACAAUGUUUUUUAAAGCAUUUGGUGGUCUCCUUUUCCUCAUCAGUAGCUCCCUUGGAGCGGUCGUACUGGUGCGUACUCUUCUUCUGCAGGCACUAUAUCAAGAAUCAUCUUAUCGUAAGGGGGUAUCAAGAUGCAUACUGUUGCGUCUGCCAUUAAAUGUAGACUUGCAGCACCCUGUCUUUUCAAAUCAAACUAAUAAAAAGGAAGUACUGUUGGCAUGCCAUUUAGGUAGUUUUAAACGUUCUAGUGUGUCCAUUUCACUGGCUGUACAAUGCCAAAUCUGGCAUUGUUGCUGCUUCGAUGUUUGAUCUUCAUACAUUUUGCUUCUGCAAUAUCCUGUUGUAGCAUCUUGACAGUGGAAUGCUUUAACACUAACCUUCCUGAAAGAUUCCAGAUGUGGUGUCAGGUUAUUCUUAUUGUUUAACCACUUGAUAGGCUCAUGUCUGUUGAAUUUGUACAGCUGAUUUUCUGUAGCCAAAGUUAUGUGUUUAUGUUUAUAUUUAUUGUUUGCAUUGUUAUCUAUAUGUGACAGUGCAACAGUUCUUUGAGACAUUAAUCCAUGAUAACUGGGCAUAUCUGUUCAUAUGCUUAUAUAUAAAGAAACCAAAUAUAUAUUCUGUCUUCUUAUACGGAACCAAAUAUAUUUAAUCCAUGUUAAAAUGAUUGUGCAUUUAUUAUGUUAUAGUUUUGAGACAUUAAUCCAUGAUAACUGGGCAUAUCUGUUCAUAUGCUUAUAUAUAAAGAAACCAAAUAUAUAUUCUGUCUUCUUAUACGGAACAAAAUAUAUUUAAUCCAUGUUAAAAUGAUUGUGCAUUUAUUAUGUUAUAGUUUUGCCGUUGCUCUUUCUCCCCCUGUUACUUUUCUUUACUUCUUUUUUGGAACAUGGAAAUACUGAUGUAGCUCACUUGUGCAGCUUGUUUACUUGGCAUUCAUAACACCUGUCGUGUACGACUUCUACAACUACGAGGUCGAGUCACAGCAAUUCGUUAAGCUCUUCACCAUGUUUUCACAGGUUUGUCACACAGAAUCUCACUUGGCGAGAAGCUUCAGCUUUGAACCAUUCCAUCACUAUCUGUCACCAGAUGUUCUAACUCGGAUUCCCCCCCCUCUCUCUCUGCUCAGAACCUCGCUCUCUUCGGCGCGCUGCUCUUCUUCCUGGGAAUGAAGAACUCCAUCCCAAGGAGGCACUCCAAGAGAAGGGCCGCAAAGGCCAAGACAACCUGAAGCCAGGCAAGGGAUCGUGGUAGGAGGGAGGGGAAACUAUCAGUAUGGAAACUCGUCGUGUUUUACGUAUACUUUUGGAGCAGUACAUGUCCCGCUUUUUGCCCAUAGAAUCUGUGAGCUGGGGGCCUGCAGGAUUCGAUAUGUAGGAGUUUUAAGCCGUCUUGCUCAGUUCUGUUUUUCGGUUUUAUCGCGGUGGGUUCUAUGCCUUGGUUCUGUAGUCCUGUGUUUUGCUACAGAAAACUGCUUGUCUCCAUUCAGUAUCAGAGCAUACAUUCUUGACUGCUGUUUCGAGCCGUGCCCUUCUCGAUCCCUAAAUGCAGAGAUGUUUUUUUUAUUUGCGGGAAAAAAAAUGCACAGAUGUUGUGCGUUCUACUCCCUUCGUUCCUAAACAUAAGACCUUUUAAAGAUUGUACUAUAAACUACAUACGGAUGUAUAUAGACAUAUUUUAGAGUAUAGAUUCACUCAUUUUGCUCCGUAUGUAGUCUCCUAGUGAAAUCCCUAAAAUGCCUUAUAUUUUGGAAUGGAGGGAGUAAUAAUUUCUUAUUAUUAGUCAAGAUAAACUUGAUAAGUAGAUGCAUUCAUCAAGGCAAAUUUAGUGAUUUCUGUACGUGGUUGAUCCAUUCCACAGGAUUUUGGUUCGUGUUUGGAGUUUGGACCCAAAAUUUCAUGUGAAUGUUGAGGUAGAGAUAAGUGGUUAAACAAAUGGUAAGAUAAAUACUACUCCCUCCGUUUUUAAAUUUAAGUCUUUCAGAGGUUUCGGGGACUACAUGCAGAUGUAUAUAGACAUGCUUUAGAGUGUAGAUUCAUUUAUUUUGCUCCGUAUCUAGUUCUCUAGUAAAAUCUUUAAAAUGACUUAUAUUUAGAAACGGAGUGAGUAGUCGAUUACAUAAGCUGGGUUAUCAUAAUCUACCACAAUACCAACUCAGGCAAGGCCUGUGCAUGGCGUUAUUCCUCAUACAUAUAUACGGAGUAGUUCUAUGCAUAUGGCAUAACAAACUACUUAAAACUGUUUCCGGCCCAGAAGUAAACAGAGCAUCCAAAACGAAAGAGCAGCACACCAAGCACCCAACACAAUUGCUGCGGCGACUCGACUCGACUCCAAGAUGGCGACGUUCUACUUACAAACUACUCGAAUUUUACAAGGCCGGCACCGGCACAUGUUGUAUCCUGUGCUAUGAUGAUCCAAGCAAAUUCAAAUAGCCGAGAAAAUCGGGCCGAAUUUGGAUUCAAACCGAGCGUCCAACCCAACGCAAUUACAGGAGGAUAGCAAAGGGAAAACCACUUCCGAUAACCAGAUCCGUUGGAUGCCGAUCGGACGGCCGAGUCACCUCCUCCCUCCCCCCUAACCCGCGGCUGGGGAGCACAGCCAAGCCCCCGCUCCGCCGCGAAGAGCCGCCGCCUUCCACUCCGGCGCCCCCCUCCGGCGCGACCUCCAGCCUCCGACGACGACCAGAUGGUGAGCUCCCCUAGCCCCCCCCCNUCCCUCCUUCCCCCUCCGGGCCGCCCGAAUCCGGCGGGCUCGGUUCGCCCCGGGGAGUAAACCCCUGCCGAGAAACCCUAGCGAGUUGCUGCUCACGUUUGUGGUUCUGUGACUUCCGCAGGACUACCUCAAGACGGUGGUGCCGUCGCAGCUCUUGGCCGAGCGCGGCUCCAGCCUCGUCGUCAUCAACCCAGGUGCGCCCCGCCGGAGCGAAUCCCCCAAUCCCCCGCCUGUCCUCUAGAUACGCGCUUUCCUUCCCCUGUUUGUUCCGACGAUUCACGCCUGCUGGAGUCCAAACUGGGUGUAAAAAACAACGUGUUUAGUGUAGUUCGAGCUGAUUUCGCGAGGCUCAAGCCCCCGGCGAAGAUGCAUAGUGUGAAUCAGAAGGUCGAUCUUGUGCGAUGCUACCCGUUGAAAUUCUAGAAGUGAGAUGAAUAUGUGUGAAGCAGGAAUGUCGUCUUCUUAUAUGCCGGUAAUUUUUGCCUUGAGACAUGGUGGUUGUCACCUGACCGAGGACCCUUCCUUUUCGCAGGCUCCAUGAACGUGCGCAUGGGGUUCGCUAGUCAGGACGUGCCGUUCAAUAUACCGCACUGCAUUGCCCGGCACAAGAACGACGCGCCGAAGCUGUCGGUGCGAGACCAGGUGAUGCGAAUGCAGGGGUGGUCCCCCCCCCCCUCCCUCCCCCUCUGCUGGUCCUGUACCUGCAUUGGAACAUCGUUGGCGUAAUCUUCAGUGUAUGACUGUCGUUUUGGUUUGCAGAGGCUCAACUGCCGUGCUGGGUCGACGCACAAUGCAGAGCGGGAGCGGGCGUAUGGUAUUGUAAGAAUCUACUUCUCGCAAUUACUUUGGAUCAUGUGCGCGGCUCGAACUAAUCAGGACUGAGUCUUGCAGAUUGCUUCAAUGCUCAAAAUCCCAUUUUUGGGUGAAGUAUCGCCUUCAGAGAACCAACCAUUACCUCCUAAGGUACUGUGCACAGUCUAUGUGAUGAAUACUUUGCAUACCUGUUUUUGCGACAGUAGGAUAUAUUGCAUUUUGCCAUCCGGGUUAAUCUUUUUAUAUAUUAAUUGGGAAAAGUAUCACCCCAGAUGUAGGCUUUGUCUACUUGAAUUUGAAUAGCGAUGUCCAACUAGUUUAGAGUGUGGGCAAUUUAUUUAUCUUUUCUUACACAUCGAUUACUUAUCAAUAGUUAUUCUUAUGCUUCUCGGGGAGGUGUUUGCUCCAUCUUAUCUGGUUGCACACUGCUAUACUUGGGCAGUUAAAAGGAGAACUAGCUACUUAGAGCAAUUUACCAACAAAACAGUGGCCAUGUGCCACAUCUCACUAAAUUAGUUCUAUUUUUAGAAUGUGAAAAAUGUUUUGUCAGACCGUAAUUAGUUGAUCUGCAGUAUGCUGCACCAUGAUAAUAUUAUGAUAACGAUCCAGUUCACUACGGGACAUACAGCAAGUGGGAGGAAGGGAACUUUGGGACUUGUUUGCCCUAUAGUUUAAGCUUAUUUGAUAAGCUUGUGGCAUUGAGGCUUAUAAGCCGAGUUUACCUAGGAUUUAGGGCUUAAACUAUCAUGAAGUUUGUUGUCAUUAUAGUUUAUAAGUUCAACAUACUACAGUAUGUGGUAAACCUAGCUCAUCCAGCCUCUUCCAAAUUUAUAGAAUUAUGUUUGAAUUACCUAUUGCCUAAGUUUGGAAAUUGUUGCUAUUUCUUGCAAUCUUACAAAUCCUUAUUGAAACAAGUACGCCUGUUUGAUGUGUGCAAUAUAGACAAUGUUCAGGAUAUCGGUAACUGGUACCAUAUCGUCCAGGUGCUGCGUAAGGAUAAAUAGGCGAAUUUUCCAGUUAAUCAGCGAUAAAUCAGUUAAUCAGCUAUUCGGUGACCCACCGAGUAGCGAUAAACUGACCGAGAUGCUGAUUAACUGGCUGAUAUUUGGGAUAAUGAUGUAUUAUAUGAUUUUGCAUCAAUUUCCUUUUGUUUAGAAAGGUCAAAUCAUGGCCUCUGUUUGCUGAUGGGGUUAUAUUGACCACUUCAGAUGGGACGUCUUGAUGGUCUUUCUUCACAGCAAAACAAAGAUGAUAGUAUACUCACAUGGACAGAUGUGAUGGACAAAAGCAUCAAAACAUCCAUGUCAAUUGGUACUUUCUGAUCUUUUACUGAAGUGUACCUUCUUAUUUCCCCCCUUGUCCACUUUGGAGUCUUCUAUUGUUAAUAAAAAGGUUACAGGGUACUUAUGUUUUGGAUACAUUUUUUUUUUGUAGAAGGAAACUGUGUUUGUUUUUUGGUGUGACUUAUAUGUAGCACCUGCCCUCAGUGAGUUGUGGCCUGUGUCACUCAUAUGCAUUGUUGUGAUUGAUUUUGUACCACAUCAGAUUUCUCAUGCGUUUGGACUGCAUAUAUACAAAAAAGGAACGAUCUAGUAAAUCCACAUUAACCUAUUUCUGCGAAUCAUGGAUAAAAGCCUAAGUGAGUUGUUAUGUUUGUCUGUGCUUAUGUGGUGUUGGCGCUUUAGUCUAGACCUUGGAUGUUACAUUAUGACACAAUGAUUUUUUUUGUUUUGUGUGCUGGAGCUAGCUAGCUCUGAAGUUUCGAGGACUGAAAUUCUUAUGUUAGGUUAGCUGUUGCUUUGGUACGAGAUCCACAUAUUUUUUGUCCCGUCUCUUCUUACAUAUGGCAUGUAUCCAUCAGAACGAGAUCUCAUCAAUCACCAUGUUUUGUCUAGCUGCUUUAGAUUGUUCGAUGGGGCAUCAUACUAUUUUAAUUUUUUAAUGGAGUAGUUAUAUCAUGGAUUAUUUUCUCACUGCUUGCUCCUAUAAUCAGAGUUACUUAGUUAUGCUCUGUUCUUUCGGUUAUUAAGUAUUAACAGUAGAUUCAAAGAGCAGUUCUGUACCGCAUUAAAGUGUCAUAUAUUUCGGAGCAUUUUAUAGUAUCAAAAUAUUGACAACCCCUCAAAUUGGCCAGAAAGGUCAGUAAACAGUGACGCCGAUGAAGAUCCUUCACAAAGCACACCCGAUGAUGGUAACAAGCCCAACUCUGAAGAAAACAAGUAUAAGGAAAUGAUAUUUGGAGAGGAUGCUUUGAAGAUCCCUCCUUCUGCACCAUACUGUUUGGGUCGCCCGAUCAGGAGAGGCCAUUUUAAUAUUUCUCAGAAUUAUUCGUUACAUCAGGUAUGCCUCUAGAUUCCAUAUGAUCCUUAUCUUAAAAGAAUCAGCUAGUUAUAGUAAUAAGUGCCGUAACUAAAACCACUACACUUAUUAUGGAUCGGAGGGACUAUUAAACAACUUUGCCCUUUAAAUGGGAAGUUCAGUUUGAGUUCAUUGUCUGAGACUUUCCAUUGUUACACUGUCAGUUCUAUAAAUAUCUAGUAGGGGUGUAUUGUUUUGGCUCCACUGUAAUCAGUAUGGGGAAUGGUAUUUCUUGUAGCAUUGUUUUAUCAAGGGAAAAAUGUUUUGAAUCAGAUUUGUGACAGGAUUUUGGUCAAUCCGGUUGCAAAUAUGUACUGAAAUUUAUGGAAAACAGUAGUUGAGAGGUCUACUGAAAUGUACUGAAGAAGGCAAAUUCUGCCUAUUUCUUUGCGUGCAAAUUUUCCAUCACCCAAUCCUAAACAGAUCUUCAUGAAAAAGCUUCCGCUGCACCCUGCAUUGUCUAAAGGCACCAUAUUUACACGAAAGGGUUUACCUAAUUUUGCACCUACUUCACUGGUAAAACAUAAAAUUGAGCAGUUUAUUCUGCCGGUAAGGCAGUUAUUAAGUUUUAAAUAUAAAGUCUUGUGGUAUAAUAUUUUAGAGUAUCUAUAUUAGCUAAUGGAAUUGAACCAUGAAGUCCUUAUACUAACAACUGUGGAGCUUGGGUUCAAAGUUAAGAACUAAAAUUGUUCCAUAUUACUUGUUAUUCUUUGCCUUUAUAGUUUAUUUAUUUUACUGCAUUUGUUUGCUGCCACUGACGAACCAUAAAGAAAGACUAGGAAUUAGGUCAUGAGUUGUAAUCCUGGCCUACAUAUUAGAAAAUUUACAUUGAAAACACAGCUGGAUUGUUUUUUCUUGGUUGAAAUUGAUGGUAUCUGGCGCAGAAAGUGUUGGAGAAGAGAUGAUGCACAUGAUAACCCUGUGUUUCUAACUGGUUACCAAACCUAUGUGCGUCCAUAUUAUUUUUCCUUAUAUAUAGCAUCAUAAUGGUAGAUGAUUAGGAAAAACAAACAUUGGCCGUUGCAGGUUUUAGAAGAUUUACGAACUAUUUGGAAUUGGAUGCUGAUAGAGAAGUUGCACAUCAACCCAAAGGACAGACAUCUGUAUUCUGCAAUUCUUGUUCUUGGGGAAACAUUUGACAACCGAGGUAUUUCUCUUUUCAUGUAAUACUGCCUGUGAUGUGUAGACGUAUGUCAUGUAGUGCUGCUCAUAUGCGCCGCCGCAAGGCUGAGUAUCCUUUAGGGCUGGUGACAUGAUCCUCAGGUGGAGCAGGAUAUCCUUAGUAAUAAUUAGGUAGUUAGUUCUUAAGUUUGUUCACUUGCCUUAUCCUUGAAAUUUGCUCAAGCUUUCCUCAUCUCCGAAACCUAUAUAUAAGGGAGGCUGCCAUUGUAAUCUCAAGAAACCAUCAUAUUGAAGGACAUUAAUCCAAUCCCAUGGCUGGCCGAUUGUCAUCUUGGCAUGGUAAUUUACACUGAUGUGGAAAAAAGAUCACCUCGUUUUGCUUUACCUUCAAUUUGGAUGUCAACGCUGUAGUUAUCCCACAUAUACAACAGCAAUGAAUACCUUUCACUAUUAUUUUCCCUAAAUUACACGGUACUAAACAGCAGUUGCAGGAAGAAAAAUGCAGAAAUACAUCGUGUAUGUGAAGAUCACAGUUUCCAGCAUUUGACUAGGUGUCAAUGCCAUGUUUUCUGCCAAUACUGAUAUUUAUGUGUAAUUCCUUUUUUCUGAACUCCUAACAACUCAAAUCUGUUCAUUCAACACGAAUUUCAAAUGCUGGGCAGAACACACUUUCCUAGCAACGAGCGAAAUCCACACCGUUAGUUCUUCAAUAGAUUCUUUCAUGAAAUCCAUGACCCAUUACUCCGUUAGUUUAAUAGCCUUGAAUUGAUGAUUCAUAUAGGAAAUCUUGAGUACAUACUGUUUGCUUUAUCUUUUUUCAACACCUUCUACAGUUCUAGUGCAAAGUGUAUGUUCCACUGCAUAAGGAAGUUUUCUUAUUUUUUGAAGUUGUGAUUUUUUUAAUAUAUCCAUCCAUCAGAAAUGAAAGAGAUGCUGUCCAUUGUACUUUGCGAUUUGGGAUUUAGCACUGCAGUGGUACAUCAGGUUCGUCCCCAAUCGUCCAUUUAGCAUUUACUUCCUAUUAAGUUUUGAAUGCACGAUUUGUUUCUCCAUUUGCAAUUGCUAAGCAAAGUAAUUGGACCGUUCAUCCCAAAAUGGAACAUCUUUCCAGCAUACUGGGAUAGUUUCCUCAAUUCUGAGACUGUUGUACUAUGCUAAAUUGCUAACCACUAAGAAGUUGUAUUUACCGAGUGGAGUGCGAUCUGGCAUUAGUACAUGAUGCGGUCGCCUUUAAGGAAUUGCUCUGAUGAAGUAAUUUUACUCGUGCGUCGAUGUCUAUAUUCUUUUUCUUUUUACAUAACUACAUAAUGCUGGCAAGGGGGAGCCCUUCAUCGACAUGGGCCAAUCCAUCACUGUAGAGUGCCAGAACUGUGUGGCCGUGUAGGGUCGCCACUGUAGUGAUGCCAUGUCGAUGCAGUCGUGCCGUCGUGGAUGACGCGGUCGAUGUCGUCGUCGUGGCGCGGUCAUUGCCGCCGUCGGGGUCGCGCCUUGCAGAAAAAUCUGUUAGAGGACGCUAGGUGUCCAUCUUGUGGACGAGGGGUGGCGGCGUGUUGACGAAGAUGUUGAUGAAGACCUUGGCAAUGAAGCGUCGGCGAUGGCGUCGUAGCAGCGUGUCGACGAUAAUGUGCCGCUUGAAGGCGUCCCUUGCGGCGACCAAGUGUCGAUGCGGUGUCGCGUCGGAGAAGUCGAUGAAGAAUUGCAUCACUUUUCACACCGGCCUGACGUGUGGAUGAUGCGUGUUGAUGUGGCUUCUCAAAGAUAUGCUCGACAAAGAUUUUUUUUUCCAAACCAUGUAGUCGUACAGCUCAAUGUCGUGGUGCAGGGUCGGUGUAGAUCGCUCGUCUUGAUGCAGAUGCUACGGAGGACCGUUUGGCCGCGGGUACCGCUCCUGCGUCACCCAUCAAUGCGCGUCAGGAGAAGGCACUUGUGGGAGUCCAAGUCUUGCUGCAUGCAUCUCCUCGUAGGAGAUUGAUUCAUAUGGCCAUGUGCAUGAUGCCUAGAUGGAUACGUUAUCAUGCAUGGGCGUACCUACGCAUGGCUGGAUGAAGGCUCUGCUGGUCGCUUCACAGGAUGUUGUGGCGUUGAUGCAGAUCCGAUGGCAUCCCUGUUGGAGAAGCCGACGGCUACCCUUCUGGAACGCGCUCGCUCGAUGCCUGCUGGUGCGCGACGUACGAUGCCAGCUGAUUGGCGUUGUAGCAUCUCGUCCCCUGGUGAGGCCGUUUGGUUCGACGAUGAACGUCAUGUCCAUUGGCUGGAACGUUGUAGCAUCUCGUCUCUGACGAGGCCGUUGCUUCGAUGAUGAACGUCAUGUCCAGCAGUUUGAAAUCUAUCUGUAAGUGGAUGCAAUCUGGUUGCAUGGGGCUCGCCGCGUACCGGCCGUGGAGUUCCCGGAGACCAUACCUACACCGGCUCGCGUUGAACAGAUUGCUUGGAGGAGCGGCUGCUGCUUGAUGAGCGCGCGUGCCUGGAGGUCGUGUGGGUCGAUGGAGCCGGGUCGUGUAGGCGUGCAGAUGGAGUCUGUGUCGGCCGGGAGAUCCGCGUGCGCGAGUCCGCCCUCCCGUGAUCGGGACACAUGGUCUUCGCUGCUGUUGCCUUGUCCCCGAUGCAAUUUGCAUCGCCUUCACCACAUAAGCCGGGUUGACUGCACGCCGUCAAGGUGGAUUUGCACCGAUUCUCACCGGAUUGAUAGAAGGUCGUGGAGAUCUAGGAAUUUAUAUGUGUGGCUAAAGAAAAGAAAAUUGAUCUAAUGGAAGUUUCGAAAUUUUGGUCUAAUCUAAGGAAGUAUGUAAGCUAGAGGAACCGAUCUAAUCUUUGAUUGAUCCGGUGCCGCGCCCCCGGGGAGAGAAGAUUAAUCUCCCCGGGGGCGGCACGCUGUGGAAGUGGUAGAGGAACCUAGGAUCGGCGUCGUGAGACUAACCGCUCUGAUACCAUGUGGAAAAAUAUAGGAUGGCUGAAUAUUGUUUUGUUGUGUGUUGUAUUGAUCUAACCCUUGUAAGGGUAUAUAUAGGAGUACAUGAGGGGUAGAGGCUUGGAGUACAAGACAAGUUACAUGUGGUUUAAACUAAUUCUAUCUCUAUCUCUUUAUCUCUAACUUAAACCCAAUUAUACUUCUAACAAAGAGUAAAGAGAAACGGCCAUGCUACAACUUGACACUGCUUGCCCGGUGUCAACUAUUCUGGAUUAACACCAUUCAUGAAACCAUUUUGGCAUUCCAUAUUUUGUUAGCAGCUUGGUACCUUAAAUCAGGUACUCAUGAAACCAUUCAUGCUAUUGGGUUAAUACUAAUAUUUUGCACCUAAAGGCUGGAUUUUAACUUUCAUGUUUUAAAUUUGGUGUGCUGUACACUUGGAGUUGGCCCAUUUCUGGAGUUGUUCUCAUGCUGGUUGCCUGUUUCUAAUUUUAGCUUAUCUCUACUAAUAUACUACUAUAGUACCAUUUGACAGUUAAGUUUAAUGUAAUAUUACUAAUGAGAAACUAGAACUUGAUACCUUCAUUUUGGUUGAUAUAGUCCACUUUUCAGACUCUUAGACUUUUUUUUAAUCUAGAAUACCUUUCCAGACUAUUGACUUGUAGAGACAUAACCAAGCUCUUGUAUUUGAUGAUUCACAAAUUGAAACAUGAAGAAAAUUGAGCUUCCUUAUUUACUCUGCUUAUGUUAAUAUUUAAUUAGGAAGCUCUAGCAGCGGCAUUUGGGAAUGGGUUGUCGACAGCUUGUGUGGUCAACAUUGGUGCUCAAGUUACACAAGUAGUUUGUGUUGAGGUAAUAACCAUAGUACUUCUAUAUUUCUUUCAAACCACUAAGAAAUUUAGAUAUUAUCAUAUUAAUGUAUGAUCUACCCUAAAUGUUUCCAGGAUGGAGUAGCUUUACCCCACACAGCUUUGGCGCUCCCAUAUGGUGGAGAUGUAUGUUCUCAACUGUUCUCUUUAACGUAGACAAAUAUAUUUCUGUUACUUGAGCAAUCUGUUGUUCAUGGUCAUUACAUCUGUAUAAUUUCGUUUCAUGGUAGAAAUCUGCUAUUCUAUUUUUUCAAGUUAUUAUCUACUAUCAUGCACCCAGUCCAUUUUUCUCUGUCAGAACAACAAAUCUUUGUUAGGUUUCGUCUCAUGUGACUGUUGUGUACAAACUUUAUGUCAUGCCACUUUUUUCCCGAUCGGAAGAUAUGCAUAUUUUAGUUCUUUCAUCAUGUUCUUAGUAUAAUAGUAUCAUCUUACAAAUACGAGCAACAAUCUAUUCCUUUCGAGUAGUUUCUCAGUUGAGAUUUGGCUGUACUUUGGUUUUGAAAAAUUAUGCCACUGACAUUGCAAAGGUACGGAGAGUAUCAUGACAACCAGAACUCGUUGGCAGUGCACUUGGCACAACAAGUCGUUUAUGGGGGGCCUGAAUCCUUAAGUGGCAAUGAGAGGGAGGGAAGGCCCCGAGAGUAUAUGAGCGUGGGUGGGUGUCAGGGGUAGAUUUGGCUUUAAUAUGAGAAGUGGCUGAACCAUUACAUUGACAAUAUUUCCGAUGUUUUUUGGGACUUUCUGAUGACACUGAUUUUCUAAGGGCAACCUCAAUGGAAUAUUUCUGUUAAUAUCAGUCAUUGUGAUGUCACCUUAGUUAUAACAUGAUUGCUGGGUGGUAUUGUCGUCAGUUGUCAAGUGCUCUUUUUACGGAGGAUCUCCCUCGAGGCUACAGGAUAGAUAGUCUGAUGAUCAUAUUCCCACUUUACUUUGUAUAAUUGCAUGACUUGCUUUUAUGGUUUUUGAACGUCAAUUGCUUGUGAUCUAUAUUAUUAUUUGAGAGUGGAUUUUUAGCUCCCGGGUGCCUAGGCACCCUCUAUGAACAGUAAAAUCGAAAAAAUAGAAAUCAAAAUCAAAAAAUUCUGAAACUUUGCAGCAUCAAUGAUGAUGAAACUUUGUAGGUGUUUGCAAAUUUUCAUGCCAAAAAACUAUUCGUGGAGCUCUACACACGAAAAAGAUUUCAGUGCUUGAAGUUUUGAGCACUUUUAGCAUCAAAAUCUGAAACUUGUUUGUACAUAUUUCUCUACAAGAUAUUUUGGCAUGAUAAUUUGCAAAAAUGUACAAAGUUUGAUCAUCUUUGAUGCUGCAAAGUUUCAGAUUUUUUUAUUUAUUUUGUUUUCUAUUUCUUUUGAUUUUACUGUUCAUAGAAGGUGCCUAGGCACCUGGGUGCUGUCACACCUUUCUCUUAUUAUUUUUAUUAUGUUUCCUUUUGUUACAUCCUUUGCUAUUUUCAUUUUCUUUUGUAGGACAUAUCCAGAUGCCUACUUUGGGUUCAACAACGUCAUCGCACAUGGCCAAAUUUUAAAACCGAUCCCAUGAAGAAGCCUAUAGAUAUGCUAAUGCUGAACAAGAUAAAAGAGGGAUAUAGCCAAAUAAGGGUAAGUGGCUUACUCUAAGCUUUACUAAAUCUUGAUAGCUCGUAUCUGUAAAGGAUUUGAUUGUUGGACAGUCUGCUUAUGUUUUAUUUUGAAAGUUUCCCUGUGGAAAGAAAGAUUUGUGUCGUCCGCGCAAAGAUCAUUAUAGCACUGUUGUACAUUGAUUAAUUUCACCUGAAACUGUAUACAAAGAGGAUAAAUUGCAAUAACAUAUGCAUCUCCUUUCGUGCGAAUCAUUUAUACACAUUUUCUCCAGUGCAUGGGACUAGAGCACUUCUAGAAUCAAUACGUUCAUAAGCGGAAACCUUUUCUCUAAAUCUCUUUGUGUAUGAGCGCUGCCCUAUCUUGUCAAAGCAUAGUAAAUUAGUAGCCGACCUUGUGGCAUUCAUACAUGGGGCAUAGGAAGAUGAAUAAUCUAAGAUGACUUGAUAGCAUUGGAUUAUAAUUUGCCGAUGAUAUUGGGCAUAUCCCCUGUUUCUUAUUUAUGUGUAGGUCGCUGAAUCCUCUAGGAAGACCAAGAGAUCUGGUUGGAGCUAUCCUAUUUGCCUAAGUGCUGCUCAUGUGCAUUUGUUUUUAGUGUUGCUACCUUUCCAUUUUCAGAUCCUUCCUUGUUGUCCUCUUAGUCAUGAAGAAAUACAUUUACAUAAGUUUCAUAUAUUUACAUAUUAUAUAUACCAACACAGUUUGUGUGUGUUGAACAAAAUGCAAAUGGACAAAAGACAAAACUAGUAUAUGUAGAAACCAGAAAGAACUGGAGUCUUUUAGUGGAUGCUUGAACCCAUAACAUCCUACCUACUCUGAACUUUAUUUUUCUUAAUUCUUAAGCUGAAAUGAUUAUUUUUUGUUGAAGUAGAAUGCUUCCCUUGAACUUAUUCUAGUAUUUUUCUUUUCCGCAGAGCGGGAGCUAUGAUGCUGUUUCUGUUGUUCAUUCAUAUGAGCAUGAAAAGUCUGUUGGGCAUCAGAAGACAAGGCUGUCAGCUCUCAGUGUAAUUUUUUUAAACCACUUAUUCUCUUCUUCUUUUGUCUAUUUUUUGGGCUGAGGGUGUGUUUUGAAAAAGUGCAUGACUUUUUUUGUACUUCCUCCAUCUCGGUUUAUAAGGCAUGCGCGUCGUUCUAGGUUGACAAUUUAACUAGCUAAAUAUGUACUCCCUCCGUCCCAAAAUAAGUGACUCAAAUUUGCACUAAUUUUAGUACAACGUUGAGUCAUUUUUGAGUCACUUAUUUUGGGACGGAGAGAGUAUUAUAUUUGAUGAAAAAUAUAUGUUUAGAAACUACAUCUUCUUAAGAAUCCAAUGAUAUACUUUUGGUGAAAUAUAAGAUAUAACUCAUAUUUAGCUAGUCAAAUUGAUGACCUAGAACUGAGCGCAUGCCCUGUAAACCGAGACGGAGGGCGUAUCUAUUUCUUCUAGCAAAAAAGUAAGACAUGCAGGCACUCUCCCUCCCUCCCUCGCCCCUUCACUCUCUAUUAGUAAAAUCUGUAGUGGUGAUUGAGUUGUAGUUGGAGAGUAAUUAUAUGCUGUAGGUGAUAUAUCUACAAAUUCAAAUUUGUUUGUGAUAAAAUAGGUUCCUCCUAUGGGGCUUCUUUAUCCUCGGCUUCUCAUUCCAGAAGAGUUCCCUCCACCUCCCCGACCUUGGUGAGACUUUGUUCUCUGCUUUAGUGAUUGUGCCCUUUGAUAUGGUGAUUGCUCCAGACAAGAUAUGUUUAUGUUUACAGGUUCCAAGAUUGUGAUGACAUGCUGGAGGAUACUUGGCAAACAAACGACGGUCUUUCUGGAAAUGGUGGUCUUGGUGCAUGGGACAGUUAUCAAAUGCUUCCCACCAGAGUAAAGAAGUUUGAUAAUAUCGGUCUCGUAGAAGCCAUUGUCAGCAGUGUUCUUUCAACAGGUAGUCUCUUUGCACAUUAUCUAGCUUCCCUGAGAGAAUCUUUUCUAACAACUUCCUACAACAGGACGUGUUGACCUCCAAAGGAAGCUAUUCUGUAGUAUUCAGCUGGUAAAGUAUCAGUGUCGUUUUUCAUAUCAAUAUUGCUCUAUGAUGCAAGAAGCAAUAAUUGAGAGGAAUGCUCUUUGCAGGUUGGUGGCACAGCUUCAACAGCAGGUCUUGCACCAGUUCUCGAACAAAGGUUAAUUGUUACGUUCUUCUGGCAUUAUUUAACGGAAGACUACUGGAAUAACUGCGCUAAGGAAUAGAAGUGUGCCACCCUAUGUAGCUACAAGUGUGCCAAGCAAUUGUUCUGAUCCUUUUUGCAUUUACUAGUUAUUAUUAACAAGUGUUUGUUGAAAGAUUUUUUGUAAAGAUGAAUAGCACAGAGCUGCUGCAAGCCUGCAAUAAAAAAAGUGCCAAUGUGGCUCCUGUGUUUUUGGAGAAAAUACUAAUGACACUUGGAUUUUGUUUCAACAUAAUGUCUUGGAAACGAACAAUAAAUUUAUUGAUCUAUUUUUCUUUUCUUUUUGAUCAGGGUUCUUAAUACUAUUCCAUCGAAUCAACCCGUCGAGAAAGUUGAGGUAUGUCUUCUUGCAAGGAUAUGCAUCCAUAUCUUUUUAUAAAUUAGAAUGCACACUCCAUUUCUUGAAAUUAACAUACCUGGAUUGAUUGUGUGAGGUUUAUAUCUCAGUUUUACAUUAUACCGUAAUUUAGACUCGUGAUUUAUUUGUCUUGGCUUAACAUCUCAUUUUAAAUUCAUAGGUACUACAAUCAAGGAGGAAUCCAUUGUUUAUCCCAUGGAAAGGUGGUGUGGUAAGUGCUAUUUAUUUUGAAUUUGGCUAUCAUUUGUUGAAGCUGGUGUGUCUUGCUCAUUCCUUUAUGUCUGUCCUUUCUUGUGCUCUUAUAUUUCGGGUCCCUAAAUCCUACUUUACGCUUGGACAGAUUUUGGGCGUCCUUGAUACUAGCCGUGAUGCUUGGAUCCAUAGAGAAGAUUGGAUUAAAAAUGGCGUUCACGUUGGGAGUGGCAGAAAAUAUAAGGAUUCCUAUUUUCUUCAGUCGCAACUGAUGUGUUACUACAAUUCAUAAUAGGUAAUCUUUCUUAUUGCCUGCUCAGUUUCUCCAGAUUGUAUCGUUGCAUCUUCAUAUAGUGUUAGUGUGUUAAUAUGGAUGUCAGGAUAUGUAUAUUGGAUGGUCUGCCCUUUUUUUCUGUAAGAUGCACACUUAAUAAAAAGUUAUUGUAUAAUUGAAGGUCCGGUCCUAAGAGUCUGAAUAUCAAAUGAGCAUUGAGACACGGGAUGUGAACAUAUCUGCUUUUUUUCUUCUUAAAUUUUUUGAAGCUUUUAGUUGAAAUGGUUAUCGUGCAAGCUAUCUAUCUACUGCCAAAUUAUAAGACACAUAAUUUGCAUUUUAUUCUGUAGGUGGUCUGCGUAGGUGUCGACUAUCUUGAGCUGCAAUUGUCGGUGUAAUCUCGGAUAGUUGAGCAAGGCGGAACUUCAUCUAUGUCGAGGUUUGUCAAGGGACAUGGAGAAGAGAUUUAGAUGAUGAAGGCCCGUCUUCUGCCUACCCUUUCAUUCAGAACUAGAAAUGGCUAGUAAAAUACAUGGAGAUGAGAUUCAUAGAUUUAGUGGUGCCAUGUAAACACAUUCUCUAGUUUCAGGGUGAUUUACUACCUGUAACUUGUAAAUGGGGGAUCAUUAGUAAAACACAAAGCCUCUUGAUGCUGUUCCGGAUUAUCUAACAGUAUUAAUGACUGUUCAGCCAGAUUAAUUAUUUGUUCUGAGAAGGCAAAUAUGUGCACCGGAUUAAUUAAACAUCUCCUGUUUGCAUUUGUACACUUAAUCAUGUGGUUGCAAUUUUAACCUUACUGCCAGAGGCAGCCUGACCACAUGAUCUAGGCUGCCAGUCUCUGACGCCCUGCUCACAAUCAGCGCGAAGUGUAGCAUGGGCUCGUUGGCACUGAUCAUGCUCCAGGCCGCCCAUAUCUGGUCGCCGGGCGUGAGCACGUUCGUCGGCGUGGACUCUGGCAUCGACCUCGUCCGGGUACAUUGCCUUGUACACGGCUAAUCUGAGUAUAUAGAAGCGAGAACAAAAUGUAGCUAUUCCAAAUUGUGUUAAAUUGCAACAUUGUAGCGGUGAACAAAACUCAAGUUGCAGUUGGCAUUGAGGUAGAUUACAAUUUCCAUUUUGAGUAUAUGUAUGUCUUUACCUUGCACUUGGUGCCAUUCCGCUUGCGAAGCCAUACAUUGCGCCACCGGUACCCCACGGCAAUCGAAGCCACAUGGCUACAAUAAUAAUUCAGACCACUUAUGUCAUUGUAUCAGUCUUGAGAAAUCAAGAAUGCGCGUGUUAAUCAAGAUGAAGGAUCUAUUUCCCGCAAAAAAAAAGAUGAAGGAUCAAAGCAUAACAUCAAAGUCGUUUUUCUUGCACACAUUUUUCCCAUACCACCAACAUUUAGCAGAGUUCGACUGUCAUAAGGAUAUCCAAACAUAAGAUCCGGUUCAAACAUAAAAGGCAAGUCUCUAAACGUCAGUGCCGCCUAAUGCUAAUGGAGAAUGCACUCUGGUGGGCAUGGCUAUCUGGCAGCGCCUGAAGAUCAAUUCUGACGGUACAAUGACAUAAGUACAAGGUAAAUUACGUGAUGCCGCCUCAAGAUAGCCCUGUCCGCUGUCGAUCAAUUCCGAUCAUCACGUCAAGUUUCAUUUGAACACUUUCAGAAUAUAGUACCCGCUUUCAGAAAAUUCUUGCCAUAGCUUUCAGAAUUUGAAACUUAGACAAUUAUCAAAACUUUUGGAGUUAUAUAUAUUUUUAACAAUAUAAGUUAUGGAAUUUUGACUUCACUAUAUUUUGAACUUGCAGAAUUUUGAGAAUUCAGAAAAGAGAUGCCCUCCCCGCUGCCGCCGCCAUCGUGUUUAUGCCGCCACACGCGGUCGGGGAGGCCGAGGAGCACUAGUAGAAAAUGAGGCUUUCGGCCGCAGCCCCAAAUCACAUUAGCCCUGGGUCGAAAUAAAACCGAGAUCAAUGCCAGGCAUUGGUCCCGGUUCGAGCUGCCAGAGCCUCGCGGGGCAAAAGUCCUGGUUUGGUUCGAGGCAUUAGUCCCGGUUCGUGCCAAAAAUCAGGACUAAAGAUCCAGCAACUGAUACGUGGCGUGUCGCGGAGCAUUACUCCCGUUAGGGGGAUGGAACCGGGACUAAAGAGAUGCCCACUUUCUCCUCUCUGGCUGUGUGAGGUGUGCAUGCCAUGCUCUUGCAACCCUUCUAUGCCAUGCACAUGAGGUGUUCGAUGAAAUGUCCGAGACACACUUAAGCUUUCUCCUCUCCAAGCUCGACAUCUUCAAGCUCCAUUUUCCUCAAGAUUUGUCUAGGUUUGACGGUGCACCAACUACACAAGUGUUCUAAAGGUUAGCUACUUCAUCCUUUCAUCUCUCACUGCUAGUUUAGCUCAUUUCAAAUGCUCUAGAAGUAGACUGGUUUGUGGAUUUUAGUGUAGGUGUGUAUGUGGGAGUUCUUUUGAUUUAGAUGCAAAAUUUGAGCCCAAAUUAACUUUUUAGAGUCUGCACAUGUGUAGGGUGCCGUCCCGUGCCUGUCCUCACCGUUGUCGAUCGCCCGCGCCGAUCUCGUUGCCAGCACCACCAUGGUGAGCCUCUUGUUCUUAUCUUCUUUUUAAAAGAUUUUUUUUCUUAUUUGUAUGAUUUAGACAAAUACUUGUAUAAAUUACUUAUUAUUAUUAUUUUUUGUUAUUAUAUAGUGCGAUGGUUUUGGUAUUCGCCUCCAUCGGUCCUCGUCCUGUCUAUGAUUCGGAUGUGGUAUAUAUUAUCUUUUAUAACUAUUUGUUUUAUUUAGUGUUUAUGACAAUUAUGACGACCAACGUGACAUAUAUUUUUUAAUCUAGGAGGUAUGUGAACCGGAAAUUCCAACCGACAUAGAAAUUCUUGUCGAGAAGUUAAAUUUGGUUGAAAAAGAAAAUAAUUACUUGAAGAAAAAAUUGAAAAUAAUUGAGGAGAAGAAUAUGGAAGUGAAGUUGCAUGUUGCCGAUGUCGUCGAUGAUCACAAGAUGAAGAUGGAUGCAAUGCGGUUGAAGAUGAAUGCAAUGCGCUUGAAGAUUAGAAAUAUUAGAAAAUAUGCCAUUGAUAAAGAGACUUGGUAUCAUUGUGUGGGUCAAUUGUUACCUUAGUUGCGAUUUUGAUCGCAUUUGUUGUUGCAUUUAAAUGUUUUACAUAGUUGUAUGUUGUUUUAUGAGAGAACUUUAUGUAUUUAUUUUUGAAAUAAUAACAUUUGAUUACUACUGUACUUUGGUUUUAAUGUGAUGAUGAACUUGUAUAAAUUUUAUCAUUUCUCAAUUCAUGAUGUUCUGCAAUGGUUUUUUGAUAUACUUAAUUUCAUAAUACAGAUGAAUCGCCAAUGAAUGUACGGUGACCGGCGCACUUCGAAGUACAUUACGAAUCGGGAGUAAUGCCCGAGUCACACUUAAGUUCACAAAAAUGGUAUCCUUGAACGAUGUUAGCAACCUUAUCCUUUUCAUCUGUAAUUGAUACAAAAAUAUUGCAUGUGUCCAUGUACAGUGGUCAUUUUACUAUUCAUGUAUGAUGCAGAUCGAUGCAUGGAAGCGAUGGAUGUACGGUGAACGGCGCGGUUCCGGAUUUAUUGCAGGUCUGCAUAAAUUUAUCGAUGUGGCUAAGGCAAACAAAGUGAAUAAUUUUAUGCCUUGUCCAUGUGUUGACUGUCGAAACGUGAAGGAGUACUCUAGCUCGAAAACCAUUCAAGGCCACGGGCUUCGGAGAGGUUUCAUGCCCACAUAUUAUUGUUAGACCAUGCACGGAGAAAAAAGGGUUAGGAUUGAAGACAAUGAAGAAGAUGAUGAUGACAACUAUCCUAUGUUCACUGAAGAAUACGAUGAUGCUGCAAUGGAAGACAAUGAAGAAGAAGGAGGUGAAGAACAACCGACAUCAGAUGAGCCCGCUGAUGGUCUUGGUCGGGUCAUUUCUGAUGAAAAGAUACAAUGCGAUACAUACAAGGAGAAGCUGAAGUUGAAGGCCAUGCUAAAGGAUCAUAACAAGUUGCUGUACCCAAAUUGCGAAGAUGGCAGCACAAAGCUCGGUACCACACUGAAACUGUUGAAAUGGAAGGAAGAAACUGGUUUAUUUGACAAGGGAUUUGAGAAGUUACUGAAAAUAUUGAAGCCGAAGCUUCCAAAUUAUAACGAAUUGCCCAAGACUACGUACGAAGCAAAGAAGGCUAUCUUCCCUCUUGGAUUAGAUGUGCAGAAGAUAUAUGCAUGCAUUAAUGACUGCAUCCUGUACCGCGAUGAGAAGUACGAGAAUAUGGACAAAUGCCCGAUAUGCACUGCAUGUCGGUACAAGAUCAGACAAGAUGACCCUGGUGAUGUUGAGGGCGAUGACGAGCCCCCCAGGAAGAAGGUUCCUGCUAAGGUUAUGUGGUAUGCUCCUAUAAUACCACGGUUGAAACGUCUGUUCAGAAACAAUGACCAUGCCAAGUUGAUGCAGUGGCACAAAGACGAGCGUAAGAAAGACGGGAAGUUGAGACACCUCGCACAUGGGUCGGAGUGGAGGAAAAUUGAGAGGGAGUGGCCGGACUUUGCAGAAGACCCAAGAAACUUAUGGCUUGGUCUAAGUACAGACGACAUGAAAUUGACCUACGAGCAUUGUUGUUCGUAACCAUCAAUGAUUGGCCUGCUCUUAGUAACAUUUCAAGACAUUCAAACAAGGGAUACAAUGCAUGCACGCACUGUUUAGAUAAAACUAAAGGUACAUAUUUGGAAAAAAUCUAAGAAGGUUGUCUACCUGGGUGUCGUCAAUUUCUUCCGACCAAUCAUCCCGUAAGAAAGAAAGGCAAGCAUUUCAACGGUGAAGCAGAUCACCGGAAGAAGCCUAACCUCCCUACUAGUGAUGAGUUAUUGGCUAUGGUCAAGGAUUUGGAUCAAAUAGUAAUCUUUGGAAAGGGUCCUGGCGGUCAAUCUGUUUCGAAAGACGACGUUACCGGACACGUGCCCAUGUGGAAAAAUAAAUCUUUAUUUUGGGAGCUAGCCUAUUGGAAACACCUAGAGGUCCGGUCUUCAAUCAACGUGAUGCACGUGACGAAGAAUCUUUGCGUGAACCUGCUAGGCUUCCUGGGCGUGUAUGAGAAGACAAAAGAUACAAGCGAAGCACGGGAGGAGGAAGCAACGUAUGAAAGACCCAUACGACAAGAAGACUGAUAAAGGACGUCAAUACUUAAGCAGCUACGCUCUUACCAAAGCAGAGAAGGAAAUCUUUUUUGUAUGCCUAAGCAGUAUGAAGGUCCCGCGUGCGUGAAAAUGCUGAAUACCCUUGCAGAUCCACCGCCUCCGUUGCCAGCAAACUAUGAACGCUCUAUUCUCAAGUCGGUUGAGGCAAAAAAGUAGUGGUUGAAGAGUAGUACGUCCAGUGGGAAAUCAGUUGCCCAGCUCGGACAACAGAAAAACCAAUCGUGCCCCCGCUCAAAGUGUAUUCCAAUACAAAGGUGUGCUCGAGCGUAGCUGCGGUCGAGCAGAGGAAUGAUGAAACAACUGGUAUCGAUCCGGAGUUUGUUGCACUAUACGGAGAAGCGGCCAAGGCUCAUGACAUGUCUAUUGAUCGGUACUUAAACCAUACACAUGAAUUCACUGACGUAACAUACAUGUACCGGCAUGGGUCUCCUCUCGUCAAACCUGAGUUAGUCAACGAGCUACCAACAAAAAUGCGAAGAUUGCAUGACUGGUACAUGCGAGCAUCUGCUGAACAACAAAGCUGGAUCUACUGUGCAUAUAAAAACGAGCAUUACGGUCAUGGAGAAGGCGUGCUAAUGAUUGAAUUUGACGAAUUAUUUCAGUUAUAUAAACAAGACGACCUCGACAAAUCUAUCAUUAGUACCUAUUGUUUGUAAGUAUUAUUAAUUUAUAUCAUUAAGUCUUACUCAGCUCGUUCAUUGCAUGUAUAAUCUUACUCAUCACUAUAUUAAUUUUGCAGAAUGAAGAUUCUCGAAUGCAAAAGAGGACGAAUCUAUGACAUUGAGUUCAUUGACCCAUAUUUCAUUCAUGACAAAAGUCUCGCAGUGGAUCCCCGCGAGACAGAGAAUAACUUGGUACAAGGGUUAAGGUUUUCCGCUACCAAAAGAGAAAUAUUAUUUCCUUACAACUUCAAGUGAGUGUUACUACACACAUUCUAUUUUUGCUUACUCGAUGUUAUUAAGUGUAUAAUUGACUUGUUAUGCGUGCGCAGGUUCCACUUUAUUCUGUUAAUCAUUCUACCUGACAAGGGACUAGUAAAAGUCAUGGACCCGAAACACACACCCCUCGAUGAUUGGGAGAACAUGCAGGAAUGCCUCCAGAGGUAAUUUCAAUGAUUAUGGCACUAUAUCGGCAACUUCUAGUUCAUUUCCUGAUAGCAAGUAAUUAAUAUAGAACUCCUUUAUUCAUUUCCUUUUCUUGACAGGGUUUGGAAACGGUUCACCACCAAGUGUCGGGGUGUUUGGAAGCCAGAGCUUACAUUUAAACAAAUGGAUAUAAGUAACUACUAGCUAGAUCCGCGCAUCUCUUUAUUCUAGUUUCAAUACCAUUAUCAUUCUUGAUUAUGUUUUUGGUUGAACUCUGUUCUCGUAAAGUGCUUGAAGCAGGAACAUGGGAGCAAUUUAUGUGGAUACUAUGCUUGCGAGUUCAUUCGCUAGACGACCCAUGAAACGGGCAAAAAUCGAGACAUAAAAAAAUUUGAAGUACGAUAAACAAUACUCACAACUUUAUUUUAUUACCGUCAAUUGUGUUCGGUUUCAUUGAUAUAUAUUGACCCCUUCUUUAAAUUAGAUCGAACGGUUGCGGGACGGUCUUCUACCACAAGAACGUGCACGAGCAAUUCAAAAGGAAAUUGUCGGAUUCUUAGAUGCAGAGGUCCUAGAUGUGAAGGGAGAAUACGAUUGCCCGUGGAUGCAAUUCAUAUGAAAUGUUAGUGUAAAAAAGAUGCAUAUGUGUAUGUAACUCGUGCCUACAUUUUGUAAUAUGUUCGACAAAGCACGACGGAUAAGAUGGUGUAAUAUAUUCAUGACGAUGAUGUGCAAUAUAGUUGUUCCUUUAUUGCUGUGUAUGCACCAUCCAAUUUAAUGCAAAACAAGAAUUAAAAGUGUUCAAAACAAAUAAAUGGGAAAAUAGAGGGCAGGAAAAUAGCCCCAUCCAAUUUAGUGUAAAAUCCUAAACCCUAAAAAAUGCUAAAAAAGAUAGCGAAGCAAUAGACCCGGUUCGCAAUAAGAACCGGGACUAAUACCCCUCCCCCUCGCUUCCAGCCCCGCCACGUGGAGGACCAUUAGCCCUGGUUUGGGACCGAACCGGGGCUAGCAUUAGUCCCGUUUUGUUAGUCCCGGUUCGUUAACCGGGGCUAAUGGCCCAAAUGAACCGGGGCUAUAACCCCGUUUUCUAUUAGUGAAGACACGACAUGUAGGUGGUCAUGAGCCUGGUCCCGGUGUCCUCCUCCAGGGCCGCCACCUCGGGCGCCGCCUUCAGCCUCUUGGCUGCCCCGGAUGCCGCUGCCGCAUGGAUCGCGAAGCCAUUCAUGGCAUGGUGGAAUCACAGCCCAUCUUCCUAAUGAUGGAUGCCUGCUUUUUACUCCCUCCGUUCCUAAAUAUAGGUCUUUUUAAAGGUUCUUCUAAUGGAUUACAUACGGAUGUAUAUAGACAUAUUUUAGAUUGUAGAUUCACUCAUUUUACUUCGUAUGUAGACUCCUAGUAAAAUCUCUUAAAAGACUUAUAUUUAAAAACGAAGGGAGUAUUAAUUAAAUUGAUUGUUUUUUACGGGUCUUGUUGUUCCUUUGGUCUUAAAAUUUCUUGUGCUCUCAAAAUAGACCAUUACAUGACACGUGUCAUAAAUUGGCAGUUUGGUUAUGACUUUGUCGAGUGGCAGACGAACGUCGGUUAACGAGAGUUGCUCGAGCUGCCUAUUUGAGUUAAACCGUGUUCCGCAUCUCGACAAUGUGCACCAGCUUGCCGAGUAUUAACGCUCGACAAAGACCUGAAUGAACCAACUACACUAGUGGGGACGGGGCCUUUAGCCCCGGCUUGUAAGGGGCUUUAGUCCCCAUUCACCAACCGGGACUAAAGGGGCGGGACUAAAGGCCUAACCGUUAGUCCCGACCAUGUUACAAGUCGGGACUAAAGGUGCUCCACGUGGGCGCCUCGUAGCGCCCCAGGGGCAGGCCCUUUAGUCCCGGUUCGUUACACGGACCGGGACUAAAGAGUUUCAGAUUUUGCUUAUUUUUGGGUUUUUUUUGAAUGAAAUUAUUUUUGGGUUUUAGGGUUUUAGGGUUUAGGUGUUCGGAAGAUUAACGUGAUGCCUCAUUUGGUGUUCGGGAAUUAGUUUUCAUAUAAUUUAAAUAGAAAUAAUUAUGCAUAUAUGUAUAAGAUUAACUUAUCUUACAAGCGAGCAUAUAUAUACAAUUAUAUGCAGAUCUGAAUUAUCGGGACUAGAGCCCGUCUAUUCGAUUACAUGGACGAACAUCAGUAAUGGCCCCCUAGCUACACUAAAUUCUCCAUUGUCAUCUAUAGCUUCCGUCCUCAGAAAGGUCGCAAGCUCCUCUGCAACAGCAAUCACGCGUUGCUCUGGUAGGACCUUCGUCCUCAUGGCCGUGUACUAUAUAAGAAGAGGAGAUGAAUAUGAAUAUCAAUCAUGAUAACAAAGAAUGACGGGUAAAAAUAGAGGUGUGAAUGUUCAUUGCUUACGUCGAAUCUGUGAUCCUUGUGCUCAGAGGUAAACAUGCAAAUGGUCUCGCAAACAUAGUAUCCGCAUAGAUGCGUUCCCCGUGGCUGCUGGUCGCACUUUACGAGAAUAAAAUAUAUAUAAUCAAAAUAAUAAUCUAGCAUCAUAGAUGUAUUGAAAAUAGAAGUAUAUAAUACUACUACUUACCUGAGCCACUCUAAAGGUCAGCUUCUCAGGCUCGAUACCGGGAGUCACGCACUUGAACCGCUUCCAAACCCUGUCUGACAAGGAUAAUGAUUUGCUAAGUUUUUCAUUAAUUGAUAUAUCAGAAAAUCAUCGAAAGAGACCGAUAGAGCACAAGAAUGAUUGAAAUUACCCUUGGAGCAUGUCCUGCAGGCUUUGGAACUGUUCCAAGGGUCUCGAUAAUGGGUCGAAGGCAUCAACUCUUUCCUUAUCAAUUUGAAUGUCCAACAGAAUCCAAUGAAAGCUGCACAUGUAUAUAUAUAUAUGUCACUAACUUAUCAAUUACACUUAUAAGUGAAUGGACACAACAGAGUAAAGAACCUCACCUGAAGUUGUAUGGAAACAAUAUGUGGUCACAGAAAUUUUGAUCUGUUAGAAACCUUAGAAGGUUUUCCUCCGUCUCCUUGGGUUUAUCAGUUAGCGUCGCUAUAUGUAUUUUAUCUGGGUCAAUAAACCCAAUAUUUAUGAUGUUUUUUUUUACAAUCCAGAAUCUUCAUUCUGCAUAAUAGAGUACACGUUAUAUAUAGACAAUGAAUUGAAAUAACUAAAGAAGUUAUAUGUAGACAACAAAUUGAAAAACUUACAGACAAUAGCAACUCAUAAGCGAUUUGUCGAGGGCGUCGCCAUUGUACAUCUGGAAGAGUUCAUCAAAGUCGAUAUGGAUUUCUUCGGGGCGGCCGUAGUACUCCCGUGGGACACUCACCACGAUCAUCGUUCUCCCAUUCUUUGAUUCACUUAACUACCAUGUAUGCAAGUAACGCAUAUUUGUUGGGAGAUCAUCUUUGCUGACCAAAGGCGCUCCCAUGACAAACUGUGGCUUAGGGGCUACCACAGCCUUGGGUAACCUGUCGUCUUGGAAAGCCAGAACAUCUUCAACCGAGACACCCCAUUCAGCCGCCCACUUCUUUGCUAAUUCAAAAUCUUGCCCCUGCACCGGAGGGGGAACAUUCUCGGUUAACACCUUGAGGGGUGGGAUCGACUGUUUGGCCUGUUGUCCAUGCUGAGGAAUGUCAGAUUUUUUCUUGCUUGUAGUUGAACUUGAUUUGCUCCCACUUGCACUUGCACGUGAUCUGCUCUUUUUCACUUCCUUCUGCAAUGUGCGUGUAUAGUCAUCAGGCUUAUGGUGUAAGUCAUACUGUGAUGGAAGGUUCGUGAAGUAUUUUGCAAAUGCUAUUUGCUUCUCGGUGUAUUCCGGGCGGGGCUCGGGUUCCUUCUUUUUCAUCUGCGCAUCAUGAUGUUCCUUUGCUAUCCUGGCGUUUUCCUCGGGGGUACGAUCAUAAGGUCUGAUAGGAAGAUUAGCAUGAGGUACCUUUGGGAGGGGCGACCGUUUGCGCUUUGGGGGGCUCCGUCGCUUAGAAAUCGUCGGCGGAGCGUUCUUGGUGGCACGCUCCCGCUUAGUAUCCGGAGCGGGCGGCGGCGGAGACGGACGACCCAAGUCCGGCGGCGGUGAUCGGGAUGGACUCGUGUUGUGCUGGCCGACGUCAUGUGGAGGGCUUGGAGGUAAUGGAGGUGUAGGUGACUUGCGACGACUCGGAGGCGGUGUUGUCCUUGGGGCCGAGCCUGGAAGCUUGAUGUAGUUCUUGUUCCAUAGGAUGACUCCACCCAGUACUUCUCCAAGUGUCCUCUCAUCUUCGGGUCCAGCUAUGUCGAGCUACAUAUCAUGAAACCCCGUCAUUGAUUUCAUCCACCCCGACUUUAGCAAAGCCAGCUGGAAUCUCACGGCCAUGCCAGCGUGCAUCAGGGCCAGAAGGUAAAGCUUGUCCGACGGCCACCUUCAUGGAUAUAUUCUUGAAUUUCUGAUGGAGUUCACAUGAUGUUGACUCCUUGAUUCCAUCCACGGGGUAGCCGGGACCGCCCUCUAUCAUUCUUCGUGCAUCGUCGGGCAGGGCCUCUGAUUCAGCCACACUGCUUUUCCGCUUAGAUGGGGCGCCGGUAAUAUCAAGUGCAGGAUCUUCCUGGCGCGUUACUCCUCUAAGCUCAUCAAUCUGCUUCUGUUGCUCGUUAAUCCUGGCAAGCAACUGGUUGAACUUGUCAUUCUCCUCAUCCUGCUGCCGCUUCUUUGCUCUCUCUCGGCUUCUGUAAGUGUCUUGGUCUUUGGCAAACCCAAGCCACCACGGGUAAGAAGGACCGAAGCCUCGCGUUCGUCCUCCAUGUUCGUCAUUGCCGAGGACCAGUGUGAGCAAAUCUUUAUCUCUAUCUGCAGUGAACUUUCUUGUUCCCUCCUUAAUUUCUUUCACUAUCCUUUUCCAAUUCUCCGUGGGUAUCCUAAGACCGUCACUGCAGAUGAGGUCUCCUGUUUCUUCGUCGUACGAACCACCAUGCGCAAGGAACCAAUUUCUUGCUCUCAAUUCCCACUCAUCACGGAGUGGUUCAGGUACGAUGCCUUUAUCUAGCAGAUCUUGCUCUUUCUUAUCCCACUUUGGGAUGGCAGUCUCAUAGCCCCCUGGCCCCAGCUUGUGGUGAUAUUUCUUCUUGUCGGCAUUUAUCUUGUUCUUUUCUGAUAAUGCCUGGGCAUCUUGUGACUCCUUGUACUCUUGAAAUGCCUUCCAGUGAUUCGCCUGCUUGGCUAGAUACCCCUCGAAUACUGACAUUUUCUUUGUCUUCAGAUAGUUUUUCCAUAGCUUCUUCUUCCAGCUACAGAACAGUUCGACCAUCUUCUUUAGAGUCCACUGCUUGACUUUGGCCCUCAGUUUGUCUGCGGCGUCUUUAUUCUCACAUUCUGGCAGGUUGAAAUGUGACAUGAGAUCAUUCCAAAGAUUAUCUUUGUACCUUUCGGCGACAUAGUCACUAUCGGCUGCCCCUUUGCGCUUGUUCCACUCCCGAACGCUGAUCGGGACGUGAUCCCUAACGAGAACUCCGCAUUGCUUCUUGAAUGUGUCAGCAACAUUCUUAGGAAGCUUGGGUUCGCCCGUAGGCAAUAUCACCUCAAAGGUGUAAUGCGUCCGUGCAUCCAACUUUCUAGUCGGGCCUCGUUUCGUAGCUUUGCUCGAUGUGGAGGCCUAAGAGGGAGAAACAUUCGUCAAAUGAAUGUAUAUGUAUACAAUAUAGAGCUAUCUCCAAUAUUUUUCACAUAUUACAAGUGAUUGUCGAACUUCAUAUGUAUACCUCGCCGGAUUUUAUUAUUUCUUCACCGGCUUCUCCACCGGCUUCUCCAUCAGUGGAGCUAUCACCUUCUCCGUCAUUGGACCUAUCUCCUGCCCCAUCGGCUUCAUCUUCGUGUCGCUCGACCUCCAUUCCAUAUCCGGAGGGGUUUAGAUAUGACGACGAAGAUUCAGCUGGUUCAACGUCGGGGCCGUCUUUGAUUAUAUCUUCGAUAAGUUCUUCCUCUUCGAGGUUCCUGAUAUGUGGAUCCAUAGUUCUGCAAAAAACGGACAUUUGAUUAACUAAUAAACUAACAAACUAUAUAAGAGGGGUUGGAAACUUCGAAGUGUCAUUUUAUAUAGGAGGACCUUUAGUCCCGGGUCUUGGCUAGAACCUAAACUCUAAAAUACCAGCCGGACGGAGCCCAGUCCCGGACACUUAAGCAUAUACAAUAGCAAAAUUAAACUAGUUCUGUUAAUUUUCUUGCUAAAAAUAAACUAUUUACACUUAAGCAUAUACAAUAGCAAAAUUGAACAAUUAACACUUAAGCAUAUACAAUAGCAAAAUUAAGCAAUAAUCUAAGAAACACUAUUAACACUUAAGCAUAUACACUAUACAAUAGCAAAAUUAAAUGACAAAAAAAAUAUUUCUUCUUCUUGUAACCCUAAACUAAUUUUUCCUCUUCUUCUAUUUCGGGGGGGGGGCUACUUCUUCUUCUACUUCUACUUCUCCUCUUCUUCUACUACUUCUCAUCUUCUCUUCUUCUACUUCUCCUCUCCUCCUCUUCUAAUUUUUUCUCUUCUUCUACUUCUCCUCUUCUUCUAUUUUUCCUCUUCUUCUCCUCUCCUCCUCUUCUUAUUCUCCUUUUUCUUAUUUUCUUCUCCUCCUCUUCUUAUUUUCCUUUUUCCUAAUUCUACAUAUUACUAACCCUAAUAAUCUAGCACAAACCUAAUAACAAUAGGAAUUAAAUGAUAAAAAAAUCUUUNNNNNNNNNNNNNNNNNNNNNNNNNNNNNNNNNNNNNNNNNNNNNNNNNNNNNNNNNNNNNNCUCCUUUUUCUUCCUUUCUUCUCCUUUUUCUUCUUUUCUUCUACUGGACGGAGUGUUGGGGAGGAGGGGGCGGGGGGCUUACCGGCCGGAGGUGUCGACGGCGCGCGGCGAGGAGGACGGCAGGCGGCGGCAAGCAGGACGGCGGGCAGCCUGCCGGCGUCGUCGAGUUCGUCGCUGUGCCGCGCCGGGCAGGAGAACGAGGAAGAAGGAGAGAAGGAAAUGCGAUUUGGGUUGGAAAUUUUCUAACUCCCGCUAAUAUAGGUGGAUCUUUAGUCUCGGUUCGGGGCUCAAUCCGGGACUAAAGACCCCCUUUAGUCCCGGGUGGAGCCACGACCUGGGACUAAAGGCCCUUUUUUGGCAGACCAAAAGGCGGGAAGCAGGGGCCUUUAGUCCCGGGUCGGGGCUCGAGCCGGGACUAAAGACACCCUUUAGUCCCGGUUUGUGGCAAGAACCUGGACUAAAGGUUAAGCUAUUAGUCCCGGUUUUAGACAAAAGCCGGGACUAAAGUGUUGCCUAUAUAAACCCUCUCCCCUGCCCACCCUCUCCCCUAUUUUUUGGUUGUUGAAGUGUGACCAUGCCAUGCUCUUGCCACUCUAGUUCAUGCACAUGACGUGUUCGAUGAAAUGCCCGAGCCACUCUACUUAAGCUUUCUCCUCUCCAAGCUCGACCUCCAAGCUCCAUUUUCCUUAAUAUUUGUCUAGGUUUGGCCGUGCACCAACUGCACAAGUGUUUUAAAAGGUUAGGUACUUCAUCCUUUCAUUUGUCACUGCUAGUGUAGCUCAUUUCAAAUGCUGAAAUUAACUUCUUAGAGUCUGCACAUGCGUAGGGUGUCGUCCCGUGCCCGUCCUCACCAUUGUCGAUCGCCCCGUGCCGAUCUCGUCGCGAGCACCACCGUGGUGAGCCUCUUGUUCUUAUCUUCUUUUUAAAAGAAAAAAAUCUUACUUGUAUGAUUUAGAUACAUACUUGUAUAAAUUACUCACUUUCAUUAUUUUUUGUUAUUAUAUAGUGCGAUGGUUUUGGUAUCCGCCUCCGUCAGCCCUCGUCCUGUCUAUGAUUCGGAUGUGGUAUAUAUUAUCUUUUAUAACUAUUUGUUUUAUUUAGUGUUUAUGACAAUUAUGACGACCAACGUGACAUAUAUUUUUUAAUCUAGGAGGUAUGUGAACCGGAAAUUCCAACCAACAUAGAAAUUCUUGUCGAGAAGUUAAAUUUGGUUGAAAAAGAAAAUAAAUACUUGAAGAAAAAAUUUAAAAUAAUUUCACCCACAUAGCAUGUGUUAAAAAGUUGAGAGGGCUACGACAAAAACUGGAUGCACUUCGUGUACAAAACGGACAAUCUCUCUCGAAGUAUCAGGGUUUCGAACGAGAACUCAUCUCUUACAAAGGGAUUUCAUUUUUUUGAACUUAUUUGAACUCCAUACUUUUUGUGUGUUCAAAAUGCACCAUUCAAAGGCACAUCACAAAAUUUCAACAAUUUCUGAUUUCAUUUGGUAUUCUUCGUGCAUUUACUUAUAUUUUUUGAGCUAGUUGACCCUGAAAUUGAAAAGCACUACAAAUGAACUCUGAAAAUGUUGAAAGUUGGAAUGCUAUCAUCAUUUCACCCACAUAGAAUGUGUUAAAAAGUUGAGAGGGCUACGACAAAAACUGGAUGCACUUCAUGUACAAAACGGACAAUCUCUCUCGAAGUAUCAUCGUUUCGAACGAGAACUCAUCUCUUACAAAGGGAUUUCAUUUUUUUGAACUUAUUUGAACUCCAUACUUUUUGUGUGUUCAAAAUGCACCAUUCAAAGGCACAUCACAAAAUUUCAACAAUUUCUGACUUCAUUUGGUAUUCUUCGUGCAUUUACUUAAUUUUUUUUGAGCUAGUUGACCCUGAAAUUGAAAAGCACUACAAAUGAACUCUGAAAAUGUUGAAAGUUGGCAUGCUAUCAUCAUUUCACCCACAUAGCAUGUGUUAAAAAGUUGAGAGGGCUACGACAAAACUGGAUGCACUUCAUGUACAAAACGGACAAUCUCUCUCGAAGUAUCAGCGUUUCGAACGAGAACUCAUCUCUUACAAAGGGAUUUAAUUUUUUGAACUUAUUUGAAUUCCAUACUUUUUGUGUGUUCAAAAUGCACCAUUCAAAGGCACAUCACAAAAUUUCAACAAUUUCUGACUUCAUUUGGUAUUCUUCGUGCAUUUACUUAUUUUUUUUGAGCUAGUUGACUCUGAAAUUGAAAAGCACUACAAAUGAACUCUGGAAAUGUUGAAAGUUGGCAUGCUAUCAUCAUUUCACCCACAUAGCAUGUGUUAAAAAGUUGAGAGGACUACGACAAAAACUGGAUGCACUUUGUGUACAAAACGGACAAUCUCUCUCAAAGUAUCAGGGUUUCGAACGAGAACUCAUCUCUUACAAAGGUUUAUUAAAAUUAUUUUUGCGUAUUUGAGAAUUUGAAAAAACUAUGAAAAUCAAAAGUGUUUGGAAUUUAGUACAUUCCAUAUAUGCAUUACAUAAAAGGUUUAAUACAUUAUUACAUUAUUGCACCAAUAUUCCUAUCUUUUAUUUCUGUUUUCUUCUGGGUUGUAGCCAUGGAGAAUCUUCAUCAUUCAGUAGGAUGCUUGGGUCAGUUUUCACUUUGAAGGGCGGAAUUUCAUGAAACUUAUUAUAAUCUUCUGACAUGUCUGUCUUGUCAUCUACUCCCACGAUGUUUCUUUUCCCUGAAAGAACUAUGUGGCGUUUUGGCUUAUCGGACGAUAUCUUCUUUUGCUGGUUUCUUUUUCUCGUUUUUGUAGACAUGUCCUUCACAUAGAAAACCUGAGCGACAUCAUUGGCUAGGACAAAUGGUUCGCCCAUGUACGCAAGAUUGUUGAGAUCCACUGUUGUCAUGUCAUACUUUUGGUCUACAACUACUCCGCCUCCUGUCAGCUUCACCCAUUUGCACCGAAACAAAGGGAUCUUAAAAGUAGGUCCAUAGUCAAGUUCUCAUAUCUCCUCUAUGUACCCGUAAUAUGUUUCCAAACAGUGCCCAUUCUCGUCUGUUGCAUCAAAGCGGACACCACUAUUUUGAUUGGUGCUCUUUUUAUCUUGGGCAACCGUGUAAAAUUUAUUCCCAUUUAUCUCAUACCCUUGGAAAGUACAUAUAGUCGAAGAUGGUGGCCUGGCCAAACAGUACAACUGAUCUCCAACGGUGUCGUCAUUCAUGAGAUGUGUCUGCAACCAACUGCCGAAAGUCUUCUCGUGUUCCCCUUUAAUCCAAGAGUCAGCCUUCCCCGGGUUUUCGGAGCGUAGAAUAUUCUUGUGUCUCACGAUAUACGGAGCCACCAUGGUGGAAUUGUGUAGAGCUGUGUAGUGUGCUUGAGAGAAAGAAUGCCCAUCCAUACAUACUUUUGCUUUCCUUCCUAGUGUGCCUUUUCCUGUCAGCCUACCCUCAUACCGAGAUUCAGGAACACCAAUCGACUUAAGGUUAGGAAGAAAGUCCACACAAAACUCAAUGACCUCCUCUGUUCCAUAGCCCUUGGAGAUGCUUCCUUCUGGCCUAGCACGGUUACGAACAUAUUUCUUUAAGACUCCCAUGAACCUCUCGAAGGGAAAAUAUUGUGUAGAAACACAGGACCGAGAAUUCUAAUCUCUUCGACUAGGUGAACUAGGAGGUGUGUCAUUAUAUUGAAGAAGGAUGGCGGGAACAACAACUCAAAGCUGACCAGACAUUGGACCACAUCAAUCUGUAACCCUGAUAGACUUUCUCGAUCGAUUACCUUCUGAGAAAUUGCAUUGAGGAAUGCACAUACCUUCACAAUUGCCAGGCGAACAUUUUCCGGUAGAAUUCCCCUCAAUGCAACCGGAAGCAAUUGCGUCAUAAGCACGUGGCAGUCAUGAGACUUUAGGUUUUGGAAUUUUUUGUCUUUCAUAUUUACGAUUUCCUUUAUAUUCGACGAGAAGCCAGUCGGGACCUUGAUACUGAAAAGGACUUCAAAGAAGAUUUCCUUCUCUUCCUUAGUAAGAGCGUAGCUGGCACGCCCUUGAAACUGCCCUGGAUGCAUGCCAUCUCUUCCUUUAUGACGUUCCUGGUCCUCCCGUGCUCCCGGUGUAUCUUUUGACUUCCCAUACAAGCCCAGGAAGCCUAGAAUAUUCACGCAGAGAUUCUUCGUCAGGUGCAUCACGUCGAUUGCCGAGCGGACCUCAUGGACUUCCCAGUAGGGUAGCUCCCAAAAUAUAGAUUUCUUCUUCCACAUGGGUACGCGCUUCUCAGGGCCGUUAGGAACAGUUUGGCUGCCAGGACCCUUUCCAAAGAUUACUUUUAAAUCUUUGACCAUAUCUAAUACUUCAGCACCAGUACGGAUGACAGGCUUCCCCCGGGGUUCUGCCUUGCCAUUGAAAUGUUUGCCUUUUUUCUUUAAGGGAUGCUUGGGCGGAAGAAAACGACGAUUGUACGGGUAUACAUUCUUCCUACAUUUGUCCAGAUAUAUACUUUCUGUCUGAUCCAAAUAGUGCGUGCAUGCAUUGUAUCCCUUGUUUGACUGUCCUGAAAUGUUACUAAGAGCAGGCCAAUCAUUGAUGGUUACGAAAAGCAACGCUCGAAGGUCAAAUUCCUCUUGUUUGUGCUCGUCCCACACACGUACUACACCUGGUUCGGCCCACAGCUGUAAAAGUUCAUCAACUAAUGGCCUUAGGUACACAUCAAUAUCGUUGCCGGGUUGCUUUGGACCUUGGAUAAGCACUGGCAUCAUAAUGAACUUCCGCUUCAUGCACAACCAAGGAGGAAGGUUGUAGAUACAUAGAGUAACGGGCCAGGUGCUGUGACUGCAACUCUGCUCCCCAAAAGGAUUCAUGCCAUCUGUACUCAGACCUAACCAUAAGUUCCUUGCGUCAGCUGCAAAUCUCGGGAAGUCUCUCUCGAUUUUUGUCCACUGCCGACCAUCAGCGGUGUGCCUCAACUUAUCGUCUUUCAUACGAUCUUCCAUGUGCCAUCGCAACAACUUCGCAUGAUCUUUAUUUCUGAACAGACGUUUCAACCGUGGUAUUAUAGGAGCAUACCACAUCACCUUGGCAGGAACUCUCUUCCUGGGUGGCUCGCCCUCAAUAUCACCAGGGUCAUCUUUUCUGAUCUUAUACCGCAAUGCAGUGCAUACCGGGCAUUUAUCCAUAUUCUCGUACUUCUCACCGCGGUAGAGGAUGCAGUCAUUAGGGCAUGCAUGUAUCUUCUGCACGUCUAAUCCUAGAGGGCAGACAAGCUUCUUUGCUUCGUACGUGCUGGCGGGCAAUUCGUUCUUUCUUGAAUGCAUCUUCUUCAUCAGUACCAGCAACUUUUCGAAUGACGAGUCAGUCACACCAGUCUCUGCCUUCCACUUCAGCAAUUCCAAUGUGCUACCCAGCUUCUUCUGGCCAUCUUCACAAGUUGGGUACAACAAUUUGUUGUGGUCCUGUAACAUCUGCUCGAACUGCAACCUCUCCUUUUCUGUGUCGCACCCUCGCCGUGCAUCAGAAAUGACCGGGCCAAGAUCAUCAGCGGGCUCAUCUGGUUCCCGUUCUUCAUCCUGAUCUUCUUCUUCAUUGUCUUCCAUUGCAGUAUCAGCAUACUCAGGGAACAUAGAUCGGUAGUUGUCAUCAUCGUUCUCUUCUUCUUCAUCGUCGUCUUCCAUCAUAACCCCUCUUUCUCCGUGCUUGGUCCAAACAUUAUAGCCCGACAUAAAACCAGACCGAAGCAGGUGGCUCUGAAUAACUCUUGAGGAAGUGUAAUCCUUCUCAUUUCGACAUUCAACACAUGGACAAAACAUAUAUCCACCACCAUGCUUGUUCGCAUCGGCUGCAUCUCGAAAAGAAUGCACGCCUUCUCUCUAAGCGGCUGUGCGUCGAUCACCGUACAUCCAUGGAUGGCUCAUCUGUGUUAUACGACAGUAUAUCAAAUACAAACACGAUCCUAAAAAUUAGUACCGCACGAUCUAAACGAGGAAAUAUAGUUGCUAAUCUUUUAGAAUAAGUAGAAAUAAAGAGGAAGAGGUUUAAGCGUGGCUCAGACAUCUCAUAUCGUAGUUGUGUUCGGUGAACUGAAGUGGCAUCGCUCUAACACACAUUUCAACAAACACCUCUAGUGCAUCAAAAAAAGUGAAGAGCUAGCACCCACCCACAAUCCUCCAUCCAAGAAAAAUGCAAGGAAGAGGGGAGAGGGGGGCUGUGCUAUAUAUAGGCAGAGGACUUUAGUCCCGGUUUGAGACACGAACCGGGACUAAAGGUGGCGCACAUGCGGGCUGCCCACCGCGUAGCUCUUUAGUCCUGAUUUGGGAGACGAACCGGGACUAAAGGCUCCUUACGGGCCGGGACUAAAACCUCGAGGGAGGCAUUGAAAAUUGAGACGACGUGGCCGGGCCUAAAGGGUCCCGGCCAAAGGCCCGUUUUCCUGCGACAGUGAAGUUACUUUAUUUUACCGAGACACAUUGUUUGAUUCUCGGCAAAUAGUUUGCCAAAUGUCCGUCAGUUGGUUCCUGGCAAAGUUUUGUUUGCCUCAGAGGUGUACGCGUGUACUCUUUGUUCAUAGCAAUGCUCGGCAAAGGCUUUGCCGAGUUUAUUUGGUCCUUUGCCGAGUAUUUCUAGCACUCAGCAUACACUACUAGAAUCUUGAAUUUCGUCGAGUUCUAAAUGUUUGCCGAGUUUCUUUUGCCAGGGAACUAGGCAAAGAAAUCUUUGCUGAGUUUUUUUUUGUACCGGGCAAAGAAAUCUUUGCCGAGUUUAUUUUUUAUUUGCGCCGGGCAAAGAAAUCUUUGUCGAGUUUCUUUUCUUUUAGCAGUGGGCAAAGAAAUCUUUGCCGACUUUAUUUUUGUUGCACUCGGCAAACAUCUAUUUUUUGUUUUUAAAUUUCCUUGUCCUUUCUCUUUGUCGAGUGCUUUGUUUAUUGCACAGAUUGAAUACUUAUUUUUAUUUUUUGUUUUCCUCUCCUUUCUCUUGUGUCUUUUCUUUUGUACAUUAUUUGCUUUACUUUUCCCUUUUAUAAUUUGUUCUCCUCUGUGUUAUUUAUUCUUAAUUUUAAUUUUCUAUUUCUUCCCCUUUCUCUAUUUCCUUUUCGAAUGGAUUUUCUAGGCAUUAAACAUUUUAGUGAAUAAAAAACAAUAUACGCAUUGUAAGUGCAUGAAAAAGUUGGCCCCAUACAAGAAAAAUUGUAAUAUUGACUAAUAUGAUACCUACAAUAUGUUGUAAAAGUUGAGAAAACGAAAUUGUAAGCCAUUUCUAGUUUUUUAACGGAUAUAAUACAAAUUUGAACUGCAAGUGCGUGAAAAAGUUGACAAAGUUGGGUAAAUAAUAAUAAUAAUUGUGUUCUUGGGUCCAUGUUUAACAUUUAUACAAGAAAUCGAAAGGACUUCUAAACAUGAGGAUGCCAAUACUUGUUCCCGAACGUGGAGUUUUUCGGUUAAUAAAUUCCAGAAAAUGCUAAUGAAGUCCAUAAAGCAUGAAUUUUGGCAUGGCGCCCUCAUAUCACAACUACAAGUUGAUGUAGAAAUUUGAGAAGGUUUCAGAAAAGUUGUGAUGUACAUCACUUAGAAACCAGAUAAUCUCAAAGGAAGAAACAUGAUUUUGGUAGGGAACGAGUGAGGUUUGAAGGCAAAGCUGCCGUUGCUUCAUCCGUUAGGCUUGAAUUUUUUGUGCACCAUUCAUGUAUUUGUUUUUGAAUAUUUAUGAGUCUGUUUGCUAUAUUUAACCCAUUAGAUGCAUUUCUAAACCUUUAACAAAUUUAAUUCAAAUUUGAACUGUAAGUGCCUGAAAAAGUCGAAUAGGUUGGGUUAAAAAAUCAUAAUUGUGUUCUUGAGUCCAUGUUUAAGUUUUAUACAAGCAAACAAAACGACUUCUAAACAUGAGGAUGCCAAUACUUGCUCCCUAACGUGGAGUUUUCCGGUUAAUAAAUUCCAUAAAAUUCAAAGGAACUCCGGAAAGCAUGAAAAUUGGCAUGGCGCCCUCAUAUGACAACUACAUGUUGUGGUAAAAAAUUGAGAAGGUUUCAUAAAAGUUGGGAUGUAAAUCGCUUAGAAACCAGACAAUCUCUAAGGAAGAAACAGGGUUUCGAUUGGGGACGGGCGAGGUUUUGAGGCGAAGCGACCGUUGCUUCAUCUGUUGGUCUUGAAAUUUUCAUGCACCCAAGAUACACCACUAUUUGAUAUAUGUAAUGUUUUAUAAUUAUUAUGAGUCUGUUUGCUAUAUUUAACCCAUUAAAUGCAAUUCUAAACCAUUAAAAAUAUAAUUCAAAUUUGAAUUGUAAGUGUGUUAGAAAGUUGAAAACGUUGGGUUGAAAAAUCAUAAUUUUGUUCUUCGUCUAUAUUCAGGCCUUACGCAAGAAAAUAAAAUCCAAACAUGAGGGGGCCAAGAAUCGAUUGAAAAGGGUGAAUUUUUUUGUUAUUAAAUUCUAAAAAAUGCAAAAGAAUUCCGAAAAGCAUGAAAAUUGGCAUGAUGCCCUUAUAUGGCACCUACAAUGGUGUGGUAAAAAAUUGAAAAAGUUUCGCAAAAUAUUUACAAGGGUAAAGGGCACACUUUUGUGAUAAAGAAAGCCCACAAUCUGUGCUUUUUCCCUACUGGAUAGGAGGAAAUUGCACGGAUCGUUGACAUGGCGUCAAUCUGCACUGUUAAACACUCAGAGAUCGAACGGUCUAUGGCGCCUCCCCUCGCUCCUUCCCUCCCUCUCUUAUCUUCUUAUCCCCUCGUCCUCUCUCUGGUGGUGGUGGGUGGCUACCGGCUCCCUCUCCCUCUCGAGGCUGACCAGCUCUGAUAGUCAAAACACGAGGGGCGCACAGUCAAGGCACAUGUUCAUGACAAAGUACCCCCCGUGUGUUUACUUCUUCAAUUCUAUAACUAACUUAUGGACCUUUUACUGGUCAACCAUAUUGGAAAGGAAAAUGAAGUGCAGGGGUCAUGCUGAUCAGGCAAUGUUCGAGGUGUCAAUUUUUAUGACCUGUCCAUGAAAAAGACAAGAAAACAGAUGGAUACACCUGUGGCUGUGGUGACCGAUUGGUGUACUUAACGGGAGCGCCUGUGGCUGUGAGGCAUAUCACCACACUAACUUGACUACGUAUGGUCAAGUGUACUCUAUUAAUUUAUGUAUUCAAUUGUACACAAUAUUUGACUUUAUGGAGCUUUGACUGGAAAACUGAUGUGCAGGCUGAUCUACAGGCAAUCUUCGAGUUGUCAAAUUUUAUGCCACACUAAAAUGAUGGUGAUUUGCGCCUAUAUAUAGAAUAUGUGUUCGUGAGUCUUAUCCCACACUAAAAGGCAUUUCUAUUUUUGCCUGAGGCAAAACUGCAAGCAAACCUGAUGGUUAUGGUGAUGGAGCCAAGCGCAUCCACCCUCGUGCUCCUCACUCUCGCCUCACUUGUGAUCCUUGCGUCGGUACUGAGCCGCAAACGGAAAAACCAUAGGCGGCCUCCAGGCCCAUGGCGCCUCCCCUUGAUCGGAAGCCUCCACCACGUCCUCACGUCGCAGCCGCAGGUCGCCCUCCGGGACCUGGCCAAGAAGCACGGCCCGGUCAUGUACCUCCGGUUCGGCCAGAUGGACACCGUCGUCGUCUCCUCGCCUGCCGCGGCGCAGGAGGUGCUCCGGGACAAGGACCUCUCAUUCGCGUCGAGGCCCAACAUCCUGGUCUCACAGAUCUUUUGCUACGGGGGCCGUAACGUCAUCCUCGCGCCCUACGGCCCCUACUGGCGGAUGACGCGCAAGCUCUGCACGGUUGAGCUCCUGAGCGAACGCAAGGUGCGGCAGUUCGCGCCCUUCAGAGACAGCGAGACCAUGUCCCUUGUCGAGAACGUCCGCGCCGCCGGUCGGGGCGGCGCGCCAUUGAACCUUGGCAAGCUACUCAUUUCCUGCACCAACACUAUCACCGCCAAGGCUACGUUCGGCCAGGUGUGCGACGAGGAGCUCCAGGAUCGCUUCAUGGCCGUGACCGGCCUGGCGAUCAAGGUCGCCGGCGGAUCCAGCGUCGGGGACCUGGUCCCGUCGCUGUGGUUCGUCGACGCCCUCACUGGGCUGAGAGGCCGUCUGUGGCGUGCGCGCCGGCAGCUGGAUGCCAUCCUGGACAAGAUCAUCGCUGAUGAAUGCAGGGAGGGGCAGCGAGGUGACCACCUUCUCGGAGUACUGCUUAGGAUCAAGGAUGAGGGGAACCUUGAAUUCCCCAUCGACAUGACAAACAUCAAGGCGAUCAUAUUGGUACGUGUCAAGCUUCAUGCACUAACCAACGUAAUAAAAGUCUAAAUAGAUUGAAAGUGCUAGACAAUCCAUGAUAUACACUCCAACAAUAUGAUACUAAAUAGAUCUAGUUUCUUUUAUCCGAGAGUAACUUAAUUUUCAUUUUUGUUCAUGCCCCUUCAGGAUAUGUUCACGGCAGGGACGGAGACGACGUCGGCAGUGGCCGAGUGGGUCAUGGCCGAACUCAUGAGGAACCCAAAGGUGAUGGCCAAGGCGCAGGCUGAAGUGCGUCAUACCUUGGACACCAAGAACCCUAUAGACCAUGAAGAAUACAUAGAUGAUCUGCACUACACCAAAAUGGUGAUCAAGGAGACCAUGAGGUUAAACCCUGUGGUGCCGUUGCUUGUCCCUCAUCUCUGUCAGGAAACCUGCGAUGUUGGCGGAUUUGAGGUCAAGGAGGGCACCAGGGUCUUGGUCAAUGCAUGGGCGAUGGCGAGAAGCCCCGAGUACUGGGAAAACGCAGAGGAGUUCAUGCCGGAGAGGUUCGAGGACGGCACGGCCACCUACAAGGGCUCGCGGUUCGAGUACUUGCCGUUCGGCACUGGAAGGAGGAAGUGCCCCGGCGAUACCUUUGGGCUGGCCACACUGGAGCUCGCGGUGACACGGCUCCUCUACUAUUUUGAUUGGAGCCUCCCUGCCGGAACACGGGUAGAUGAGCUCGACAUGGAAACAAGCGUGGGGUUAGCCGCGAGGAGGAAGAACCAGCUGCACCUAGUGGCGACCCCUUAUAAGGGUGCUUGCUAGGCAAAUACUAUCUAUGUGCUCUCUUAUGUUCUUUUCCGUACAAAAAAAAUCACCGUGGAGUUUUUUUUCCCAAGAAAUAACCACUGUGAAGUGUAUUUGUAAAUUAAGUUCAUAACCUCUUUAUGCCUGCACAUGGACGGGUGAAUAGCUCAUGUGUGAAGUUUUUGAUGCGAAUUGGAAAGAAUGAAACGUAGUUGACCAAAAUAGCUCGUCGUGCGAUGAUUUACAUGGCAAUAAUAGCCCCUAUACAAUGGGAAUGGUCAUCAACGGGGAGCACACUUAAGUUAAAAACAGGGAGUCAAACUGAUAAGUGCAUCUGGUGGCGGGCCUCACUUGACAGUGCAUCGAGGUUAACGAUUCCCCGCCCGACUAGACCCGUGCUACUCCCCCUGCUUAUGGUUGCUGCUCCCGUCUUCAUUCUCGUCGGCGGCGGCGACGGCGGCAGAGCUUACGUUCACGGUCGCGGCGGCGUAUGUGGAAAGUGUAUUCGGUAUCCUAGAGCUGUUCCCCUAAGUCUUGAGUUAGAUCUAACCAAGUGAGCCUUUGUUUUCCACGGGAUCCAGAUUGUGGAGGCGGGUGGGGUGGGGGAGCGGUUGCGGCGUUGGGCUGAACGAGAUGGAGCCGCGAGAGACAACACCGACUAGGUAAUGAUCACCCUUUCUAACCUAUGCGAUGUGUCCCUAGUCUACUUCUGCUGCCUCACGGUGUCCGCCAUUGGUACACAUGGGCGAUGGUGCUCAGGCCUUCGAAUUCACUAUUGAAUUCUUUCCGUCUAAAGUGAAGCUAGUUGAUGGUAGUGUGCGAGACACAAAGAGAGAUACAAUUGUGAAAUGAGAGGUUGAAUUUGCAGAAAUUGACCCAUAGGAAAUACAGAGAUGGAAGAGAGGGGCUUGAGGAAUUUUGAGGAGAAAGUUGGGGAGAGCAUUUUUUGGGUCCAGGGUAAGAGGUAUAAUUGUUACUGUUUGAUAAUUGAAAGGGUAAGUAUGUGAGAAUUGAGAAUGGUGAAGAGAUGGUUGAUGAAAUCGAUCGACAAGACUGCUGGGUAAGCAAAAAAGACUACCAUUCAUGCAUAGCUCGUUGAUGUGAAAUCGAUCGGCAAGACUACUAGGCAAGUUCGAUUCAUAGAUGAUAUAUGAUGAUUGGGAUUCACAGAAAUAGAUAACGUCCAUGUGUACGGGGAAGUGACGGUAAUAGAGGGGGCUGAUCAACAUGCACAAGAGGGCUAUCAUGGUGCUGUAAGGGUUAUUUUNNNNNNNNNNNNNNNNNNNNNNNNNNNNNNNNNNNNNNNNNNNNNNNNNNNNNNNNNNNNNNNNNNNNNNNNNNNNNNNNNNNNNNNNNNNNNNNNNNNNNNNNNNNNNNNNNNNNNNNNNNNNNNNNNNNNNNNNNNNNNNNNNNNNNNNNNNNNNNNNNNNNNNNNNNNNNNNNNNNNNNNNNNNNNNNNNNNNNNNNNNNNNNNNNNNNNNNNNNNNNNNNNNNNNNNNNNNNNNNNNNNNNNNNNNNNNNNNNNNNNNNNNNNNNNNNNNNNNNNNNNNNNNNNNNNNNNNNNNNNNNNNNNNNNNNNNNNNNNNNNNNNNNNNNNNNNNNNNNNNNNNNNNNNNNNNNNNNNNNNNNNNNNNNNNNNNNNNNNNNNNNNNNNNNNNNNUGUUUCCUGAUCAUGGACAUUGGAUGUCAUUGAUAACGGGAUCACAUCAUUGGGAGAAUGAUGUGGUGGACAAGACCCAAUCCUAAGCCUAGCACUAGAUCGUAUUGUUCGUAUGCUAAUGCUUUUCUAAUGUCAAGUAUCUUUUCCUUCGACCGUGAGAUUGUGCAACUCCCGGAUACCGUAGGAGUGCUUUGGGUGUAUCAAACGUCACAACGUAACUGGGUGACUAUAAAGGUGCACUACGGGUACCUCCGAAAGUGUCUGUUGGGUUGGCACGAAUCGAGAUCGGGAUUUGUCACUCCGUGUGACGGAGAGGUAUCUCUGGGCCCACUCGGUAGAACAUCAUCAUGAGCUCAAUGUGACUAAGGAGUUAGUCACACGAUGACGUGCUACGGAACGAGUAAAGAGACUUACCGGUAACGAGAUUGAACAAGGUAUAGGUAUACCGACGAUCGAAUCUCGGGCAAGUUCUAUACCGACAGACAAAGGGAAUCGUAUACGGGAUUGAUUGAAUCCUUGACAUCGUGGUUCAUCCGAUGAGAUCAUCGUGGAGCUAGUGGGAGCCACCAUGGGUAUCCAGACCCCGCUGAUGGUUAUUGGCCAGAGAGGUGUCUCGGUCAUGUCUGCCUGUCUCCCGAACCCGUAGGGUCUACACACUUAAGGUUCGAUGACGCUAGGGUUAUAGGGAAUUGUUAUACGAGAUUACCGAAAGUUGUUCGGAGUCCCGGAUGAGAUCCCGGACGUCACGAGGAGCUCCGGAAUGGUCCGGAGGUAAAGAUUGAUAUAUAGGACGGAUGGUUUCGGACACCGGAAGUGUUUCGGGCAUCACCGGUAACGUACCGGGACCACCGGGACCACCGGAGGUGGUCCCGGGGGACCACCGAAGGGGGGUGACGACCCCGGGAGGCUAGAUGGGCUAAGUGGGGAAGGGAACCAGCCCCUAAGUGAGCUGGUGCGCCCCCACCCAGCCCAUGUGCACCAGAAAAAAGGGGAAGGGGGGGGGGAACCCUAACUAAGGUGGGCCUUAGGCCCACCAGAGGGGUGCGCCAUCCCUCCUCCUUGCCCUGGCCGCCACUCCCCCCAUCUGGGAGGGCUGCCGCACCCCCUAGGGUGGGAACCCUAGGGGUGGCACCCCCUCUCCCCUUCCCCUAUAUACAGUGGGCACUUUUGGCCUUUGGAGGACACGGUUUGCCCUCUCCCUCGGCGCAGCCCUGCACUUCUUCCUCCUCCUCUCCGCCGGCGCUUGGCGAAGCCCUGCCGGGAGACCUCGUCUUUCCACCAACACCACGCCGUCGUGUUGCUGGUCUUCUUCCCCAACCUCUCCCUCCUCCUUGCUGGAUCAAGGUGCGGGAGACGUCACCGGGUUGCACGUGUGUUGAACGCGAAGGUGCCGUUGUUCGGCACUAGAUCGGAAUCGCUGCGGGUACGACUCCAUCAACCGCGUUCUAGCAACGUUUCCGCUUAGCGAUCUUCAAAGGUAUGAAGAUGCUCUUACCCCUCUCUCGUUGCUGGUCUCUCCAUAGGAAGAUCUGAACAUGCGUAGGAAAAUUUUGAAUUUAUGCUACGUUACCCAACAGUGGCAUCCGAGCCAGGUUUUCUAUGCGUAGAUUCUAUGCACGACUAGAACACAAAAGUUGUGGGCGAUGGUUUGUCAAUUUGCUUGCCGUUACUAGUCUUAUUCUUUUCCGGCGGUAUUGUGGGAUGAAGCGGCCCGGACCGACCUUACACGUAUGCUUACGUGAGACUGGUUCCACCGACAGACAUGCACAUCGUGCAUAAAGGUGGCUAGCGGGUGCUGUCUCUCCUACUCUAGUCGGAUUGGAUUUGAUGAAAAGGGUCCUUAUGAAGGGUAAAUAGCUUUGGCAUAUCAUCGUUGUGGCUGUCACGUAGGUAAGAAGGCGUUCUUGCUAGAAACCCAAAUCAGCCACGUAAAACUUGCAACAACAAUUAGAGGACGUCUAACUUGUUUUUGCAGGGUUUGACAUGUGAUGUGAUAUGGCCAAAGUUGUGAUGUUGCACGUAUGAUGUAUGAGAUGAUCAUGUUAUUGUAAUAGGUUUCACGAAUUGCAUGUCGAUGAGUAUGACAACCGGCAUGAGCCAUAGGAGUUGUCUUAAUUUAUUGUAUGAGAUGCAACGCCAUGUGCUUACUACUUUUACUUCAUUGCUAACGGUUAGCUAUAGUAGUAGUGAUAGUAGUAGUUGGCGUGACGACUUCACGGAGACACGAUGAUGGAGAUCAUGGUGUCACGCCGGUGACAAUGAUGAUCAUGCGAUGCCUGAAGAUGGAGAUCGAAAGAGCAAAGAUGAUAAUGGCCAUAUCAUGUCACUAUAUGAUUGCAUUGUGAUGUUUAUCAUGUUUUACAUCUUAUUGCUUAAAACGACGGUAGCAUAAUAAGAUGAUCCCUCUUAAAAUUUCGAGAACGUAUUACCCUAAGUGUGCACCGUUGCGAAGGUUCGUUGUCUCGAAGCACCACGUGAUGAUCGGGUGUGAUAGAUUCUAACGUUCGCAUACAACGGGUGUAAGCCAGAUUUACACACGCAGAACACCUAGGUUGACUCGACGAGCUUAGCAUGUACAUACAUGACCUCGAAUACAAGAGACCGAAAGGUCGAACAUGAGUCGUAUGGUUGAAUACGAUCAACAUGGAGUUGCUCACCAUGGUGACUAGUCCGUCUCACGUGAUGAUCGGACACGGGUUAGUCAACAUGGAUCAUGUAUCACUUAGAUGACUAGAGGGAUGUCGAUUUAAGUGGGAGUUCAUACUUAAUUUGAUUAAAUGAACUUAAUUGUCAUGAACUUAGUCUAAAAGUUGUCUUUAUAAAUAUUGUAGAUGUCCAACGUCAACCUCAACUUCAAUGCAUUCCUAGAGAAAAACAAGCUGAAAGAUGAUGGUAGCAACUAUGCGGACUGGGUUCGCAACCUGAAGCUCAUCGUUGAAGCAGCUAAAAAGGCUUAUGUCCUUAAUGCGCCGCUAGGUGACCCUCCCGCUCCCACAGCAGCCCAGGACAUUCUAAACGUCUGGCAAGCGCGGAGUGAUGACUACUCUCUGGUCAGGUGUGGCAUGUUAUACAGUUUAGAAACGGGGCUCCAAAGACGUUUUGAGCAACACGGGGCAUAUGAGAUGUUCCAAGAGCUGAAGCUAGUUUUUCAAGCUCAUGCCCGUGUCGAGAGAUAUGAAGUCCCCGACAAGUUCUUCAGCUGUAAGAUGGAGGAGAACAGUUCUGUCAGCGAGCACAUACUCAAAAUGUCUGGGUUACACGGUCGUCUGACUUCACUUGGAGUCGAACUUCCGGAUGAUGCUAUCAUUGACAGAAUCCUCCAGUCUCUCCCACCAAGCUACAAAGGCUUUGUGCUUAACUACAACAUGCAAGGGAUGGAGAAAACCAUUCCCGAGUUGUACUCGAUGCUCAAGUCUGCAGAAGUAGAAAUCAAGAAGGAGCAUCAAGUGUUGAUGGUCAACAAGACCACUAGUUUCAAGAAAGGCAGGGGUAAGAAGAACUUCAAGAAAGACGGCAAAGCUGUUGCCGCACCCGGUAAGCCAGAUGCCGGGAAGAAGAAAAAGAACGGACCCAAGCCUGAGACUGAGUGCUUCUACUGCAAGGGAAAAGGUCACUGGAAGCGGAACUGCCCCAAAUACUUAGCGGACAAGAAGGCCGACAACGUUAAAGGUAUAUAUGAUAUACAUGUUAUUGAUGUGUACCUUACCAGCGCUCGUAGUAGCUCUUGGGUAUUUGAUACCGGUGCUGUUGCUCACAUUUGCAACUCAAAGCAGGAACUGCGGAAUAAGCGGAGAGUGGCCAAGGACGAGGUGACGAUGCAUGUCGGGAAUGGUUCAAAGGUCGAUGUGAUCGCCGUCGGCACGCUACCUCUACAUCUACCGUCGGGAUUAGUUUUAAACCUCAAUAAUUGUUAUUUAGUACCAGCUUUAAGCAUGAACAUUGUAUGAGGGUCUUGCUUAAUGCGAGACGGCUACUCAUUUAAGUCAGAGAAUAAUGGUUGUUCUAUUUAUAUGAGUGAUAUGUUUUAUGGCCAUGCUCCGCUGGUAAAUGGUUUAUUCUUGAUGAAUCUCGAUCGUGAUGUUACACAUAUUCAUAGUGUGAGUACCAAAAGAUGCAAAGUUGAUAAUGAUAGUCCCACAUACUUGUGGCACUGCCGCCUUGGUCAUAUCGGCGUUAAGCGCAUGAAGAAGCUCCAUACUAAUGGGCUAUUAGAGUCUCUUGACUUUGAAUCACUUGACACAUGCGAACCGUGCCUCAUGGGCAAGAUGACUAAGACUCCAUUCUCAGGAAUAAUGGAGAGAGCAACCGACUUAUUGGAAAUAAUACAUACUGAUGUGUGUGGUCCAAUGAACGUUGAAGCUCGCGGUGGUUAUCGUUAUGUUCUCACUCUCAUCGAUGAUUUGAGUAGGUAUGGGUAUAUCUACUUGAUGAAGCACAAAUCUGAGACGUUUGAAAAGUUCAAGGAAUUUCAGAGUGAGGUUGAGAAUCAACGUGACAGAAAAAUUAAAUGUCUACGAUCUGAUCGUGGAGGAGAAUAUUUGAGUCACGAGUUUGGCACACACCUAAGAAAGUGUGGAAUCGUUUCACAACUGACGCCGCCUGGCACACCGCAGCGCAACGGAGUGUCUGAACGUCGUAGUCGCACUUUAUUAGAUAUGGUACGAUCUAUGAUGUCUCUCACCGACUUACCGCUAUCAUUUUGGGGAUACGCAUUAGAAACUGUAGCAUUCACUUUAAACAGGGUACCGUCUAAAUCCGUUGAGACGACACCGUAUGAACUAUGGUUUGGCAAGAAACCUAAGUUGUCGUUUCUUAAAGUUUGGGGCUGCGAUGCUUAUGUGAAGAAACUUCAACCAGAAAAGCUCGAACCCAAAGCGGAGAAAUGCGUAUUCAUAGGAUACCCUAAGGAAACUAUUGGGUAUACCUUCUAUCUUAGAUCCGAAGGUAAAACCUUUGUUGCCAAGAACGGAUCCUUUCUAGAGAAAGAGUUUCUCUCGAAAGAAGUAAGUGGGAGGAAGGUAGAACUUGAUGAGGUAAUUACACCCCCUCUCGAACAGGAAAGUAGCGCAGCGCAAGAAGUUGUUCCUGUGGUGCCUACACCGACUGAAGAGGAAGUUAAUGAUGAUGAUCAUGAAGCUUCGGAUCAAGUUACUACUGAACCGCGAAGGUCCACAAGGGUACGCACCGCACCAGAGUGGUACGGCAACCCAGUGAUGGAAAUCAUGUUGUUAGUCAACGGUGAACCUUCGAACUAUGAAGAAGCGAUGGAGGGCCCGGAUUCCAACAAAUGGCUUGAGGCCAUGAAAUCCGAGAUAGGAUCCAUGUAUGAGAACAAAGUAUGGACUUUGGUGGACUUGCCCGAUGACCGGCGAGCCAUAGAAAAUAAAUGGAUCUUCAAGAAGAAGACUGAUGCAAACGGUAAUGUAACCGUUUACAAAGCUCGACUUGUCGCAAAGGGUUUUCGACAAAUUCAAGGAGUUGACUACGAAGAGACUUUCUCUCCCGUAGCGAAGCUGAAAUCAGUCCGAAUCAUGUUAGCAAUUGCCGCCUUUUAUGAUUAUGAAAUUUGGCAAAUGGACGUCAAAACAGCGUUCCUUAACGGGAACCUUAAGGAAGAGUUGUAUAUGAUGCAACCAGAAGGUUUUGUCGACCCUAAGGGUGCUAACAAAGUGUGCAAGCUCCAGCGCUCCAUAUAUGGGCUGGUGGAAGCAUCUCGGAGUUGGAACAUUCGCUUUAAUGAGGUGAUUAAAGCGUUUGGGUUCAUACAGGUUUACGGAGAAGCCUGUCUGUACAAGAAAGUGAGUGGGAGCUCUGUAGCUUUCCUCGUACUAUAUGUGGAUGACAUAUUAUUGAUGGGGAAUGAUAUAGAGAUGUUGGAGAGCAUAAAGGCCUAUUUGAACAAGAGUUUUUCAAUGAAGGACCUUGGAGAAGCUGCAUACAUAUUAGGCAUCAAGAUCUAUAGAGAUAGAUUGAGACGCCUCAUAGGUCUUUCGCAAAGUACAUACCUUGACAAGAUAUUGAAGAAGUUCAAUAUGGAAAACUCAAAGAAAGGGUUCUUGCCAGUUUUGCAAGGUAUAAGAUUGAGUAAGACUCAGUCGCCGACCACGGCAGCAGAUAGAGAGAUGAUGAGUUCUGUCCCCUACGCUUCAGCCGUGGGCUCUCUAAUGUAUGCCAUGCUGUGUACCAGACCUGAUAUAAACCUUGCCAUAAGCUUGGUAGGGAGGUACCAAAGUAAUCCCGGUGUAGAACACUGGACAACGGUCAAGAAUAUCCUUAAGUACCUGAAAAGGACUAAGGAAAUGUUUCUCGUUUAUGGAGGUGACGAAGAGCUCGUCGUAAAGGGUUACGUCGACGCUAGCUUCGACACAGAUCCGGAUGACUCUAAGUCACAAACCGGAUACGUAUAUGUGUUGAAUGGUGGGGCAGUGAGCUGGUGCAGCAGCAAGCAAGAAGUCGUGGCAGCAUCUACAUGUGAAGCGGAGUACAUAGCUGCUUCAGAAGCGGCUCAUGAAGGAAUUUGGAUGAAGGAGCUCAUCACCGACCUUGGAGUGGUUCCAAGCGCGUCGGGUCCUAUGACACUCUUCUGUGAUAACACUGGAGCCAUUUCCAUAGCUAAGGAGCCCAGGUUUCACCGGAAGACGAAGCACAUCAAGCGCCGCUACAACUCCAUCCAGGACCAUGUCCAGAGUGGAGUGAUAGAUAUUUGUAAAGUACACACGGAUCUGAAUAUUGCAGACCCGUUGACUAAACCUCUUCCACGAGCAAAACAUGAUCAACACCAUGAUGCUAUGGGUGUUCGAUACAUCACAAUGUAACUAGAUUAUUGACUCUAGUGCAAGUGGGAGACUGUUGCAAAUAUGCCCUAGAGGCAAUAAUAAAAUGGUUAUUAUCAUAUUUCCUUGUUCAUGAUAAUCGUCUAUCGUUCAUGCUAUAAUUGUAUUAAUAGGAAACAGUAAUACAUGUGUGAAUGAAUAGAUCACAAUGUGUCCCUAGAAAGCCUCUAGUUGGCUAGCUCGUUAGUCAAUAGAUGAUCAUUGUUUCCUGAUCAUGGACAUUGGAUGUCAUUGAUAACGGGAUCACAUCAUUGGGAGAAUGAUGUGGUGGACAAGACCCAAUCCUAAGCCUAGCACUAGAUCGUAUUGUUCGUAUGCUAAUGCUUUUCUAAUGUCAAGUAUCUUUUCCUUCGACCGUGAGAUUGUGCAACUCCCGGAUACCGUAGGAGUGCUUUGGGUGUAUCAAACGUCACAACGUAACUGGGUGACUAUAAAGGUGCACUACGGGUACCUCCGAAAGUGUCUGUUGGGUUGGCACGAAUCGAGAUCGGGAUUUGUCACUCCGUGUGACGGAGAGGUAUCUCUGGGCCCACUCGGUAGAACAUCAUCAUGAGCUCAAUGUGACUAAGGAGUUAGUCACACGAUGACGUGCUACGGAACGAGUAAAGAGACUUACCGGUAACGAGAUUGAACAAGGUAUAGGUAUACCGACGAUCGAAUCUCGGGCAAGUUCUAUACCGACAGACAAAGGGAAUCGUAUACGGGAUUGAUUGAAUCCUUGACAUCGUGGUUCAUCCGAUGAGAUCAUCGUGGAGCUAGUGGGAGCCACCAUGGGUAUCCAGACCCCGCUGAUGGUUAUUGGCCAGAGAGGUGUCUCGGUCAUGUCUGCCUGUCUCCCGAACCCGUAGGGUCUACACACUUAAGGUUCGAUGACGCUAGGGUUAUAGGGAAUUGUUAUACGAGAUUACCGAAAGUUGUUCGGAGUCCCGGAUGAGAUCCCGGACGUCACGAGGAGCUCCGGAAUGGUCCGGAGGUAAAGAUUGAUAUAUAGGACGGAUGGUUUCGGACACCGGAAGUGUUUCGGGCAUCACCGGUAACGUACCGGGACCACCGGGACCACCGGAGGUGGUCCCGGGGGACCACCGAAGGGGGGUGACGACCCCGGGAGGCUAGAUGGGCUAAGUGGGGAAGGGAACCAGCCCCUAAGUGNNNNNNNNNNNNNNNNNNNNNNNNNNNNNNNNNNNNNNNNNNNNNNNNNNNNNNNNNNNNNNNNNNNNNNNNNNNNNNNNNNNNNNNNNNNNNNNNNNNNNNNNNNNNNNNNUGUUUCCUGAUCAUGGACAUUGGAUGUCAUUGAUAACGGGAUCACAUCAUUGGGAGAAUGAUGUGGUGGACAAGACCCAAUCCUAAGCCUAGCACUAGAUCGUAUUGUUCGUAUGCUAAUGCUUUUCUAAUGUCAAGUAUCUUUUCCUUCGACCGUGAGAUUGUGCAACUCCCGGAUACCGUAGGAGUGCUUUGGGUGUAUCAAACGUCACAACGUAACUGGGUGACUAUAAAGGUGCACUACGGGUACCUCCGAAAGUGUCUGUUGGGUUGGCACGAAUCGAGAUCGGGAUUUGUCACUCCGUGUGACGGAGAGGUAUCUCUGGGCCCACUCGGUAGAACAUCAUCAUGAGCUCAAUGUGACUAAGGAGUUAGUCACACGAUGACGUGCUACGGAACGAGUAAAGAGACUUACCGGUAACGAGAUUGAACAAGGUAUAGGUAUACCGACGAUCGAAUCUCGGGCAAGUUCUAUACCGACAGACAAAGGGAAUCGUAUACGGGAUUGAUUGAAUCCUUGACAUCGUGGUUCAUCCGAUGAGAUCAUCGUGGAGCUAGUGGGAGCCACCAUGGGUAUCCAGACCCCGCUGAUGGUUAUUGGCCAGAGAGGUGUCUCGGUCAUGUCUGCCUGUCUCCCGAACCCGUAGGGUCUACACACUUAAGGUUCGAUGACGCUAGGGUUAUAGGGAAUUGUUAUACGAGAUUACCGAAAGUUGUUCGGAGUCCCGGAUGAGAUCCCGGACGUCACGAGGAGCUCCGGAAUGGUCCGGAGGUAAAGAUUGAUAUAUAGGACGGAUGGUUUCGGACACCGGAAGUGUUUCGGGCAUCACCGGUAACGUACCGGGACCACCGGGACCACCGGAGGUGGUCCCGGGGGACCACCGAAGGGGGGUGACGACCCCGGGAGGCUAGAUGGGCUAAGUGGGGAAGGGAACCAGCCCCUAAGUGGGCUGGUGCGCCCCCACCCAGCCCAUGUGCACCAGAAAAAAGGGGAAGGGGGGGGGGAACCCUAACUAAGGUGGGCCUUAGGCCCACCAGAGGGGUGCGCCAUCCCUCCUCCUUGCCCUGGCCGCCACUCCCCCCAUCUGGGAGGGCUGCCGCACCCCCUAGGGUGGGAACCCUAGGGGUGGCACCCCCUCUCCCCUUCCCCUAUAUACAGUGGGCACUUUUGGCCUUUGGAGGACACGGUUUUCCCUCUCCCUCGGCGCAGCCCUGCACUUCUUCCUCCUCCUCUCUGCCGGCGCUUGGCGAAGCCCUGCCGGGAGACCUCGUCUCUCCACCAACACCACGCCGUCGUGUUGCUGGUCUUCUUCCCCAACCUCUCCCUCCUCCUUGCUGGAUCAAGGUGCGGGAGACGUCACCGGGCUGCACGUGUGUUGAACGCGGAGGUGCCGUUGUUCGGCACUAGAUCGGAAUCGCUGCGAGUACGACUCCAUCAACCACGUUCUAGCAACGCUUCCACUUAGCGAUCUUCAAAGGUAUGAAGAUGCUCUUACCCCUCUCUCGUUGCUGGUCUCUCCAUAGGAAGAUCUGAACAUGCGUAGGAAAAUUUUGAAUUUAUGCUACGUUACCCAACAUAAAAGAGGUGAGGUAUCUAUGUUGAAUUGGUUGCUCAAGUGCUUAGAGACACCCAACAAAAAUACUCAGCCAUUCUCCCACAAAAUUCACUGUCCAAAAGCCUAAACAUCAAAAUCGGUGCUUGAUACGUUAAGUUUUGAUUGUUGCAUGUUAUUAUAUUAUCUAUUUUGGAUGUUUUAUGUGCAUUUAUAUGCCGUUUUAUAUUAUUUUUAUGACUAACCUAUUAAUCUAGAGCCUAGUGCCAGUUUCUGUUUUUUCUACGUUUUUGAGCAUUGCAAAUAAGGAAUAUUGAACGGGGUCCAAACGGAAUAAAAUAUCCUGAAAGAUUUUUCUUGGACUAGAAGACACGCAACAGACUUGAAGUAGGGGGCAAGCCAAUUGCCGGGAGGCCACAAGCCUGCAGGGCGAGCCAUGGGGGGAUGGCCGCGCCCCUUGGCUUGUGGGCCCCCCUAGAGGUCUCCUAACCCAAUUCUUCGGCAUAUAAAUUCCCAAAUAUGUAGUACUUGAUGAGUUAUGCAUGCCCGCUUAUACAACCCAGCUUUCAGUGGAUCCUACUAAUCAUAGAUCCCGACGAGGCAAAAGUUGAAGUACUGGACUCACUGGAAAAAAGAUCGUAAAGAGUAAAUGACCUGAAGUUGAUGUCCGACAGGUAAUUUCAAUCAUUAUCGCACUAUGUCGGCCUCUUUAGUUCCUUUCCUGAUAUCAAGUAAUCAAUGACUCCUUUAUUCUUUUUCUUUGCCGGGCAGACUUUAGACACGGUUCAUCCAGAAGGUUCGUGGUGAAUGGAAACCAAAGCUGAUAUGGGUACGAUCUAAGGUAAUAAAGUAGUACUAGCUACGUCCGCGCAUCUACUUGGUUCUAGUUUUAAUAUCAUUAUAAUGCUUGAUUAUUAUCUGACUGCAUUCUAUUCUCGUAAUGUGGUGCAUGCGGCAGGAACAAGAGACUAAUCUAUGUGCAUACUAUGUUUGCGACAACAUUCGCUUUAUGACCGAACGGCGCCCAGAUGCAAGAACUCUUUGGAUACGUAAACAUGGUCUAAUAUAUACACACAACUAAUAUAUUCAUAUUGGUCUCCUUUUUUAAAGAUGAAGGGGAUGCGGGAUAGGCUCCUACCAAAGGAACGCAUAUAAGCACUUUAAGUGAAAAUUGCGGGAUUUUUGCUUGAGCAGGUCAUAGAUCCCGACGUAGAAUACCACUACACCAAUUAAUACAUGCAUGUAAUGAUCUGCAAGUUGUAGGACAAAUUGUAUACUAUAUAAUACGACCAUUUGGGGCACCUAGGUGUCCAGGCUCCUUGACUUUUCACCGUUCGAUUGCAUUAUGGGUCAACCAUCAUAAAUUACAGAUUUGGAAAUAAUCACGCCAUGCAUGGUAACUUUUUUGUGGGAAGAAAAUGAUGACAUGCAUGCUACCUUCCUUAUUAAGAAACGUUUGUAAUAAGAAUUGGAGAGAAAACUAGUAAUUAAGGCCUUAUUAUUGUGUCUUGAACGUCCAUGACGUUGCGUAUAUGUACAUUUUUUUCAUAUGUGUGCAUACACAUUGGGUUGAUACAUACAAUUUUUUAUUAAUUAUUUCAAAUUAAGUUAGUAUUUUCUUUUCCAACCAUUUUGUGACUUUGGGUAACAUAUACCUGUGGAUGCCAUAUUUCACGUAGACAAAUAUAUGUAGCCAUACUUUACUUUAUAUACAUUGAUGAGAUACCUACAAUAUUUUCGUAUCUUUUUUGACCUAGUCGGGUACAUACGUGUAUAUAUUAGGUAUAUUAGGUAUAAUACCUACAAAUUGAUAUCACGGUCUAAGAAAAUGUACACGUGAUAUCUCGCGUACAUACAUAAAAGAUGUGACAUUUAUAGGUAUAUAUACAAAUAUAAUUCACAUCAAGUUAUUUAUAUUUAUAUGUAUGUUUUUAUUAGGUAUAUCAUCAAUAUGUACAUAUUCAUUUGUAUAAUCACAUCGAGGUAUGUAUAUAUUCAUGUGUAUAUUCACAUCAAAGUAUGCAUAUUUUCACUUGGUACAAUAACAACACAUAGAUAUUAAAAGUAUGACAUUUAUGUCUACAUUUUCAUUGGGUAUAACUUUGACAUGUCCAUGUUUCGUCAAGUAUAAUACCCACUAACUAGUAUCACUGUCUAUGAGGAUAUACAUAUGUACAUAUCCAGUAUGAAUGUUCAUACCAUGUUGGUUUCUGAAAGCAAUUAUUGACCAUUUAAUAUACUACUAGUACAUGCAAAUAAAAUAUGAAAAGUCAUUAUUUUGUCAAUUGAAUGUCAUGCACUAAUGAAUAUGACUUGCCAUAACCAGCCUAGGUGCACAGGCUCCUAGGUGCCCCAUAUAUAUAGGUGUCCCGCGUGGUAGUAUAUGGAACACGUGGGGUAACUACCCCUGGGUGGUAGGAUGUAUUUUUCCUAUAACGCGUGUGUGUGUGUNUCUACAAGAAAUUCUAUAAUAUAUGCAUAACGUGUAUUGUAUGUAGUAGCGUAAGAUAUAUUUGAAAUGAAAGAAAUUAAAUAGAAAACUGAAAAUGAAAAGAAAAAAUAAAUAAUAAACCCCAAAAUCUCAAAAUCCCAAAACCCCAAAUCUCCGAAGCCGUUAGUCCCGGUUGGUGUUACCAACCGGGACUAAAGGUCCCCGUUCCCCGAUGCGCGCUGCCAGCCAAGUGGAAAGGAAUUAAUCCCUGGUCGUGGCAAACCGGGACUAGGGGGGAGGGGCUUUAGUCGCAAGUUAUUAGCCCCGAUUGAUGAACCGUGACUAAAGGCCCUUACCAACCGGGAGUAAGAGCGUCUCCAUCCGCGCCCCCAACACGCCCCUCCUAGGUCUUUUUUUGCCGGCGGGCCAAAAACGCCCCAGUCGCGCCCCCAGAAACCUGUUUUCGCCGAUUAGAGCCAAAAUUAGCCCCGACGGUCUCAGGCCGAACCCAGCGCACUGGGGACCCCCAGGAGCGCCGACACUAUUAUUUGCAUGCAAAAGGCCCACUGUCAGCCUCCCACUCCCUCUCUUCCUCCUCUCUAUCUCUUGCAUGCAACAGGCCCACCCAUGUGCAUGCCUCGCCCACUUCAUCUCUUUUUCCUCUCAUCUCUCUUGACUUGUAGUGUUGGGUGGGGGCAUAGCUGGAAAACUUUUCCUCCCCAUGUCAAAAAUUUCGCCGGUAUAACCCCAACCGGGUGAAAAAGUGCCUCCUGGGAGGCCAAUGAGCGGAGAUGCUCUAAAGCCCCGUUUUCUACUAAUGAUGUAGCUAUAUCAAUGAACUCCAUUAAUAAAUUUUGGUGUCGUGCUCGUGUGAUUGCUUGGUCUUUAGAUGAUCAAUGAAAUGCGUCGAAUUAUUUUAACGACAACUGUACAAUGGAGAACUCGUGGUCAAGGCACAUGCCCAAGACUGCUUGAGCCCAUUUAUGCUUCCUCUUAACGUGCAUGAUCGAGCCCUGCUAUCCUGGCAUAAUCAAACUUGUGGGAGUAACAUUAGAAAAUUAUAUAUUACAAAUUUUUCAUAUAUCAAUGGUACGUCUAUGUUCCAUGGAUCAAUAGAAUAUCCGUUCAAUGAAAGAAGAUGUUUCUGUCGAAAGCAAAACGUCAUUGGUACUUCUUCAAUCUUAAGAACCAUUAGCUCAUUCUUUUGGGUGUGUUCAUAAGAGUAUGAUGUGCUUGAAUGUGUUUAUGCGAAUGAGUGUGUAUACGUAUUGUAGAGCUCAAGGUCACUGCCGCCAGUAUCAUAUUGUUAACUAAUCAGCCGCAUCAUUUUCACCUCUGAUAGUAAAAACACGAGGGGCGCACAGUCAAGGCACAUGUUCAUGACAAAGUAUGGUUAAGUGUAUUUAUUUCUUCAAUUUUAUAACUAACUUAUGGACGUCUUACUGAUGAACCAUAUUGGAAAGGAAAAUGAAGUGCAGGGUCAUGAUGAUCACACUACUAGAAUUUUCAACUAUGCCUACAGCCAGAUGCCGUCGGCAUAGCGCUCCUACCGUCGGCAUAGCUCUAUGCCGACGGCAGCCGUCGGCAUAUCCCCGUCGCCAUAGAACACGUCAGCGUAGAUGCCACGGCCGUCGGCACAGAAAAGCUGUCGGCAUAGGUAUCUAUGCCUACGGCUUUCUUACAGCCGUCGGCGUAGUUUGACCCUCGGCAUAUUUUUUCAUGAAACGGUUUCUAACGGCGCCGUUACUCCACCGGCCGUCCAGCGGAGUGACGCGUGGCGCAUCUAUGCCUACAGCCAGGCCAUCGACAUAGAUUGUAGAUGUCCUGCGCCGGCCGUCUUUCGUAAUGACACGUGCCUCAUGUAUGCCUACGGCAAUGCCGUCGGCAGAGAUCGUAAAUAUAUGCCGACAGCUAGGCCGUAGGCAUAGAUUCGCCACGUGUCGGCUACUGGUGGCAUACCUAUACGCCGACGGUCUAGCCGUCGGCACAAAUGUGGCACGUGGCAGCAACUGGCUACUUGGCCAUAUCUAUGCCGACAGCAAAGCUGUAGGCAUAGUUACACUCUGUUUUUUUUAUAUAUUUCUUGUUUUGACAAUUUCAUUCAAAAUCAACACAAUAAUAUGACAGCAAAUAUGACAUCACACUAAGAUCAUCAUAAAGUCCAACAUCAUCAUCAUCAUCUCACAUAAAGUUCAACAACAUCAUCAUCAUCCCACAUAAAAGUUCAACAUCAUCAUCUCACAAAUAUCACAUAAAGUUCAAUAUGACAACACAUAUCAUGAUUAUCUCAAGAACAUCAUCUAAUGAACACAAGUAGAAACUUAAAGAACAUCAUCAAAACUCGACGGAGCAGCAGUCGAGUCACCAGUCCCCUACAUGUUUGAGAAAAGAUUGUAAGGAUAAAUAUAAUAUAAUAGUGUUGAUUGAACGAGAGCUAGUUUGUCAAUCGUUAGGUAAAUGUACUAACCGGAGUCUGACUGCAUAGUGUCACCCAUUCAUCGAAUGUGGGUACAUGUGGGGGUUCUCCAGUAGGUGGUGGUGGGGGUACCAUUUGUGGUGGCUCCGCGCGGUUAUUCCAAGACGCCGCUAUAGCCUGGAUGUUAGUUAACCAAGCAAACUAGAAGGUCAGAAGGAAUGAAUGUGCAAAUUUUAGCUUGGUUUGAAGAGGGCAAAACUAACCGCCAUCAUCCCACGAUUGUAAUUCACGUUUGCCUUCAUUAGGCGCAUGUACUCCUGCACCUCGAGAUUCCUACGCUCGACAAAGGCCAUGUAUGCCUACAAAAAUUAGGUUGUUUGUAAGUGAACAAUGUUGAAAAUAAAUUAAAAAAGUGAGAAAGAAAGAUGAUAAGGGGAUAAUUACUUACAUCAUGCUGGGGGUCUGAGGGAGGUUGCGAACGCCCCUUACUGCUGCACGGGCUCGGAUUGGUAGCCCGCAGUUGUGUGUAAGAGACUGAAGGAGUGAUCAAGCCAUCGAAACACGGAUAGCGGCCAUGGGCCUUCCCCUGAAUAGACAUCACCGCCGUCUCAUCAAUCUGAGAUUCGAUCACGUCAGGAGCAUCCGGACCAGGCGGAUGCAACCUCUCAAAUUGUUCCUUGUAGGACUCUAUCUGCUCCUCUGUAUUGCCAUAGUACUUGCUCUCGCCUUCCUUGGGAUUAGUCCUAGCACGGGCCAUCACCCAUGACUGUAUGUCUGAGAGUGACCUCUUCAACUUGGCCUCCUGCAACGUCAGACGAAAGUUAGCCAUACAUAGAAAACAUGAUGGUAAAUAUAAAAAGAAGAACAAAAAUGAACCAUGCAUAUAGAUAUACCUUCAUUGCCUUGAAGCCCCAGUGGUUCCUGUUUCCUUGGCCGUGUGUCCCGUCUUUUCCACGGUUAGCCCGGGCCCUGCUGCUCUUGGCAGCAAACUCUGCAUCGUCGCCGAGCCACCUAUCCACCGACCUAGCCCAUCCAUCACCCUUUCCCAAGCACCAUUUAGGAAUAACCUAAAAAAUGGAAGCAUGACAUGUCAGCACAGAACAACAUGUCAGCACAAAACAAUGAAAUUGAUUGCUUAUACGUUGGAUUGAAAAGUCUCUAAUACUUACCAUCAUGUACUGCUCCCUGUUCAAGGUAAGUCGUUGCUUCAUUUUUGCUCAUCUUUUGAUUAAGGUAGGUGUGAUAGUAGUGCGAGACGGCAACCCAACGCACCUCGUACAGGAACUGACGAGCUUUAUUCUUCACAGCCGCCAGCAAGACCCCAUCGGCUAUGGCCUUGUGCUCGUCAAGAACUCUAUAGAAUUCCUGCAAUCAUGCAUAAAACCAGAAGUAAACAAGGCAUGAGUUGAGUGAUUCAAUGACAAACUAUGACUGAAACUGAAGACAAGUGAUUCAGAAGAGAACUUACCCAAAAUUUGGUGAUCACGGCCUUAGCGGCCGUCCCGUAUGCCGCGUGGCUGGAAGCCUCGGAGUGGGCCCAGCUCGUGGCCAAAACCCACAGCUCCGACUCCUUGUCUGGCCGCGGCUGGAAUAGGCCCGGCCAAAACUCCUUCAACAGGACAGUGAUAAGGCCGUUCGGUUUACGGCCCUUUCCGUGAACCUCCCAGUUACUGCAAAAGAAUCAAAGAAUUGGCAUAUGUACAAUAAGAAAAUGUUGUCAUGUGUUCAAAAAUAUGAUUGAGAGGCACUUACUCUAUCCCCUUCGGUGUAAUGAGCACCUUGUCCGCCUCGACAGAAGGUGGUGUAGGUAGUUUUGCAAUACCACGUAGCCACCCCUUCAGAGCACCAGACGGCAAAUCACCCCACAACUCGGCGUCAACCUCCCCUCCACCACCCUCCCCCUCACCGUCCUCCUCCUCCUCCUCGCACUCCUCCUCACCCUCCGCACCCUCACACUNCCUCCACCACCCUCCCCCUCACCGUCCUCCUCCUCCUCCUCAGACUCAGAAGCUGCCUCAGUAUAGGAGGGCAUCGAAGAAGACCCCCCUAUUUCGGACACAACCCGGAGUUUUUUGAUUCUUUUGCCUCUCCCCCCACCUCCUCCUCCUCUAGGGGCUCCCCCCCACCCCUCCUCCUCUAGGGUCUCCUCCCCCGACCCCUCGACCUCCAUGUGAGGUGUCAUCGUCGCAUAGUCGGGGGGAACCUUGGGGACUCGUCCACUCCGAGUAAGUCCUUUGCAUUUGCUGAGGAAACCGGCGCCGCUAGACUUGCCCAUGAUUAGCUGCUUCCUUAGGGUAUUCUGUAUCGAAUGACUUCCAUGCUUCACCUUCUGAUGGAUGUACAAUUUUAUUUGGAUUGUACCUUUUCCCUUCCUUGUGCCACUUCAUCAUUUUGGCAGACUCCUCGGUGAUGAAAAGGCGCUGCAGUCUUUCUAUGAAAUGAAGAUACCGAAGAACCUUCAUAGGGAUUUUUAGCUGCUUCUUCUGACCCUGCUCAUCGACCACCUCAACAUACCGAGAGGAACCGCACUUCCUACAGUAGUUGUCACUCGCAUACUCAUGCCUAAACAAAAGGCAAUUCUUUGGACAAACAUCUAUUUUCUCAUAAUCCAUGGAGAGCGCCUUCAUUAUUUUCUUCGUAGCGUACAUGGUUUUCGGCAGUUCAUGGCCCUCAGGGAGGCUGUUAGCCCAUACUCCUAGAAAUGCUUCGAAGCAAUUUUGGCUACAGCCGUACUCGGCCUUCACUGUCAUCAGUUGCGAGAUGGCAUCCAACACAGAGAGCUUGGCACCCUCAUAAAGAGGUUUCUUUGACGAGGCCAAGAUAUCCAGGACAAGAUAUCCAGGAAGGCCUUUGUGGUUUCCUCCGGCUCCUCCGGUUCAUUCGCAGAAUGUGAUGCAGGUGCCGGUUGUGCAGCAAAGACAUCAUCUAGCAUGUCUCUAACCCCAUCGUCCUCAUAACCAACGAUGCGUUGUCGUAUCACCUCCUCUCUACCACGGUCCGUUGGGCAAAGUUUAUCGGCAUAUUAAAGUUUGGCAUAAAUCCAUGCGUGCGAAGGUGAUUAGUCAUCUCACUCUUAUCUCUGCGCAUACGUCUCUUACAUUUGGCACAGGGGCAUUCUGGCACCAUCCUCAUUGGACUGCGGUGUCUCUUUCAAAAACACAUCAGUUUUCUCGACCCACUCUGCUGUUACUUGAUUCCGACGGAAAAACCCACUAUACAUCCAUUGAUUAUCUGCCAUCUCUGAUUUAUUGGAGCCACAGAACAAAAUUAAGGAUUUAUUUAAAUUACUCACAUCAAUGUUUUAUUUUUUAUAGGGUUGACGAGAAACGACAUCUAAUUAACCUACAUCUCUAAUAGGUAAAGAUGGGUCCUAAUCCCACCCAAGAAUGUAUAGAUUGAGUACGUUGUCCAUGCUCUACCCCAUUCCGAGACAGAAUUUCGGCAACACCUCCCCGCUGUUCUCCAAAUACACGUCUCGGAAAAUACCGGGAGAAUGUGCAUCCGAAAAACAACGGGGAGGUGCCGCCGAAAUCCUGUCUCGCAACGGGGUAGAGCAUGGACAACGUACCCAAUCUACACAUCCUCGGACUGUCCGUGGAAAACGCUGGACAAUCCGAAAGAGUUGCGGUGAUAAAUAUGCAAUUGAAUGCAUAUUUAUCGAUGCAACGCUUUCGGACGGGAGACGCCUAGGUUAGGCGACUUGAUGUGAAAAUGAAAUCUAGUGACAUGGAAAAAAAGCAAACGAGGUGCUGGAAUUGUUACUCACCCUCCAAUGUAGAGGAUGUAGUGGAUCAGAGGAGGUACGAUCGUCGACCAACACCUCCAACGUCGAUGAUCUCUCCACGAAGAUGAAACAUCACAAAUCCUGUUAAUUCCACCGAAUGAAAAAAAUAGGUCAUCACGUCACAUUAAGCAUUGACACUUUAAACCAUAGGUUUGAGGCACUGAUAAGAUAAAAGUAGAAAAAAUCUUCACUUAAACAGCAUGCCUUUAAAAAAUUUAAAUAGGAGUAUAAGACAAUACUAUAGAUAAAUAGACAAUUACAAACAAGACGCCCAAGGGAGCAACGCCGAAACUAGUGACACGUCUGAAGGAAGCCUGACUAAAUUCAGAGAUUCAUGGUAGAGGCGUUGUCUGUGUCAUCUUCUACUGGUCUGAAGCCUGAACAGGCCAUUCUGUGUGUGGUUUAGAAUGUGCUUAAAAGAGGUCAAAAUAUGAUGGCUAACUAUUUUCAGAAGGUGAAGAUCAAUUGGCUAAAUAAUUGCGGGGAACAUAUGAACUUAUCCUCUGGACAAUACGGUUCCAUGUAAUAAGUGCAAUGCUUGUACACACAUUUGACUUAUUAAUAUAUACACUUGUGUGCUAUAUCAUGUGCGUUUAGCUGGGCUGGUGUAUGUUAUACAGUAUAUGUUUACAUAAUAACGAAGCUAGCAGCUGUAAUAUCAGCAGCACUUAAUUAUUGUCCCUUGGAGCGAAGUUUUAUGCAGACCGGAGGUUUCUCAGAUAUUUGUUCAUCUUGACAGAAUUAGUAACAUGCUCACUCAUGACCAGACAAGAAAUUUCCUAAAGCUGACCAUAUUCACCUACACAUCUAGAACGUUGUUAGAUCUUCUUAUCACGGGGCUCCACUCCCCUUCAGUUUCUUUAUUCUCAGAAAACAGCAAGUUAAUAUAUAUGGGUAGCAUAAUAGGUCCAUCAGAUUUCAUUUUUCAGAGAACCGAUGGAGCUCUGCUAUGCCCGGAAGUUUUCCUGUGAAAUCUCUUCUCCACGAACAAGGCUAUAUUUACUUUGCAAACUGAGAACACCACCAAGUGAGGAACUGUGAAUCACUUUGUAGUUGUAUCCUGCUAUUUUCCCGUGUCAGGACCAUGUGUGUACAAGCAGGUGGAGGCCCCAGGACCAUGUACAAGAACAAGAAACUGUACAAGGCCUAACCUGGGAGUGGCGGUGAUGGCGGCAGGGGGGAGGUGACGGCGGCGGCGGCCGCAGGUGGAGGAGGCGACGGCGGCAGCAGGUGGAGGCNCGACGGCGGCAGGUGGAGGCGGCGGCGGCGCGGGUGUGGACGAGAUGGAGUUUUACCGUGGCUGAGAGGAUAAGUUACCUCGUGGCUCUGUUACCUCGUGGCUGGGAGGAUAAGUCCUCUCUAUGCCGACGGCUUAGCCGUAGGCAUACAUGAGGACCCACAUGGCACGGAGUAGAGGAGGUAUGCCGCCCGACCAGAUAUUGCCGCGGAUCAGUGACGUGGCAGGGAAUGUGCCGACAGCUAGGCCGUCGGCGUACCUCCAUUUAAUUUUUNNNNNNNNNNNNNNNNNNNNNNNNCUUUAUUUUUAUAUAAUUUUUUAAGAACUUUUUUUAUGUGCAGUAUUUUUAAAAAACUUUUUUAUAUAUACCGACGCGCACCUUUGCCCCGCUCACAAAGACGGCACCAGUGCAUGAGGACCCAACGCAGCUAUUUUCCCCCUCAAAGUGACGGCGACACUGCCGUACAUGAAGGGGGGCACACCCCGGAGCGUCGCGACGGGUGUCUACGCAUGUCACAUCACUUUCACACAUGCAUGAGGACCCAACGCGAUGUUUUGGUGGCAUAGCUACCCCCGACACCCACCCGAUCGGACUAACCCUACCCCGUUGACCCGUAGAUCUAGGCCUUUGACUUGCGUCGGACGGGCUUUGACCAGUCGUUUCGAUAGGUCAGCCCAUAGGAACAUGUAAGAACAUGGUCUCAGUCCAACCCAUCACUAGGUUCCCUCCAUGUCGACCCGACGCGGCUAUUUCCCCCCUCAAAGAGACGGCGACAGUGUCGUACAUGAAGGGGGGCACAACCCGGAGCGUCGGGACGGGUGUCUACGCAUGUCACAUCACUUUCACACAUGCAUGAGGACCCGACGCGAUGUUUCGGUGGCAUAGCUACCCCCGACAGCCACCCAACCGGACUAACCCUAGCCCCGUUGACACGGAGAUCUAGGCCUUUGACUUUCGCCGAAACAGGCUUUGAACAGUGCACUCGUCAGCCUGGUUAUGAUAGCUCAGCCCGUAGAAUCAUCCAUGAACACGGCCUCGGCCCAACCCACCACUAGAUUUCCUCCGGCUUGACCCGACGCACACGUUUCCCCCUCAAAGUGACUGCGGCAGUGCCAUCCAUGAUGGGGGGACACACACCGGAGCAUCGCGACGUGCGUCUCUCGAUGUCACAUCACUUUCACACAUGCAUGAGGACCCGAUGCGAUGUUUCGGUGGCAUAGCUACCCCCGACAGCCACCCGAUCGGACUAACCCUAGCCCCGUUGACCCGUAGAUCUAGGCCUUUGACUUGCGUCGGAUGGACUUUGACCAAUGGACUCUUCCACCUCGUCCCGAUAGGUGAGCACAUAGAAACAUGUAAGAACAUUGUCUGAGUCCAACUCAUCACUAGGUUCCCUCCAUGUCGACCCGACACGGUUAUUUUCCCCCUCAAAGUGACGACGACAUUGUCGUACAUAAAGGGGGGACACACACGGGAGCGCCGCGACGGGCGUCUACGCAUGUCACAUCACUUUCACACAUGCAUGAGGACCCGAGCGAUGUUUUGUUAGCAUAUCUACCCCUGACGGCCACCCGAUCGCAAUAACCCUAGCCCCGUUGAACCGUAGAUGCCUUUGACUUCUGUCGGACGGGCUUUGACCAGUUGACUCUUCCACCUCGUUUCAAUAGGUCAGCCCAUAGGAACAUGUAAGAACAUGGUCUGGGUCCAACCCAUCACUAGGUUACCUCCAUGUCGACCCGACACGGCUAUUUCCCCCCCUCAAAGAGACGACGGUAUUGCCGUACAUGAAGGGGGCACACCCGGAAAGCCGCGACGGGCGUCUAUGCAUGUCACAUCGCUUUCACACAUGCAUGAGAAUCCGAGCGAUGUUUCGGUGGCAUAGCUACCCCCGACAGCCAUCCGAUUGCACUAACCCUAGCCCAGUUUACCCGUAGAUCUAGGCCUUUGACUUGCGUCGGACGGGCUUUGACCAGUGGACUCUUCCACCUUGUUUCGAUAGGUCAGCCCAUAGGAACAUGUAAGAACAUGGUCUAAGUCCAACCCAUCACUAGGUUACCUCCAUGUCGACCCGACGCGGCUAUUUCCCCCCUCAAAGUGACGGCGGCAUUGCCGUACAUGAAGGGGGCACACACCGGAGAGCCACGACAGUUGUCUACGCAUGUCACUGUUGGAAUUAUGCCCUAGAGGCAAUAAUAAAUAUAUAGUUAUUAUUAUAACUCCUGUAUCAAGAUAAUAGUUUAUUGUCCAUGCUAUAAUUGUAUUGAAUGAAGACUCAUUUACAUGUGUGGAUACAUAGACAAAACACCGUCCCUAGCAUGCCUCUAGUUGGCUAGCCAGUUGAUCGAUGAUAGUCAGUGUCUUCUGAUUAUGAACAAGGUGUUGUUGCUUGAUAACUGGAUCACGUCAUUGGGAGAAUCACGUGAUGGACUAGACCCAAACUAAUAGACGUAGCAUGUUGAUCGUGUCAUUUUGUUGCUACUGUUUUCUGCGUGUCAAGUAUUUAUUCCUAUGACCAUGAGAUCAUAUAACUCACUGACACCGGAGGAAUGCUUUGUGUGUAUCAAACGUCGCAACGUAACUGGGUGACUAUAAAGAUGCUCUACAGGUAUCUCCGAAGGUGUUAGUUGAGUUAGUAUGGAUCAAGACUGGGAUUUGUCACUCCGUGUGACGGAGAGGUAUCUCGGGGCCCACUCGGUAAUACAACAUCACACACAAGCCUUGCAAGCAAUGUAACUUAGUGUAAGUUGCGGGAUCUUGUAUUACGGAACGAGUAAAGAGACUUGCCGGUAAACGAGAUUGAAAUAGGUAUGCGGAUACUGACGAUCGAAUCUCGGGCAAGUAACAUACCGAAGGACAAAGGGAAUGACAUACGGGAUUAUACGAAUCCUUGGCACUGAGGUUCAAACGAUAAGAUCUUCGUAGAAUAUGUAGGAUCCAAUAUGGGCAUCCAGGUCCCGCUAUUGGAUAUUGACCGAGGAGUCUCUCGGGUCAUGUCUACAUAGUUCUCGAACCCGCAGGGUCUGCACACUUAAGGUUCGACGUUGUUUUAUGCGUAUUUGAGUUAUAUGGUUGGUUACCGAAUGUUGUUCGGAGUCCCGGAUGAGAUCACGGACGUCACGAGGGUUUCCGGAAUGGUCCGGAAACGAAGAUUGAUAUAUAGGAUGACCUCAUUUGAUUACCGGAAGGUUUUCGUGCAUUACCGGAAAAGUUUCGGGCUCAUCGGUAGUGUACCGGGAGUGCCGGGAGGGGUGCCGGGGACCAUCGGGAGGGGUGUCACGCCCCAAGGGGUCUCAUGGGCUAUGGGAAGAGAUAAACCAGCCCCUAGUGGGCUGGAAUAAGUUCCCACUAAGACCCAUAAGGUUUGAGAAGGAAAAAACACAAGGUGGAAAGAGUUUCCAAGUGGGAAGGUGGAAUCCUACUCCAAGUAGGAUUGGAGUAGGACUCCUCCACCUCCAAUUUCGGCCAAACCUUUAGGUUUUGAGGCUGCCUCCUCCCCUCCCUCCCACCUAUAUAUACGGAGGUUUUAGGGCUGAUUUGAGACGACUUUCUCACGGCUGCCCGACCACAUACCUCCAUAGUUUUUCCUCUAGAUCGCGUUUCUGCGGAGCUUGGGCGGAGCCCUGCUGAGACAAGAUCAUCACCAACCUCCGGAGCGCCGUCACGCUGCCGGAGAACUCUUAUACCUCUCCGUCUCUCUUGCUGGAUCAAGAAGGCCGAGAUCAUCGUCGAGUUGUACGUGUGCUGUACGCGGAGGUGCCGUCCGUUCGGUACUAGAUCGUGGGACUGAUCGCGGGAUUGUUCGCGGGGCGGAUCGAGGGACGUGAGGACGUUCCACUACAUCAACCGCGUUCACUAACGCUUCUGCUGUACGAUCUACAAGGGUACGUAGAUCACUCAUCCCCUCUCGUAGAUGGACAUCACCAUGAUAGGUCUUCGUGCGCGUAGGAAUUUUUUUGUUUCCCUUGCGACGUUCCCCAACAGUGGCAUCAUGAGCUAGGUUCAUGCGUAGAUGUCUUCUCGAGUAGAACACAAAAGGUUUUGUGGGCGGUGAUGUGCGUUUUGCUGCCCUCCUUAGUCUUUUCUUGAUUCCGCGGUAUUGUUGGAUUGAAGCGGCUUGGACCGACAUUACUCGUACGCUUACGAGAGACUGGUUUCAUCGUUACGAGUAACCCCCUUUGCUCAAAGAUGACUGGCAAGUGUUGGUUUCUCCAACUUUAGUUGAAUCGGAUUUGACCGAGGAGGUCCUUGGAUGAGGUUAAAUAGCAACUCAUAUAUCUCCGUUGUGGUGUUUGCGUAAGUAAGAUGCGAUCCUACUAGAUACCCUUGGUCACCACGUAAAACAUGCAACAACAAAAUUAGAGGACGUCUAACUUGUUUUUGCAGGGUAUGAUUGUGAUAUGAUGUGGCCAACGAUGUGAUGUGAUAUAUUGGAUGUAUGAGAUGAUCAUGUUGUAAUAGAAAUAUCGACUUGCACGUCGAUGGUACGGCAACCGGCAGGAGCCAUAGGGUUGUCUUUAUACUAACAUAUGUGCUUGCAGAUGCGUUUACUAUUUUGCUAGGCUGUAGCUUUAGUAGUGAUAGCAUAAGUAGCACGACAACCACGAUGGCAACACGUUGAUGGAUGAUCAUGGUGUGGCGCCGGUGACAAGAAGAUCGUGCCGGUGCUUUGGUGAUGGAGAUCAAGAAGCACGUGAUGAUGGCCAUAUCAUGUCACUUAUGAAUUGCAUGUGAUGUUAAUCCUUUUAUGCACCUUAUUUUGCUUAGAACGACGGUAGCAUUAUGAGGUGAUCUCUCACUAAAAUUUCAAGACGAAAUUGUGUUCUCCCCGACUGUGCACCGUUGCGACAGUUCUUCGUUUCGAGACACCACGUGAUGAUCGGGUGUGAUAGACUCAACGUUCACAUACAACGGGUGCAAAACAGUUGCACACGCAGAACACUCGGGUUAAGCUUGACGAGCCUAGCAUGUGCAGACAUGGCCUCGGAACACAUGAGACCGAAAGGUCGAGCAUGAAUCGUAUAGUUGAUAUGAUUAGCAUAGGGAUGCUUACCACUGAAACUAUUCUCGACUCACGUGAUGAUCGGACUUGAGAUAGUGGAUUUGGAUCAUGUACCACUCAAAUGACUAGAGAGAUGUACUUUUUGAGUGGGAGUUCUUAAGUAAUAUGAUUAAUUGAACUAAUUGUCAUGAACAUAGUCUAAUGGUCUUUGCGAAUUACGAUGUAGCUUGCGCUAUAGCUCUUCUGUUUUUUUAUGUUCCUAGAGAAAAUUUAGUUGAAAAUUGAUAGUAGCAAACUUUGCAGACUGAGUCUGUAAAACCGAGGAUUGUCCUCGUUGCUGCGCAGAAGGCUUAUGUCCUUAAUGCACCACUCGGUGUGCUGCACCUCGAGCGUCGUCUGUGGAUGCUGUGAACAUCCGACAUACACGUUCCUGAUGACUACACGAUAGUUCAGUGCAAAGUACUUAAUGGCUUGGAAGCAAGGCACCGAAAACGUUUUAAACGUCACGGAACAUAAGUGAUGUUCUAAAGAGAUGAAAUUGUGAUUUCAUGCUUGUGCCCUUGUUAAGAGGUACGAGACCUCCAACAAAAUUCUUUGACCACAAAGUAAAGGAGAAAAGCUCAAUCGUUGAGCGUGUGCUCAGAUUGUCUGAGUACGACAAUCACUUGAAUCAAGUGGGAGCUAAUCUUCCAGAUGAGAUAGUGAUGGUUCUCCAAAAGUCACUGCCACCAAGCUUUGAGAGCUUCGUGAUGAACUAUAACAUAUCAAGGAUAGAUACAAUGAUCUUUGAGAGAUUCGCGACGUUUGACACUGCGAAAGUAGAAAUCAAGAAGGAGCAUCAAUAGUUGAUGGGGGGGGGGGGGGGGGGAGUUUCAAGAAAGGCGAGGGCUAGAAGGGAUACUUCGUGAAACGGCAAAACAGUUGCUGCACUAAUGAAGAGACCCAAGAUUAAACCCAAACCCGAGACUAAGUGCUUCUGUAAUAAGGGGAACAUUCACUGAGGUGGAGCAACUCUAGAUACUUGGUAGAUAAGAAGGCUGGCAAAAGUCGAGAGAAGUAUAUUUGAUAUACAUAAUAUUGAUGUGUACUUUACUAGUACUCCUAGUAGCACGAGGGUAUUGGAUACUGGUUCGGUUGCUAAGUGAUUAGUAACGCGAAAUGAAAGCUACGGCAUAAACGGAGACUAGCUAAAGGCGAGGUGACGAUACGUGUUGGAAGUGUUUCCAAGGUUGAUAUGAUCAAACGUCACACGCCCCCUUUACCAUCGGGAUUGGUGUUGAACCUAAAUAAUUGUUAUUUGGUGCUUGCGUUAAGCAUGAACAUGAUUGGAUCGUGUUUAUUGCAAUACGAUUAUUCAUUCAAAAGGAAUAAUGGUUACUCUAUUUGCUUGAAUGAUCACCUUCAAUGGUUUAUUGAAUCUCGAUUGUAGUGUUACACAUUGGUGCCAAAAGAUACGAGUUAAAUGAUGAUAGUACCACUUACUUGUGGCAGUGCCGCUUGAGUCAUGUUAGUAUAAAUUGCAUGAAGAGGCUCCAUGAUGAUGGAUCUUUACUCACCUGAUUUCGAAUCACUAGUGACAUGCAAAUCAUACCACAUGAGAAAGGCCUUGUUUUCAUUGAGAUGAAACAAGAUAGUAACUUGUUGGAAGUGAUACAUUUUGAUGUAUGCAGUCCAGUGAGUGUUGAGGCACGCAGUGGAUAUCAUUAUGUUCUUACUUCACUGACGACUUGAGUAGAUACAGGAGUAUUUACUUAAUGAAUCACAAGUCUGAAAUAUUGAAAAGUUCAAUUCUGUUUCAGAGUGAAGUUCGUCGUAACAAGAGGAUGAACUGUCUACGAUAUGAUCAUAGAAAUGAAUAUCUGAGUUACGAAUUUUUGGUACACAGUUAAGACAAUGUGGAAAUUGUUUCACAGUUCAUGCCACCUGGAACAUCAUGGUGUGAUGAUGUGUCUGAACGUCAUAGCCACGCACUAUUUAGUAUGGUGCAUGCUGGGAUGUCUCUUAUCGAAUUACCACUAUCGUUUAUGGGUUAUGCAUUAGAGACAACCACAUUCACUUUAAAUGGGGCACCGCGUAUUUCCGUUGAGAUGACACAGUAUAGACUGAGGUUUAGAGAAAUCUAAACUGUCGUUUCUUGAAAGUUUGGGGCUUCGAAACUUAUGUGAAAAAGUUUCAGUCUGAUAAGCUCGAACCCAAAGCGGAUAAAUGCAUCUUCACAGGAUAUCCAAAACAGUUGGGUACAUCUCCUAUCUCAGAUCCGAAAGCAAAGUGUUUGUUUCUAGAAAUGGAUCCUUUCUCGAGAAAAGGUUUCUCUCGAAAGAAUUGAGUGGGAGGGUAGUAGAACUUGAUGAGGUUAUUGAACCAUCACUUCAACCAGUGUGUAGCAGGGCGUAGGAAGUUGUUCCUGUGGCGCCUACACCAAUUGAAGUGGAAGCUGAUGAUGGUGAUCAUUAAGCUUCGAAUCAAGUUACUACAAACCUCGUAGGUCGACAAGGUCGCGUACUGCUGCAGAGUAGUACGGUAACCCUGUCUUGGAGGUCAUGUUGUUGAGCAACAGUGAACCUACGAGUUAUGGAGAAAGCGAUGGUGGGCCCAGAUUCCGACAAAUGGCUGGAAGCCAUAAAAUCCGAGAGAGGAUCCAUGUGUGAAAACAAAGUGUAGACUUUGGUAGAACUACUUGAUGGUCAUGGGACUAUUGGGUAAAAUGGAUCUUUAAAAGAAGACAGACGAUGAUGGUGAUAAGUCACUAUUAAGAAAAGCUCGACUUGUCGCAAAGAUGUUUUCGACAAGAUCAAACAGUUGACUAUGAUGAGUCUUUCUCACUCGUAGCGAUGCUAAAGGUCUGUUAGAAUUAUUUUAGUAGUUGCUGCAUUAUUUAUGAAAUAUUGCACGUAGGAUGUCAAAACAUUGUUUCCUCGACGGUUUCCUUGAGCAAACAUUGUAUGUGAUACAACCAGAAGGUUUUGUCGAUCCUAAAGAUACUAGCAAGUAUGCAAGCUCCAGUGAUCCUUCAAUGGACUGGUGCAAGCAUCUCGGAGUUGGAAUAAGCACUUUGAUGAGAUGAUCAAAGAUUUUGGGUGUGUACAAGGUUUAUGAGAAACUUGUAUUUCCAAAGAAGUGAGUGGGAGCACUAUAGAAUUUCUGAUAGGUAUAUGUGGUUGACAUAUUGUGGAUCAGAAGUAAUGUAGAAUUUCUGUAAAGCAUACAAGGUUGUUUGAAAGAAGUUUUCAAAGGAGUACCUGGAUUACGCUACUUGAAGGUUGAGCAUCAAAGAUCUAUGGAGAUAGAUCGAAAGCGCUUAAUAGAAGUUUCAACAAGAUGCAUGCCUUGACAAGUUUUUGAAAGAGUUCAAAAUAGACCAGCAAAGAAGGAGUUCUUGGUUGCGUUGUGAGGUGUGAAUUUGAGUAAGACUCAAAACCCGACCACGGCAGAAUAAAGAGAAUAGAUGAAGGUCGUCUUCUAUGCCUUAGCCGUAGAAUCUAAAGUAUGCCAUGCUGUGUACCGCACCUGAAGUGUGCCUUGACUCAAAGUAUGUUGAGAGGUACAGAGAGUGAUCCAUGUUUGAAUCACUAGCAGCGGUCAAAAUUUAUCCUUAGUAACAAAUGGACUAAGGAAUUUUUCUCGAUUAUGGAGGUGGUUAAAGAGUUCGUCGUAAAGGGUAACGUCGAUGCAAGCUUUGACACUAAUCUGAAUAACUAUGAGUAGUGAAACGGAUUCAUAUAGUAGAGUGGAUAUUUGGAGCAUUUCUGAAUAGCACGUAGUAGCAGCAUCUAUAAGAUGACAUAAAGAUUUGUAAAGAACGCACGGAUCUGAAAGUUUCAGAACCGUUGACUAAAACCUCUCUCACAAGCAAGACAUGAUCAGACCCCAUAACUAUAUGGGUGUUGGAUUCGUUGGAAUCACAUGGUGAUGUGAACUAGAUUAUUGACUCUAGUGCAAGUGGGAGACUGUUGGAAAUAUGCCCUAGAGGCAAUAAUAAAUUAGUUAUUAUUAUAUUUCUUAGUUCAUGAUAAUCGUUUAUUAUCCAUGCUAUAAUUGUAUUGAUUGGAAACACAAUACUUGUGUGGAUACAUAGACAAAACACUGUCCCUAGUAAGCCUCUAGUUGACUAGCUCGUUGAUCAAAGAUGGUCAAGGUUUCCUGGCCAUAGGCAAGUGUUGUCACUUGAUAACGGGAUCACAUCAUUAGGAGAAUCAUGUGAUGGACUAGACCCAAACUAAUAGACGUAGCAUGUUGAUCGUGUCAUUUUGUUGCUACUGUUUUCUGCGUGUCAAGUAUUUAUUCCUAUGACCAUGAGAUCAUAUAACUCACUGACACCGGAGGAAUGCUUUGUGUGUAUCAAACGUCGCAACGUAACUGGGUGACUAUAAAGAUGCUCUACAGGUAUCUCCGAAGGUGUUAGUUGAGUUAGUAUGGAUCAAGACUGGGAUUUGUCACUCCGUGUGAACGGAGAGGUAUCUCGGGGCCCACUCGGUAAUACAACAUCACACACAAGCCUUGCAAGCAAUGUAACUUAGUGUAAGUUGCGGGAUCUUGUAUUACGGAACGAGUAAAGAGACUUGCCAGUAAACGAGAUUGAAAUAGGUAUACGGAUACUGACGAUCGAAUCUCGGGCAAGUAACAUACCGAAGGACAAAGGGAAUGACAUACGGGAUUAUACGAAUCCUUGGCACUGAGGUUCAAACGAUNNNNNNNNNNNNNNNNNNNNNNNNNNNNNNNNNNNNNNNNNNNNNNNNNNNNNNNNNNNNNNNNNNNNNNNNNNNNNNNNNNNNNNNNNNNNNNNNNNNNNNNNNNNNNNNNNNNNNNNNNNNNNNNNNNNNNNNNNNNNNNNNNNNNNNNNNNNNNNNNNNNNNNNNNNNNNNNNNNNNNNNNNNNNNNNNNNNNNNNNNNNNNNNNNNNNNNNNNNNNNNNNNNNNNNNNNNNNNNNNNNNNNNNNNNNNNNNNNNNNNNNNNNNNNNNNNNNNNNNNNNNNNNNNNNNNNNNNNNNNNNNNNNNNNNNNNNNNNNNNNNNNNNNNNNNNNNNNNNNNNNNNNNNNNNNNNNNNNNNNNNNNNNNNNNNNNNNNNNNNNNNNNNNNNNNNNNNNNNNNNNNNNNNNNNNNNNNNNNNNNNNNNNNNNNNNNNNNNNNNNNNNNNNNNNNNNNNNNNNNNNNNNNNNNNNNNNNNNNNNNNNNNNNNNNNNNNNNNNNNNNNNNNNNNNNNNNNNNNNNNNNNNNNNNNNNNNNNNNNNNNNNNNNNNNNNNNNNNNNNNNNNNNNNNNNNNNNNNNNNNNNNNNNNNNNNNNNNNNNNNNNNNNNNNNNNNNNNNNNNNNNNNNNNNNNNNNNNNNNNNNNNNNNNNNNNNNNNNNNNNNNNNNNNNNNNNNNNNNNNNNNNNNNNNNNNNNNNNNNNNNNNNNNNNNNNNNNNNNNNNNNNNNNNNNNNNNNNNNNNNNNNNNNNNNNNNNNNNNNNNNNNNNNNNNNNNNNNNNNNNNNNNNNNNNNNNNNNNNNNNNNNNNNNNNNNNNNNNNNNNNNNNNNNNNNNNNNNNNNNNNNNNNNNNNNNNNNNNNNNNNNNNNNNNNNNNNNNNNNNNNNNNNNNNNNNNNNNNNNNNNNNNNNNNNNNNNNNNNNNNNNNNNNNNNNNNNNNNNNNNNNNNNNNNNNNNNNNNNNNNNNNNNNNNNNNNNNNNNNNNNNNNNNNNNNNNNNNNNNNNNNNNNNNNNNNNNNNNNNNNNNNNNNNNNNNNNNNNNNNNNNNNNNNNNNNNNNNNNNNNNNNNNNNNNNNNNNNNNNNNNNNNNNNNNNNNNNNNNNNNNNNNNNNNNNNNNNNNNNNNNNNNNNNNNNNNNNNNNNNNNNNNNNNNNNNNNNNNNNNNNNNNNNNNNNNNNNNNNNNNNNNNNNNNNNNNNNNNNNNNNNNNNNNNNNNNNNNNNNNNNNNNNNNNNNNNNNNNNNNNNNNNNNNNNNNNNNNNNNNNNNNNNNNNNNNNNNNNNNNNNNNNNNNNNNNNNNNNNNNNNNNNNNNNNNNNNNNNNNNNNNNNNNNNNNNNNNNNNNNNNNNNNNNNNNNNNNNNNNNNNNNNNNNNNNNUCCGGAAACGAAGAUUGAUAUAUAGGAUGACCUCAUUUGGUUACCGGAAGGUUUUCGUGCAUUACCGGAAAAGUUUCGGGCUCAUCGGUAGUGUACCGGGAGUGCCGGGAGGGGUGCCGGGGACCAUCGGGAGGGGUGUCACGCCCCAAGGGGUCUCAUGGGCUAUGGGAAGAGAUAAACCAGCCCCUAGUGGGCUGGAAUAAGUUCCCACUAAGGCCCAUAAGGUUUGAGAAGGAAAAAACACAAGGUGGAAAGAGUUUCCAAGUGGGAAGGUGGAAUCCUACUCCAAGUAGGAUUGGAGUAGGACUCCUCCACCUCCAAUUUCGGCCAAACCUUUAGGUUUUGAGGCUGCCUCCUCCCCUCCCUCCCACCUAUAUAUACGGAGGUUUUAGGGCUGAUUUGAGACGACUUUCUCACGGCUGCCCAACCACAUACCUCCAUAGUUUUUCCUCUAGAUCGCGUUUCUGCGGAGCUCGGGCGGAGCCCUGCUGAGACAAGAUCAUCACCAACCUCCGGAGCGCCGUCACGCUGCCGGAGAACUCUUCUACCUCUCCGUCUCUCUUGCUGGAUCAAGAAGGCCGAGAUCAUCGUCGAGUUGUACGUGUGCUGAACGCGGAGGUGCCGUCCGUUCGGUACUAGAUCGUGGGACUGAUCGCGGGAUUGUUCGCGGGGCGGAUCGAGGGACGUGAGGACGUUCCACUACAUCAACCGCGUUCACUAACGCUUCUGCUGUACGAUCUACAAGGGUACGUAGAUCACUCAUCCCCUCUCGUAGAUGGACAUCACCAUGAUAGGUCUUCGUGCGCGUAGGAAAUUUUUUGUUUCCCUUGCGACGUUCCCCAACAGAUAGUGAUACGCAUAUACAUAACAUUGAGGCCAAAAGAGUUAGAGUAAACAAUGAUAGCGCCAUAUUUUUGUGGCACUGCCGCUUGGGUCAUAUUGGUGUAAAGCGCAUGAAGAAACUCCAUGCUGAUGGACUUUUGGAGUCACUUGACUUUGAUUCACUUGACACGUGCGAACCAUGCCUCAUGGGCAAGAUGACUAAGACUCUGUUCUCCGAAACAAUGGAACGUGCAAGUGAUUUGUUGGAAAUCAUACAUACCGAUGUGUGUGGUCCAAUGAGUGUAGAGGCACGCGGCGGAUAUCGUUAUUUUCUCACCUUCACUGAUGAUUUAAGUAGAUAUGGUUAUGUCUACUUGAUGAAGCACAAGUCUGAAACAUUUGAAAAGUUCAAGCAAUUUCAGAGUGAAGUGGAAAAUCAUCGUAACAAGAAGAUCAAGUUCCUAUGGUCUGAUCGUGGGGGUGAAUAUCUGAGUUUCGAGUUUGGUGCUCACUUAAGACAAUGUGGAAUUGUUUCGCAGUUAACACCGCCUGGAACACCACAGCGUAAUGGUGUGUCCGAACGUCGUAAUCGUACUUUGUUAGAGAUGGUGCGAUCUAUGAUGUCUCUUACUGAUUUGCCGUUAUCAUUUUGGGGUUAUGCAUUAGAAACAGCUGCAUUCACUUUAAAUAGGGCACCAUCAAAAUCCGUUGAGACGACACCAUACGAACUGUGGUAUGGCAAAAGGCCAAAGUUGUCGUUUCUUAAAGUUUGGGGAUGUGAUGCUUAUGUCAAAAAGCUUCAGCCUGAAAAGCUGGAACCCAAAGCGGAAAGGUGCGUCUUCAUAGGUUACCCAAAAGAGACAGUUGGGUACACCUUCUAUCUCAAAUCCGAGGGCAAAGUGUUUGUUGCUAAAAACGGAGCUUUUCUCGAGAAGGAGUUUUCUCUCGAGAGAAUUGAGUGGGACGAAGAUAGAACUUGACGAGGUUGUCGAACCUCUCACCCCUCUGGAUGGUGGCGCAGGGCAAGGGGAAACCUCUGUCGUUGCGACGCCGGUUGAGGAGGAAGUUAAUGAUGAUGAUCAUGAAACUCCAGUUCAAGUUUCUGUUGAACCACGCAGGUCGACGAGAUCACGCGCUGCUCCAGAGUGGUACGGUAAUCCCGUCUUAUCAAUCAUGUUGUUGGACAACAAUGAACCUGCAAAUUAUGAAGAAGCAAUGGUGGGCCCAGAUUCCAACAAAUGGCUAGUAGCCAUGAAAUCCGAGAUAGGAUCCAUGUAUGAGAACAAAGUGUGGACUUUGGAGAUACUACCCGAGGGCCGCAAGGCUAUUCAGAACAAAUGGAUCUUUAAGAAGAAGACGGACGCUGACGGUAAUGUGACCGUUUAUAAAGCUCGACUUGUGGCAAAGGGUUUUUCACAAGUUCCAGGAGUUGACUACGAUGAGACUUUCUCACCCGUAGCGAUGCUUAAGUCCAUCAGAAUCAUGUUAGCAAUAGUUGGAUUUUUCGAUUAUUAAAUCUGGCAGAUGGAUGUCAAAAUGGCGUUCCUUAACGGUUUCCUUAAGGAAGAGUUGUAUAUGAUGCAACCCGAAGGUUUUGUCGAUCUUAAAAAUGCUGACAAGGUGUGCAAGCUCCAACGAUCCAUUUAUGGACUGGUGCAAGCAUCUCGGAGUUGGAACAAACGCUUUGAUGAGGUGAUCAAAGCAUUUGGGGUUUAUACAAGUGGUUGGAGAAUCUUGUAUUUACAAGAAAGUGAGUGGGAGCUCUGUGGCGUUUCUAAUAUUAUAUGUGGAUGACAUAUUACUGAUUGGAAACAACGUAGAGCUUUUGGAGAGCAUAAAAGGUUACUUGAAUAAAAGUUUCUCUAUGAAAGACCUAGGAGAAGCUGCUUACAUUCUAGGCAUUAAGAUCUAUAGGGAUAGAUCAAAACGCCUGAUAGGACUUUCACAAAGCACAUACCUUGAUAAAGUUUUGAAGAGGUUCAAAAUGGAACAGUCCAAGAAAGGGUUCUUGCCAGUUUUACAAGGUACGAGAUUGAGUAAGACUCAGUGCCCAGCAACUGAUGAAGAUAGAGAGCAUAUGCGCUCCGUCCCCUAUGCUUCAGCCAUAGGUUCUAUCAUGUAUGCGAUGCUGUGCACUAGACCGGAUGUUAGCCUGGCCAUAAGUAUGGCAGGCAGGUUCCAGAGUAAUCCAGGAGUGGAUCACUGGACAGCGGUCAAGAAUAUCCUGAAGUACCUGAAAAGGACUAAGGAGAUCUUUCUCGUGUAUGGAGGUGACGAAGAGCUCGCCGUAAAAGGUUACGUCGAUGCAAGCUUUGACACAGAUCCGGACGACUCUAAGUCGCAAACCGGAUACGUAUUUAUUCUUAAUGGGGGCGCAGUAAGCUGGUGCAGUUCCAAGCAAAGCGUCGUAGCAGAUUCUACAUGUGAAGCGGAGUACAUGGCUGCCUCGGAGGCGGCUAAGGAGGGUGUCUGGAUGAAGCAGUUCAUGACGGAUCUUGGAGUGGUACCAAGUGCACUUGAUCCAAUAACCUUGUUCUGUGACAACACUGGUGCCAUUGCCUUAGCAAAGGAACCACGGUUUCACAAGAAGACCAGACACAUCAAACGACGCUUCAACCUCAUCCGCGACUACGUCGAGGAAGAGGACNNNNNNNNNNNNNNNNNNNNNNNNNNNNNNNNNNNNNNNNNNNNNNNNNNNNNNNNNNNNNNNNNNNNNNNNNNNNNNNNNNNNNNNNNNNNNNNNNNNNNNNNNNNNNNNNNNNNNNNAUAACCUUGUUCUGUGACAACACUGGUGCCAUUGCCUUAGCAAAGGAACCACGGUUUCACAAGAAGACCAGACACAUCAAACGACGCUUCAACCUCAUCCGCGACUACGUCGAGGAAGAGGACAUAAAUAUAUGCAAAGUGCACACGGAUCUGAAUGUAGCAGACCCGCUGACUAAACCUCUUCCACGGCCAAAACAUGAUCGACACCAGAACUGUAUGGGUGUUAGAUUUAUUACAAUGUAAUUCACAUGGUGAUGGGAGGGCUAAAUUGUUGACUCUAGUGCAAGUGGGAGACUGUUGGAAUUAUGCCCUAGAGGCAAUAAUAAAUAUAUAGUUAUUAUUAUAAUUCCUGUAUCAAGAUAAUAGUUUAUUGUCCAUGCUAUAAUUGUAUUGAAUGAAGACUCAUUUACAUGUGUGGAUACAUAGACAAAACACAGUCCCUAGCAUGCCUCUAGUUGGCUAGCCAGUUGAUCGAUGAUAGUCAGUGUCUUCUAAUUAUGAACAAGGUGUUGUUGCUUGAUAACUGGGUCACGUCAUUGGGAGAAUCACGUGAUGGACUAGACCCAAACUAAUAGACGUAGCAUGUUGAUCGUGUCAUUUUGUUGCCACUGUUUUCUGCGUGUCAAGCAUUUAUUCCUAUGACCAUGAGAUCAUAUAACUCACUGACACCGGAGGAAUGCUUUGUGUGUAUCAAACGUCGCAACGUAACUGGGUGACUAUAAAGAUGCUCUACAGGUAUCUCCGAAGGUGUUAGUUGAGUUAGUAUGGAUCAAGACUGGGAUUUCUCACUCCGUGUGACGGAGAGGUAUCUCGGGGCCCACUCGGUAAUACAACAUCACACACAAGCCUUGCAAGCAAUGUAACUUAGUGUAAGUUGCGGGAUCUUGUAUUACGGAACGAGUAAAGAGACUUGCCGGUAAAUGAGAUUGAAAUAGGUAUGCGGAUACUGACGAUCGAAUCUCGGGCAAGUAACAUACCGAAGGACAAAGGGAAUGACAUACGGGAUUAUACGAAUCCUUGGCACUGAGGUUCAAACGAUAAGAUCUUCGUAGAAUAUGUAGGAUCCAAUAUGGGCAUCCAGGUCCCGCUAUUGGAUAUUGACCGAGGAGUCUCUCGGGUCAUGUCUACAUAGUUCUCGAACCCGCAGGGUCUGCACACUUAAGGUUCGACGUUGUUUUAUGCGUAUUUGAGUUAUAUGGUUGGUUACUAAAUAUUGUUCGGAGUCCCGGAUGAGAUCACGGACGUCACGAGGGUUUCCGGAAUGGUCCGGAAACGAAGAUUGAUAUAUAGGAUGACCUCAUUUGAUUACCGGAAGGUUUUCGGAGUUACCGGGAAUGUACCGGAAAUGACGAAUGGGUUCCGGGAGUUCACCGGGGGGUGGGCAACCCACCCCGGGGAAGCCCAUAGGCUAUAAGGGUGGCGCACCAGCCCUUAGUGGGCUGGUGGGACAGCCCAAAAGGGCCCUAUGCGCCAAGGAUAAGAAAUCAAAGGAAAAAGGAAAAAAAAGGGAGGAGGUGGGAAGGGAGGGGGACUCCCUCCCACCAAACCUAGUCCAACUCGGUUUGGGGGGGGGGGGGAUAGUCCUCCCCCUUGGCUCGGCCGACUCCAUGAGGGUCCUUGGACCCCAAGGCAAGGCCCCCUCCCUCCCACCUAUAUAUACGGAGGUUUUAGGGCUGAUUUGAGACGACUUUUCCACGGCAGCCCGACCACAUACCUCCAUGGUUUUUCCUCUAGACCGCGUUUCCGCGGAGCUCGGGCGGAGCCCUGCUGAGACAAGGUCAUCACCAACCUCCGGAGCGCCGUCACGCUGCCGGAGAAAUCUUCUACCUCUCCGUCUCUCUUGCUGGAUCAAGAAGGCCGAGAUCAUCGUCGAGCUGUACGUGUGCUGAACGCGGAGGUGCCGUCCGUUCGGUACUAGAUCGUGGGACUGAUCGCGGGAUUGUUCGCGAGGCGGAUCGAGGGACGUGAGGACGUUCCACUACAUCAACCGCGUUCUCUAACGCUUCUGCUGUACGGUCUACAAGGGUACGUAGAUCAUUCAUCCCCUCUCGUAGAUGGACAUCACCAUGAUAGGUCUUCGUGCGCGUAGGAAAAUUUUUGUUUCCCAUGCGACGUUCCCAAACAGUCACAUCACUUUCCCACAUGCAUGAGGAUCCGACGCGAUGUUUCGGUGGCAUAGCUACCCCCGGAAGCCACCCGACCGGACUAAUUAACCCUAGCCCCAUUGACACGGAGAUGUAGGCCUUUGACUUUCGCCGGAUGGGGUUUGAACAAAGGACUCGUCCACCUGGUUACGAUAGCUCAGCCCAUAGGAUCAUGUGUGAACACGGCCUGGGCCCAACCCACCACUAGAUUUCCUCCGACUUGACCCGGUGCGCACGUUUCCCCCCUCAAAGUGCCGCGGCAGUAUCGUACAUGAAGGGGGGACACAUCCGGGACCACCGCGACGGGCGUCUACGCAUGUCAGAUCAGUUUCACACAUGCAUGAGGACCCGACGCGAUGUUUCAGCGGCAUAGCUACCCCCAUCAGCCACCCGGUCGGACUAACCCUAGCCCCGUUGACCCGUAGAUCUAGGCCUUUGACUUGCGUCGGACGGGCUUUGACCANNNNNNNNNNNNNNNNNNNNNNNNNNNNNNNNNNNNNNNNNNNNNNNNNNNNNNNNNNNNNNNNNNNNNNNNNNNNNNNNNNNNNNNNNNNNNNNNNNNNAUUAGCUCAUUCUUUUGGGUGUGUUCAUAAGAGUAUGAUGUGCUUGAAUGUGUUUAUGCGAAUGAGUGUGCAUACGUAUUGCAGAGCUCAAGGUCACUGCCGCCAGUAUCAUAUUGUUAACUAAUCAGCCGCAUCAUUUUCACCUCUGAUGGUAAAAACACGAGGGGCGCACAGUCAAGGCACAUGUUCAUGACAAAGUAUGCUUAAGUGUAUUUAUUUCUUCAAUUUUGUAACUAACUUAUGGACGUCUUACUGAUGAACCAUAUUGGAAAGGAAAAUGAAGUGCAGGGGUCAUGAUGAUCAGGCAAUGUCCGAGGUGUCAUUUUGUAUGAUUUGUCCAUGAAAAAGAAAAGAAAACAGAUAGAUACAUCAUACGUCUACAAGGUGGCCGAUUGGUGUACUUAACGGGAGCGCCUGUGACUUGUGAGGCACAUCACCACAGUACCUUGACAUGAGAGUGCAUAGUCAAGGUCUCAAGGAACAUGUCCAUGACUAAGUAUGGUCAAGUGUACUCUAUUAAUUUAUGUAUUCAAUUGUACAACUUAUGGAGCUUUGACUGGAAAACUGGAAAACUGAUGUGCAGGCUGAUCUACAAGCAAUGUUCGAGUUGUCAAAUUUUAUGCCACACUAAGGAUGUGGCGCCUAUAUAUAUAGAAAAGGUGUUCGUGAGUCUUAUCCCACACUAAAAGGCAUUUCUAUUUGUGCUGCAAGCAAACCUGAUGGUGAUGAUGAUGGAGCAAAGCGCAGCCACCCUCAUGCUCCUCACUCUCGCCUCACUCGUCGUCCUUGCAUCGGUACUGAGCCGCAAACCGAAAAACCAUAGGCGGCCUCCAGGCCCAUGGCGCCUCCCCUUGAUCGGAAGCCUCCACCACGUCCUCACGUCGCAGCCGCAGGUCGCCCUCCGGGNNNNNNNNNNNNNNNNNNNNNNNNNNNNNNNNNNNNNNNNNNNNNNNNNNNNNNNNNNNNNNNNNNNNNNNNNNNNNNNNNNNNNNNNNNNNNNNNNNNNNNNNNNNNNNNNNNNNNNNNNNNNNNNNNNNNNNNNNNNNNNNNNNNNNNNNNNNNNNNNNNNNNNNNNNNNNNNNNNNNNNNNNNNNNNNNNNNNNNNNNNNNNNNNNNNNNNNNNNNNNNNNNNNNNNNNNNNNNNNNNNNNNNNNNNNNNNNNNNNNNNNNNNNNNNNNNNNNNNNNNNNNNNNNNNNNNNNNNNNNNNNNNNNNNNNNNNNNNNNNNNNNNNNNNNNNNNNNNNNNNNNNNNNNNNNNNNNNNNNNNNNNNNNNNNNNNNNNNNNNNNNNNNNNNNNNNNNNNNNNNNNNNNNNNNNNNNNNNNNNNNNNNNNNNNNNNNNNNNNNNNNNNNNNNNNNNNNNNNNNNNNNNNNNNNNNNNNNNNNNNNNNNNNNNNNNNNNNNNNNNNNNNNNNNNNNNNNNNNNNNNNNNNNNNNNNNNNNNNNNNNNNNNNNNNNNNNNNNNNNNNNNNNNNNNNNNNNNNNNNNNNNNNNNNNNNNNNNNNNNNNNNNNNNNNNNNNNNNNNNNNNNNNNNNNNNNNNNNNNNNNNNNNNNNNNNNNNNNNNNNNNNNNNNNNNNNNNNNNNNNNNNNNNNNNNNNNNNNNNNNNNNNNNNNNNNNNNNNNNNNNNNNNNNNNNNNNNNNNNNNNNNNNNNNNNNNNNNNNNNNNNNNNNNNNNNNNNNNNNNNNNNNNNNNNNNNNNNNNNNNNNNNNNNNNNNNNNNNNNNNNNNNNNNNNNNNNNNNNNNNNNNNNNNNNNNNNNNNNNNNNNNNNNNNNNNNNNNNNNNNNNNNNNNNNNNNNNNNNNNNNNNNNNNNNNNNNNNNNNNNNNNNNNNNNNNNNNNNNNNNNNNNNNNNNNNNNNNNNNNNNNNNNNNNNNNNNNNNNNNNNNNNNNNNNNNNNNNNNNNNNNNNNNNNNNNNNNNNNNNNNNNNNNNNNNNNNNNNNNNNNNNNNNNNNNNNNNNNNNNNNNNNNNNNNNNNNNNNNNNNNNNNNNNNNNNNNNNNNNNNNNNNNNNNNNNNNNNNNNNNNNNNNNNNNNNNNNNNNNNNNNNNNNNNNNNNNNNNNNNNNNNNNNNNNNNNNNNNNNNNNNNNNNNNNNNNNNNNNNNNNNNNNNNNNNNNNNNNNNNNNNNNNNNNNNNNNNNNNNNNNNNNNNNNNNNNNNNNNNNNNNNNNNNNNNNNNNNNNNNNNNNNNNNNNNNNNNNNNNNNNNNNNNNNNNNNNNNNNNNNNNNNNNNNNNNNNNNNNNNNNNNNNNNNNNNNNNNNNNNNNNNNNNNNNNNNNNNNNNNNNNNNNNNNNNNNNNNNNNNNNNNNNNNNNNNNNNNNNNNNNNNNNNNNNNNNNNNNNNNNNNNNNNNNNNNNNNNNNNNNNNNNNNNNNNNNNNNNNNNNNNNNNNNNNNNNNNNNNNNNNNNNNNNNNNNNNNNNNNNNNNNNNNNNNNNNNNNNNNNNNNNNNNNNNNNNNNNNNNNNNNNNNNNNNNNNNNNNNNNNNNNNNNNNNNNNNNNNNNNNNNNNNNNNNNNNNNNNNNNNNNNNNNNNNNNNNNNNNNNNNNNNNNNNNNNNNNNNNNNNNNNNNNNNNNNNNNNNNNNNNNNNNNNNNNNNNNNNNNNNNNNNNNNNNNNNNNNNNNNNNNNNNNNNNNNNNNNNNNNNNNNNNNNNNNNNNNNNNNNNNNNNNNNNNNNNNNNNNNNNNNNNNNNNNNNNNNNNNNNNNNNNNNNNNNNNNNNNNNNNNNNNNNNNNNNNNNNNNNNNNNNNNNNNNNNNNNNNNNNNNNNNNNNNNNNNNNNNNNNNNNNNNNNNNNNNNNNNNNNNNNNNNNNNNNNNNNNNNNNNNNNNNNNNNNNNACCCUUUCUAACCUAUGCGAUGUGUGCCUAGUCUACUUCUGCUGCCUCACGGUGUCCGCCAUUGAUACACAUGGGCGAUGGUGCUCAGGUCUUCGAAUUCACUAUUGAAUUCUUUCCGUCUAAAGUGAAGCUAGUUGAUGGUAGUGUGCGAGACACACAGAGAGAUACAAUUGUGAAAUGAGAGGUUGAAUUUGCAGAAAUUGACCCAUAGGAAAUACAGAGAUGGAAGAGAGGGGCAUGAGGAAUUUUGAGGAGAAAGUUGGGGAGAGCAUUUUUUGGGUCCAGGGUAAGAGGUAUAAUUGUUACUGUUUGAUAAUUGAAAGGGUAAGUAUGUGAGAAUUGAGAAUGGUGAAGAGAUGGUUGAUGAAAUCGAUCGGCAAGACUGCUGGGUAAGCAAAAAAGACUACCAUUCAUGCAUAGCUCGUUGAUGUGAAAUCGAUCGGCAAGACUACUAGGCAAGUUCGAUUCAUAGAUGAUAUAUGAUGAUUGGGAUUCAUAGAAACAGAUAACGUCCAUGUGUACGGGGAAGUGACGGUAAUAGAGGGGGCUGUUCAACAUGCACAAGAGGGCUAUCAUGGUGUUGUAAGGGUUAUUUUUGUUGAUUGGAAUACAGUACAAUUAGAAGACAUUACUGAUUUGGCCAUUGCAUCAAUGGCUGACACUGAGAUGGCCAAUUUUUUGGCAUUCCAGUAGAUGAUCAAGAUAAGGAAGAGAGGGGUCAAUCGAGUUUGCCUAAUGAUGCUAACAUAGAUGCUUGUAGCCCCGGCUAACUCUGUGCCCAACAACUACGGUAAGACGGGAGGGGGGGGUGUUCUUCAGAAUGACUACGCGUAUAGGCAUUUAUGCGGUGAAUCAGGUUGAAAGCGAAAGUUGCCAAAAAGUGGCAGAAUUUAAAGUGCUAGUUAUCGAUGAAAGCACAUAUAUGCUCCCUUGAUGGUUUUUAUAAUUAAUGAUAACAUACAUUGUCUGUUCAACUAAUACUUUUACCUAGUAUAUUUCAGAUAUAGUCCACAGAGAUGACUGGCUAAUGGAUUGUGUGGAGAAGCCCCAAGGAAGGAAAGGAAUAAGAUUGGCCAGCUUCAAGCUACAAGACUCUACAUUUUAUAUUUGUGAGAAAUCACUUUUAGGUCCAUAGGAAAGCCAAUACUAUUAAAAGAGGUGAGGUAUCUAUGAUGAAUUGGUUGCUGAAGUGCUUAGAGACACCCAACAAAAAUACUCAGCCAUUCUCCCACAAAAUUCACUGUCCAAAAGCCUAAACAUCAAAAUCGGUGCGUGAUAUGUUAAGUUUUGAUUGUUGCAUGUUAUUAUAUUAUCUAUUUUGGAUGUUUUAUAUGCAUUUAUAUGCCGUUUUAUAUUAUUUUUGUGACUAACCUAUUAAUCUAGAGCCUAGUGCCAGUUUCUGUUUUUUCUACGUUUUUGAGUAUUACAAAUAAGGAAUAUUUAAUGGGGUCCAAACGGAAUAAAAUAUCCUGAAAGAUUUUUCUUGGACUAGAAGACAAGCAACUGACUUGGAGUAGGGGGCAAGCCAAUUGCCGGGAGGCGACAAGCCUGCAGGGCGAGCCCUGGGGGGAUGGCCGCGCCCCCUGGCUUGUGGGCCCCCCUGGAGGUCUCCUAACCCUAUUCUUCGGCCUAUAAAUUCCCAAAUAUGUAGUACUUGAUGAGUUAUGCAUGCCCGCUUAUACAACCCAGCUUUCAGUGGAUCCUGCUAAUCAUAGAUCCCGACGAGGCAAAAGUUGAAGUACUGGACUCACUGGAAAAAAGACCGUAAAGAGUAAAUGACCUGAAGUUGAUGUCCCACAGGUAAUUUCAAUCAUUAUCGCACUAUGUCGGCCUCUUUAGUUCAGUUCCUGAUAUCAAGUAAUCAAUGACUCCUUUAUUCUUUUUCUUUGCCAGGCAGACUUUAGACACGGUUCAUCCAGAAGGUUCGUGGUGAAUGGAAACCAAAGCUGAUAUGGGUACGACCUAAGGUAAUUAAGCAGUACUAACUACGUCCGUGCAUCUACUUAGUUCUAGUUUUAAUAUCAUUAUAAUGCUUGAUUAUUAUCUGAGUGCAUUCUAUUCUCGUAAUGUGGUGCAUGCGGCAGGAACAAGAGACUAAUCUAUGUGCAUACUAUGUUUGCGACAACAUUCGCUUUAUGACCGAACGGCGCCCAGAUGCAAGAACUCUUUGGGUACGUAAACAUGGUCUAAUAUAUAUACACACAACUAAUAUAUUCAUAUUGGUCCCCUUUUUUAAAGAUGAAGGGGAUGCGGGAUAGGCUCCUACCAAAGGAACGUAUAUGAGCACUUUAAGUGAAAAUUGCGGGAUUUUUUGCUUGAGCAGGUCAUAGAUCCCGACGUAGAAUACCACUACACCAAUUAAUGCAUGCAUGUAAUGCUCUGCAAGUUGUAGGAGAAAUUGUAUACUAUAACAAAUAUGACGGUGGGUGAACGAAUUACUGUCGAGCAAUUGAUAGAACCGCGCAAAGUCAUGAAAAUAUCUAAGACAAUGAUCAUACAUAUAGGCAUCACGUCCGAGACAAGUAGACUGAUACUUUCUGCAUCUACUACUAUUACUCCACACAUCGACCGCUAUCCAGCAUGCAUCUGUUGUAUUGAGUUCAUGACAAACAGAGUAACGCCUUAAGCAAGAUGACAUGAUGUAGAGGGAUAAAUUCAUGCAAUAGAUAUAAACCCCAUCUUUUUACCCUUGAUGGCAACAACAUGAUGCGUGCCUCGCUACCCCUUCUAUCACUGGGUGAGGUCACCACACGGUAUGAACCCAAAACCAAGCACUUCUCCCAUUGCAAGAAUCAUAGAUCAAGUUGGCAAACAAAAUCCACAACUUGAAGAGAAUUACAAGGAUAUGAAAUCAUGCACAUAAGAGAUCAGAAGAAACUCAAAUAAGAUUCAUAGAUAAUCUGAUCAUAAAUCCAUAAUUCAUCGGAUCUCGACAAACACACUGCAAAAUAAGAUUACAUCGGAUAGAUCUCCAUGAAGAUCAUGGAGAACUUUGUAUUGAAGAUCGAAGAGAGAGAAUAAGCCAUAUAACUACUAGCUAUGGACCCGAAGGUCUAUGGUGAACUACUCACGCAUCAUCUGAGAGGCAAUGAUGUUGUUGAAGAAGCCCUCCGUGUCCGAAUCCCCCCUCCGUCAAGGCACCAGAACGUGCCCCAGAUGGGAUCUUGCGGAGACAGAAACUUGCGGCGGAGGAAAAAUAUUUUUGUGGCUCUCUCCCGUGGUUUUAGAUUUUUCGGGGAUUUAUAGGCGGAAGAAGUAAGGCAGAGGAGCCACAGGGGGCCCACAAGCCUGCUAGGCGCGGGCCACCCAGGCCGCGGCUAGGGGGCUUGUGGCCUCCCCUGGUGCCCUCUGCCUUGGUUCUCAAGCUCCCUGCGUAUCUUCUGUUCCGGAAAAAAUCUUUUCGAAGGUUUUAUUCCGUUUGGACUCCGUUUAAUAUUCUCCUCUGGAAAAGGUUAAAAACGCGGAAAAAACAGGAACUGGCACUUGGCACUGAGUUAAUAAGUUAGUCCCAAAAAAGAUAUAAAAGGCAUACAAAACAUCCAAAGUUUGACAAGAUAAUAGCAUGGAACCAUCAAAAAUUAUAAAUACAUUGGAGACGUAUCACUAGCCACAGAGGGUUCGUCACGGGAGCCAAAACGGAAAGUAGUUACUUGAGGUGGACACUCCAGCAUGAGCAGGGGCGGGACCGCCGGUACUACAUAGUCACGCUCUUCCUCAUGCUGAUCGAUCUUCUCUUCUACAUCAUGUUGUAGAUAGAGAUGACGAAACUUGUGGGUGUGCCAUGACCAUGCAGUUGCACUUAUUCGAGCCAUGACAUGAUCGCACUUAUGUAUCGCUAUUUUUGAGAUGAUGUGAUGAUAUUUUGUGUUGAAUGAUGAUGAUGAUGGUAUGACGAGACUACUGUAUGUCUAUGAUAUGUGAGAAUGGUGUAUGUUUAAUAUGAUGUGAUGAAACUAUUAUAUAGAAUUCGUAUCAAUACAUCACAAAUACGUACAGGGUGCAAAUCUGUGAAUGUAGUAAAAGUUAGCAGUAGCACUAGUAAAUACUUACCAGUAGCGCUGCUAACGCUUUCUAUGAGCAAGCGCUACUACUGUAGUUAGCAGUAGCGCUAGACAGGGAAGCGCUACUGCUAACACUACUUAACAGUAGCGCUGCCAUAACAGCACUACUACUAGGGUUUAGCUGUAGCGCGAUAGCAGUAGCGCUUGGUCCAGCGCUACUGGUAUGCAUAUUUCGAACACUACUACUAGGGUUUUUCCUAGUAGUGUUAGCUCAAAGAAUAAACUAACAACAAAAAUAAUGAAGUGAAAAAGACUCAACUAAAACAUUAAGUAAAAAAGAAUGAACUAAACAGAAUCAACUAAAAUUAUCAAAGUAUUUAUUUGUUAAAAAUAAUCAAGUAAAACAUUAACUAAAAAGAAUCAAAAAAAUAUCAAGUGAAAAGAAUUUUCAUAAAGUUUUUUUGUUAAAAUCAUUUAUAGAAAACUAAAGGGGGGGGGAAAAGAGAAAAAAAUCUUUAAUAGCAAAGAAUUAAAAUAUAAACUCGGACUAAAAAUUAUUAAAGUAAAAAAAUUUAAAAAAAUGCCACCUACUAGGCCAUCACGACGUGCAUACGACUAGAAACCCUAGAACCUAGAUGGACGAGGAUGCAUGCCCGCAGAAGGCCCAGUAGGACCACAUGGUAGAGAGAGUGCGUUUAGGCCCAUAGGCCUGCGUUUGAGAGGAGCUCGAGAGGAUUAGUGCAGCGGGGCUUAUAAACCACUCUCAACUCCUCUCAACUAGCGAGGUGGGACUAAACAUUUGGCCGCGGCAUCACCNNNNNNNNNNNNNNNNNNNNNNNNNNNNNNNNNNNNNNNNNNNNNNNNNNNNNNNNNNNNNNNNNNNNNNNNNNNNNNNNNNNNNNNNNNNNNNNNNNNNGUCAAGGUCUCAAGGAACAUGUCCAUGACUAAGUAUGGUCAAGUGUACUCUAUUAAUUUAUGUAUUCAAUUGUACAACUUAUGGAGCUUUGACUGGAAAACUGGAAAACUGAUGUGCAGGCUGAUCUACAAGCAAUGUUCGAGUUGUCAAAUUUUAUGCCACACUAAGGAUGUGGCGCCUAUAUAUAUAGAAAAGGUGUUCGUGAGUCUUAUCCCACACUAAAAGGCAUUUCUAUUUGUGCUGCAAGCAAACCUGAUGGUGAUGAUGAUGGAGCAAAGCGCAGCCACCCUCAUGCUCCUCACUCUCGCCUCACUCGUCGUCCUUGCAUCGGUACUGAGCCGCAAACCGAAAAACCAUAGGCGGCCUCCAGGCCCAUGGCGCCUCCCCUUGAUCGGAAGCCUCCACCACGUCCUCACGUCGCAGCCGCAGGUCGCCCUCCGGGACCUGGCCAAGAAGCACGGCCCGGUCAUGUACCUCCGGUUCGGCCAGAUGGACACCGUCGUCGUCUCCUCGCCGGCCGCGGCGCAGGAGGUGCUCCGGGACAAGGACCUCUCAUUCGCGUCGCGGCCCAACAUCCUGGUCUCAGAGAUCUUCUGCUACGGGGGCCGCAAUGUCAUCCUCGCGCCCUACGGCCCCUACUGGCGGAUGACGCGUAAGCUCUGCACGGUUGAGCUCCCGUGCGGCAGUUCGCGCCCUUCAGAGACAGCGAGACCAUGUCCCUUGUCGAGAACAUCCGCGCCGCCGGUCGGGGCGGCGCGUCAUUGAACCUUGGCAAGCUGCUCAUUUCCUGCACCAACACUAUCACCGCCAAGGCUACGUUCGGCCAGGUGUGCGACGAGGAGCUCCAGGAUCGCUUCAUGGCCGUGACCGGCCUGGCGAUCAAGGACCCCGGCGGAUCCAGCGUCGGGGACCUGGUCCCGUCGCUGUGGUUCGUCGACGCCCUCACUGGGCUGAGAGGCCGUCUGUGGCGUGCGCGCCGGCAGCUGGAUGCCAUCCUGGACAAGAUCAUCGCUGAUGAACGCAGGGAGGGGCGGCGAGGUGACCACCUUCUCGGAGUUCUGCUUAGGAUCAAGGAUGAGGGGAACCUUGAAUUCCCCAUCGACAUGACAAACAUCAAGGCCAUCAUAUUGGUACGUGUCAAGCUUCAUGCACUAGCNNNNNNNNNNNNNNNNNNNNNNNNNNNNNNNNNNNNNNNNNNNNNNNNNNNNNNNNNNNNNNNNNNNNNNNNNNNNNNNNNNNNNNNNNNNNNNNNNNNNACGGCUAGACGUCUGGCCGUCGGCAUAGAUACACAAAGCCACGUCAUCGAUCCGGGGCGCACCGAUCAGCAUCUAUACCGACGGCUGCCGUCGGCAUAUCUGCCACGUCAUCGAUCCGCAGCGCGUCGACCACCGGCCCUGGCCGUAUCUAUGCCGAUGGCUUUGCCGUAGGCAUAGUUUUUUUUUCUUUUCUUUGCACAAUGUGUGUAUAUAUAUAGGGGAAUUUGAUUAACUUACAUGUACCAUGUGUAAAUAUACAUGUAUUAUUAUUUUUAUGAAUAUAUAUGUACUUUGUACUUUUUUCGAAUACGUUAAUGAUGUGUCGUCAUUUUCUUUGAAUAUAGGUCCUUAUAUUUUAUUAAAAUCAAAAACAGCUCUGCCUACAGAAAUAUUGUGGUGGUUGCAAACGCCCUACACGCGUCUCCGGGAUGUGACCCCCCUCACGUCCGGGGUGUGCCCCCCUCACGGAAAGUCAAAGGCUAGAUCUCGUGUUCAAUCGUUACACGGUUAGGCGGGACGGGGGCCCUGGGGUAGCAGUGUGACCAGAGCGUCGCACCGGGCCCUCAUACAUGUCGUACGGGGCUAAGGUAAGUCCGAUCGGGUGGCUGUCGGGGGUAGCUAUGACAUGGAAACAUUGCAUCGGGUCCUCGUGCAUGUGUGAAAGUGAUCUGACAUGCGUAGACGCCCGUCGUGACGCUCCCGUGUGUGUCCCCCUUCAUGUACGACAAUGUCGUCGCCACUUUAAGGGGAGAAAUAGUCGUGUCGGGUCGACAUGGAGGGAACCUAGUGAUGGCUUGGACUCAGACAAUGUUCUUACAUGUUUCUAUGGGUUGACCUAUCGAAACGAGGUGGAAGAUUCCACUGGUCAAAGCCUGUCCGACGCAAGUCAAAGGCCUAAAUCUACGGGUCAACGGGGCUAGAGUUAGUCAGAUCGGGUGGCUGUCGGGGGGUAGCUAUGCCACCGAAACAUCGCAUCGGGUCCUCAUGCAUGUGUGAAAGUGAUGUGACAUGCAUAGACGCCCAUCGCGGCGCUCCCGUGUGUGUCCCCCCUUCAUGUACGACAAUGUCGCCGUCACUUUGAGGGGGGAAAUAUCCGCGUCGGGUCGACAUGAAGGGAACCUAGUGAUGGGUUGGACUGAGACCAUGUUCUUACAAGUUCAUAUGGGCUGACCUAUCAAAACGAGGUGGAAGAGUCCAGUGGUCAAAGCCCGUCCAACACAAGUCAAAGGCCUAGAUCUACGGGUCAACGGGGCUAGGGUUAGUGCAAUCAGAUGGCUGUCGGGGAUAGCUAUGCCAUUGAAACAUCACUCGGGUCCUCAUGCAUGUGUGAAAGUGAUGUGACAUGCGUAGACGCCCGUCGCGGCUCUCCGGGGUGUGCCCCCUUCAUGUACGGCAAUGCCGUCGUCACUUUGAGGGGAGAAAUAGCUGUGUCGGGUCGACAUGGAGGUAACCUAGUGAUGGGUUGGACCCAAACCAUGUUGUUACAUGUUUCUAUGGGCUAAUCUAUUAAAAUGAGGUGGAAGAGUUCACUGGUCAAAGCCCGUCCGACGCAAGUCAAAGGCAUAGAUCUACGGGUCAACGAGGCUAGGNNNNNNNNNNNNNNNNNNNNNNNNNNNNNNNNNNNNNNNNNNNNNNNNNNNNNNNNNNNNNNNNNNNNNNNNNNNNNNNNNNNNNNNNNNNNNNNNNNNNAGAUAGUGGCGUACGUGACUAGAGGCAAGAGAGCCAAAAGUCGGUCUCGGGUACAGUCGCACCGAAUAUUGCAGGUAUGUGUAUCACUUGUUAUGAAAUACUAUUGGAAGCUAGUUCCACGCAACCGGCUCCUUUUACCGUGAGCGUAGGAUAUAAUAUUAGAUUAUUUCCCUGUGACGAAAAAUUAACAAUAAUAUAUAGAGCUUAUCCAUUAGGGGGAAGUCAAAGAGAUUUACUCGUGAGCGUAAGAGAUUUACAAGAACAAAUAGCGAUAAAAUUUGUAGAUCAUCCUAGUACGAGCCUAGAUAGCUUGUGGUAUAUAAAAGGACGCGAAGAAUUUUUAGAUUUACUUGCGACUGUGCCUCACAUUACUGAGAUCAUCGAAGCGUAACCUCGUAAGUAUGGAAAUUUAUACCGAUCUUAGAUUUGGUUAUGAAGGUGCCUUAGGAGAUCAUGAGAGAGAAUUAGCUCGAGCUACGGGUAUUGUUGAAGUUAUGGAAAUACUUACAACUUUCCAGACUUAUUAUAGAAAGAGCUUUAUUGAAAAUAAAUUGAGACAAGUAAUGAAGGACAAUUACUAUCUUUUUGCUGAAAAAUAUUCUCAUUUACGAAAACAUAUUCCAAACGGAGUACGUUUUUAUAACGGAUAUCGUAUUUGUACCAGAUAUUUACACGGUUUUGGAAGUUGGGAUUUCCAAUUAAAACAUGCUGCGGCAAUUAGAGCUUGCUUUGAAAAAAUGGAUACAGUCCUAAUUAUGGAAGAAGGAAGAAAGUUAACUUGCAAUUAUUGGAUCAAAAUUUUCAAUACUGCUCCCAAUGUCAUUUGCAAUGGUACAUUUAGAAUGGAAUCCACAGGAGGAUAUUGGAUAGAUCAAGAUGAUUAUGUCCUCAAUUUAAAUAAGCAUUUCUAUAACUACGCUGAUUCUACUUAUUGUCCUUAUGGUAGAUUUCAUGCUAGAUCGGAUCGUUGCCAAUUGAAAAGUUUCUAUUACGGAGGUUACGAAUUCCAUCAAUUCAAUGAUUAUGUUAAGGCAGUAAAUUACGCAGUCUAUUUACUUUUGACCAUGUUAAGAAAAGUUAACGUUUUUAAAGUAGAUAUGGAAGAUAAUGGACAAUUUGGUCUUCAUAUUAUGAAAAAGAUAUUUGCUAUUAUUCAGUUGCUUAACAUUGCUAAAGAUUGUUACGAUUUACCUUUUGAAGGGUUAAAUUAUUACAGUGAUUUAUGUGAAACUCGACAAUAUUAUUAUAGUUUUCUAUAAUGUCAUCUGACGAAUGUCGAAGCGAGGAAGAGAUGCCGCCUCAAAAGAAACAGAAACUCGCGCAGCCAAAGUACUCGUUACUGGACGUUGUAAACCAAGUAAAGGAAGAGAAACCAGAUGCGUACAAGGAGAAGUGGGAUCCGGAAUCAGUAGUGGAGGGAUUGUCGGAUAUUGCUCUGAAAUUCACAUUAACGAAGACACAGGAAAAAGCAUUGAAGAAUUUAACUAUUUUGAUAAAAGAGGUAGAGAAAGAAACAGUUUCGAAGAAUGGCUCAAACGAUGGCCAGGAGAUAUCCGUCAUUACGUUGAAAAAUUAUCUUCUCUCCCACUCAAAAGAGUCGUAUUGCAUGAUAUUAUAUCCCCAAUCAACGAAGAAACUGCUAGUAAACUUUCUGAGCAUCUUAGGGGAAGACGGAGUGAAAACAGCUUUAUUCUCCUUGCGUUCCACCCUGAAAGAGAAACCGAAAGAGAAGUCAUCGGACAUUGUCACCUUGUCCACGACUGCACCUUCCACCAGUCAAACUGCCGAUGUUCCGCCAUCCGAUCGAUCAAUUGCCUUGGAUUGUCCAUCAAGCCCAGAUCCCAUGGAGGAAAUAAUAUCCGACCCAGCUAUUUGUUUACAAAAGUCGUCGCCGCGAAUCUUGUGGCGUACCUCUCAAGUGUAAGUAUCACUUAUAUAUUAAGUAGUGAGUUGUUUCUAAAACUUUUUGUUCGUCACAUUCCAUUUUGGAAGAUGAUAGGGGCAUGGGUUUCCUGUAAUCGGCUCUUAUAGAUUACUUUGGAGCUACCGGGGGAUCCUGCUCUGCAUUUAAUUUGAACAUUUUCAUCUCAAUUUAUUUGUCUAAGAGUUAUUGGAAACAACAAUGGUUAAUAUUUAUGUGAUACUUAACAGGCUCCAAGGAAAAUUACGCUCGCACGAGGUAGAGACGGAACCGAAGAUGUCAACUUUAAAAAUGCACAUCACCUCUACGAAAGCCGCCCAAAAAGGAAUAGCUUGGAAUCAACAACCGAGGAUAUCAUUGGAGAUGCAAUUGAACAAGGAGGAUCAGACUUAUCAAGAAGUGAUGGGAAUAAUUCGAAGGGAGCAACAGGCUAUUACAGCACAUCCGGAACACCGAGAGAAAGAGUACUCCGUCAAAUAUCAGAAACAAUCUUCAAAUACGGAGCAACCCCGCUAGGAAACGCGAGUGCUUUUCCAUCAUUUUUAGAAGAACCAAUAUGGUCAUUUAGUAAAGGUAAUAAAAUUUACGAAGAAGGACUACAUAUAGCAGAAGAUCGCUUUAGAGAUAUGAGUACUUUAGACUUUAUUAAAUACCAUACUGACCAUAAAGCUUACUUUGAUAUAUGUAAACAUAAGGAUAAUCUAUAUUAUGAUUUGCAAGAAAGCUUUGAUGUUUUAGAUUUCCUUUUACAUUAUCAAUUUCAAACUAAAGAGGCGGUAACCGAGUUUCUUCAAACGUUUAUCGAUGUCAUGGAUAGAUUAAUUCCAAAAAUGAACUGUAUUCAGGUCAUUGGACCUACUUGUUCGGGAAAAAAUUAUCUAUUUGAUUGUUUUUUAGCUUUCUAUUUAUCUAUCGGUGAAAUGAAAAAUCCUAGUAAGCAUAAUCAAUUUCCAUUCGACGAGUGUGAUAAUAAGAGACUUAUUAGGUGGAAUGAACCCUUAAUGGGGGAUGAAUUUAUCGAUACGAUGAAAAAGUUAACUGCCGGGGAUCCUCUAUCUAUUAAUUGUAAAUAUAGAAGAGGUACUGCUUUAUCAAAAACACCAAUAAUUAUAACUACCAAUAAUGAAAUUUUGAGACAAAUUGAAUUUCAAUCAAGAAUAAAAAGAUACUAUUGGCAAUCUUGCGAUGAACUUAAAAAUUAUGACAAAUAUCCACAUCCAACUGUGUUAAUUAAAUUUAUAAAUGAAUACAACAUUGUAAUCAAAAAAGAUUAAUAAACUUUAUUCACUUUCAAAUUCUUCUUCUUCCAUUACAAUUUCUUCGACAGCUUUUCUUUUAGGAGCGUACAAUUUUGGUACAGCAACACCAGUACCGACAGUAAUAUCGUAAUCAUGAUUUUCCAUUCGUUUAUAUUGCAUAGGUAAGUCGGUAAGUAUCGGUUCGCAAUUCAUAUUAGCUGAUUUGCCACCAAUUCUAACCCAAGUAUCAUUAAAUGUUUGAACAGCAUAAUUAUUAAAAAUUCUUAAUGUUAUAAUAUUUCCAGUUAAUGACACUUUAAUCAUAUUAUGUGGUUCUUCAUAAUUAAUUCCUUUAACAUGUCUAUAGCUAUGACCUCUAACAGUCACUUUUACCAUCCAUUCUACAUCAACUGCUGUAAACUUAACAUCACUAGUAUUACUUACAUUACUUUGAAUAGGUCUUACUCCGAAACAUAAUUUAGGUGGCAUAUCGUUAUUAUCAAAAGGAUUAUCUAAAGCUUGUAUUAAUCCACAUUUUUCUACUGGUAAAGUUACCAUAUGUUCGUAAUCCGACAAACUGCCACCAUAUAAAGUAUCUUCCAAAUGUUGCCUAUGAUUUAUAAAUGUGCUAGUUACAUCUCCAGUUUUAUAUGGUUCUUGGGCGUCUCCUUCUUUUUCAUUAUCGUAAAAAUAUCUUAAAGUAGUAGCCCCUUGAACUUGAUGAAUAUAUUGACCCUUUUCACCCCAUCCGUUAAUUGGUCUAAAUCUUUCCAUAUUUGGCCUUCUCCAUUUAAUUAAUCCGUGUUUAAAUUUAUGGUGGUAGUUUAUAAGUGGAUCAGUGCCACUUUUUUCAGAAUCAAAAUCAAAUUCAUUAACUUGACUAUGCCACAUAAUAGGUUCGUUUUCCGUAAAUCCUGCGGCUAAUUGUUCUUUACCAGUUAAAUUACCUUUGCCCAUUGUAAAUAAACAAGUAUAAAAAGGUAAAUGUCUGGGAACACCCAUAAUGACUCCGAAAUCAUCUUUGUUAGAAUCCGUAGCAUUUCUCCAACCCCAAACAAAUUCUUUCCACCCCUUUGUUGGUUUGGCAGGAAAUGCCUGUGUGCUUAAACCGGUUGGUACACAUGGUUCUGCAUCAGAAUGGGUAUAAGAAAAUUCUAAAGAUGGUCUAGUUAAUCCAUGACCAAUAUACCACGAGCCAUAACAAUCCAUUUGACUAUUAGCUGUACCUGGUGAAGCAGCGUUAGUACUAAAAGGGGUUCUUUUUAAAUGAGGUUUAACCGUAAUUAAACAAUCAUCAAUGUAACUGUAAUGUUCUAAAUCAUCAUAAAAAACUCUAGGCAUAAAUACACCUAAAUUAUUAGUGGGAAAAUUAGCCAAAUGGGUAGUAGUUAUAUCUACAGAAUCAAAUUUACCACCAGGAGCAUUAUAAUCAACUGGCUUAGACAUAUUUUUUAACCAAGUUUGAACUCUAUCUCCUAUUCCAGCUACAGCAAUAGCACUUAAAGGCAUUUGUUUAUACGCGUACGGAAAUGUUUUUACUUUUCCUUGCCAUGAAUAAUGCCAUUUUACUUGCGAUUUGUCCACAAAUUUUCCAAAAGCAGUAUAACGAGUUUUUCCUCUAGUUGAAUCUGCAUUAGAAGCGCUUCCUCCAGCUCCUACACCAGCCGCUGCUUGUUGUGGUGGCGGUGCCAAUGGUGAUUGAAUUGCUGCUGUUUUAUCCAUAUUAAAAGUCUCAUAAGCCGAAUCUUCUUGAAAAGACGGUGUAUCUGGUCUUGGAUUUGGUGAUUCUAUCUGAGCUCGAGGACUUAGACUGUCCAAAAAAUUUGCAGGUAAUUUGGGUGACUCUUGAUGAGAUGGUCCAGCAAUUGGCGAUUGUUCUUGGGUUUCUGGUUCUUCUGGACUGAAUAACUGCUUUUUUUGAGGACUUGUUCCUUUUUUCUUCGGAGUAUCAAAAUCGUCAGCAUCAAAUUGAUCUGGAUUAAGUUCGAAAUGUCGUAUUUCGUCAGUUAAAUAAUCCGCUUCCUCUCGGGUAAAUGUACUAAGAAAAUCAGACCAACCUGGGGAAAAGAAGUUCCGUCUUAGAUUUCGAUAAUGUUCAUUAUACCUAUUUAUGACUUCAUUAUGCUCGGCUUCAGGUAAUUUGGCAAAUUUCGCCUGUGGGUCUAUUGCAUGAAACGUAUCAAAACUAACUUCGUGACCUGGGUUUAAUCUCUGAUGUUCGUGCCUAUUGAAGUCAUCUAAAUAUCUUUCUAUGUCUUUUAUUUGCCAUGAAUCGGUUAAUUUUUGUAAUUCUUUUUUUCUAGUAGGAGCCAUUACCUAGAUUUGGAUUAAUUCGUUUAUACGCUUUCAGUUGUUCCGUUAGUCUGUUCUUUAAAUUAACUUUUCCUCUUUCGUAUUGUAGUUGAUUUUUUUGUUCACGACUUUUAUAGUUAUAAUCUUGUUCAGUUUCUGGCGGACUAAUUUGAGCUACUUCGUUGCCCGUAGCUUUGUACUCUGGUCUUUUGCCAGUAUCUAAUAAAGCGUUAAAAUUGACCUUUUCUUGUUGAUAAUCAGGGUGAUUUGGAUCAGCUAAUAUAUCUAAUUGUUCGCGAGUUGGAUAAGAUCUACCCACGUGUUUUAAUGCAUCUCUUAUAUUAUUUUCGUCAAUAUGAGCGUUUUUUCCACCGUUAUAUAUUUCUCCAAAACCUAAUUCUAAAAUACGUUUCAAUGAUAGCCCAGCUGCACCUAUUAAGGAAUGAAUAUUUCCUUUACGAGCAGAAUCAUAAAAUUCAUAAAUAGCUAUAUCAUCCGAUAUCGGAACGCUAGCUCCUCUGGCAUAAUCCUCGUCAUGUAACCUAGCAAUAGAAUCAUCCUCAUCAACAGGUUUAACUCCAUCUAAUUCAUUACCGGGCCCUACAUAGUUAUGCCCUGGUAGUAAUAUUCCUUUUCGUUUUGACAUACCUAAAUAUUCGGUGCGACUGUACCCGAGACCGACUUUUGGCUCUCUUGCCUCUAGUCACGUACGCCACUAUCUNNNNNNNNNNNNNNNNNNNNNNNNNNNNNNNNNNNNNNNNNNNNNNNNNNNNNNNNNNNNNNNNNNNNNNNNNNNNNNNNNNNNNNNNNNNNNNNNNNNNGUCUAUUAGUUUGGGUCUAGUCCAUCACGUGAUUCUCCCAAUGACGUGAUCCAGUUAUCAAGCAACAACACCUUGUUCAUAAUCAGAAGACACUGACUAUCAUCGAUCAACUGGCUAGCCAACUAGAGGCAUGCUAGGGACGGUGUUUUGUCUAUGUAUCCACACAUGUAAAUGAGUCUUCAUUCAAUACAAUUAUAGCAUGGAUAAUAAACUAUUAUCUUGAUACAGGAAUUAUAAUAAUAACUAUAUAUUUAUUAUUGCCUCUAGGGCAUAAUUCCAACAGCCUCCCACUUGCACUAGAGUCAAUAAUCUAGCCCGCACAUCACCAUGUGAAUUACAUUGUAAUAAAUCUAACACCCAUACAGUUCUGGUGUCGAUCAUGUUUUGGCCGUGGAAGAGGUUUAGUCAGCGGGUCUGCUACAUUCAGAUCCGUGUGCACCUUGCAUAUAUUUACGUCCUCUUCCUCGACGUAGUCGCGGAUGAGGUUGAAGCGUCGUUUGAUGUGUCUGGUCUUCUUGUGAAACCGUGGUUCCUUUGCUAAGGCAAUGGCACCAGUGUUGUCACAGAACAAGGUUAUUGGAUUCAGUGCGAUUGGCACCACUCCAAGAUCCGUCAUGAACUGCUUCAUCCAGACACCCUCCUUAGCCGCCUCCGAGGCAGCCAUGUACUCUGCUUCACAUGUAGAAUCUGCUACGACGCUUUGCUUGGAACUGCACCAGCUUACUGCACCCCCAUUAAGAAUAAAUACGUAUCCGGUUUGCGACUUAGAGUCGUCCGGAUCUGUGUCAAAGCUUGCAUCGACGUAACCUUUUACGGCGAGCUCUUCGUCACCUCCAUACACGAGAAACAUCUCCUUAGUCCUUUUCAGGUACUUCAGGAUAUUCUUGACCGCUGUCCAGUGAUCCACUCCUGGAUUACUCUGGAACCUACCUGCCAUACUUAUGGCCAGCCUAACAUCCGGUCUAGUGCACAGCAUCGCAUACAUGAUAGAACCUACGGCUGAAGCAUAGGGGACGGAGCGCAUAUGCUCUCUAUCUUCAUCAGUUGCUGGGCACUGAGUCUUACUCAAUCUCGUACCUUGUAAAACUGGCAAGAACCCUUUCUUGGACUGUUCCAUUUUGAACCUCUUCAAAACUUUAUCAAGGUAUGUGCUUUGUGAAAGUCCUAUCAGGCGUUUUGAUCUAUCCCUAUAGAUCUUAAUGCCUAGAAUGUAAGCAGCUUCUCCUAGGUCCUUCAUAGAGAAACUUUUAUUCAAGUAACCUUUUAUGCUCUCCAAAAGCUCUACGUUGUUUCCAAUCAGUAAUAUGUCAUCCACAUAUAAUAUCAGAAACGCCACAGAGCUCCCACUCACUUUCUUGUAAAUACAAGAUUCUCCAACCACUUGUAUAAACCCAAAUGCUUUGAUCACCUCAUCAAAGAGUUUGUUCCAACUCCGAGAUGCUUGCACCAGUCCAUAAAUGGAUCGCUGGAGCUUGCACACCUUGUCAGCAUUUUUAGGAUCGACAAAACCUUCGGGUUGCAUCAUAUACAACUCUUCCUUAAGGAACGCCGUUUUGACAUCCAUCUGCCAGAUUUCAUAAUCGAAAAAUACAGCUAUUGCUAACAUGAUUCUGACGGACUUAAGCAUCGCUACGGGUGAGAAAGUCUCAUCGUAGUCAACUCCUGGAACUUGUGAAAAACCCUUUGCCACAAGUCGAGCUUUAUAAACGGUCACAUUACCGUCAGCGUCCGUCUUCUUCUUAAAGAUCCAUUUGUUCUGAAUAGCCUUGCGGCCCUCAGGUAGUAUCUCCAAAGUCCACACUUUGUUCUCAUACAUGGAUCCUAUCUCGGAUUUCAUGGCUUCUAGCCAUUUGUUGGAAUCUGGGCCCACCAUUGCUUCUUCAUAAUUUGCAGGUCCAUUGUUGUCUAACAACAUGAUUGAUAAGACGGGAUUACCGUACCACUCUGGAGCAGCGUGUGAUCUCGUCGACCUGCGUGGUUCAACAGAAACUUGAACUGGAGUUUCAUGAUCAUCAUCAUUAACUUCCUCCUCAACCGGCGUCGCAACGACAGAGGUUUCCCCUUGCCCUGCGCCACCAUCCAGAGGGAUGAGAGGUUCGACAACCUCGUCAAGUUCUAUCUUCCUCCCACUCAAUUCUCUCGAGAGAAACUCCUUCUCGAGAAAAGCUCCGUUUUUAGCAACAAACACUUUGCCCUCGGAUUUGAGGUAGAAGGUGUACCCAACUGUCUCUUUUGGGUAACCUAUGAAGACGCACUUUUCCGCUUUGGGUUCCAGCUUUUCAGGCUGAAGCUUUUUGACAUAAGCAUCACAUCCCCAAACUUUAAGAAACGACAACUUUGGCCUUUUGCCAUACCACAGUUCGUAUGGUGUCGUCUCAACGGAUUUUGAUGGUGCCCUAUUUAAAGUGAAUGCAGCUGUUUCUAAUGCAUAACCCCAAAAUGAUAACGGCAAAUCAGUAAGAGGCAUCAUAGAUCGCACCAUCUCUAACAAAGUACGAUUACGACGUUCGGACACAACAUUACGGUGUGGUGUUCCAGGCGGUGUUAACUGCGAAACAAUUCCACAUUGUCUUAAGUGAGCACCAAACUCGAAACUCAGAUAUUCACCCCCACGAUUAGACCGUAGGAACUUGAUCUUCUUGUUACGAUGAUUUUCCACUUCACUCUAAAAUUGCUUGAACUUUUCAAAUGUUUCAGACUUGUGCUUCAUCAAGUAGACAUAACCAUAUCUACUUAAAUCGUCAGUGAAGGUGAGUAACGAUAUCCGCCAGGUGCCUCUACGCUCAUUGGACCACACACAUCGGUAUGUAUGAUUUCCAACAAGUCACUUGCACGCUCCAUUGUUCCGGAGAACGGAGUCUUAGUCAUCUUGCCCAUGAGGCAUGGUUCGCACGUGUCAAGUGAAUCAAAGUCAAGUGACUCCAAAAGUCCAUCAGCAUGGAGUUUCUUCAUGCGCUUUACACCAAUAUGACCCAAGCAGAAGUGCCACAAAAAUAUGGCGCUAUCAUUGUUUACUCUAAUUCUUUUGGUCUCAAUGUUAUAUAUAUGCGUAUCGCUAUCAAGAUUCAAUAUGAACAAUCCUCUCACAUUCGGUGCAUGACCAUAAAAGAUGUUACUCAUAGAAAUGGAACAACCAUUAUUCUCAGACUUAAAAGAAUAACCGUCUCGCAAUAAACAAGAUCCAGAUAUAAUGUUCAUGCUCAACGCAGGCACUAAAUAACAAUGAUUUAAGUUCAUCACUAAUCCCGAUGGUAGCUGAAGUGACACUGUGCCGACGACGAUUGCAUCAACCUUGGAACCAUUUCCUACGCGCAUCGUCACUUCGUCUUUCGCCAGCCUUCGUCUAUUCCACAGUUCCUGUUUCGAGUUGCAAAUGUGAGCAACAGAACCGGUAUCGAAUACCCAGGCACUACUACGAGAGCCGGUUAAGUACACAUCAAUAACAUGUAUAUCAAAUAUACCUGAUUUUUCUUUGCCCGCCUUCUUAUCUGCCAGAUACUUGGGGCAAUUGCGCUUCCAGUGACCCAUACCCUUGCAAUAGAAGCACUCUGUUUCAGGCUUAGGUCCAGCCUUGGGUUUCUUCGGUGGAUUGGCAACAGGCUUGCCGCUCUUCUUCGAAUUGCCCUUCUUGCCUUUGCCGUUUCUCUUGAAACUAGUGGUCUUGCUCACCAUCAACACUUGAUGCUCUUUACGGAGUUCAGACUCUGCGACUUUCAGCAUCGCAAACAACUCGCCGGGAGACCUGUUCAUCCCUUGCAUGUUGUAGUUCAACACAAAGCCUUUAUAGCUUGGCGGCAGUGAUUGAAGGAUUCUGUCAGUGAUAGCUUCCUGCGGGAGUUCAAUCCCCAGAUCAGCUAGACGGUUUGAGUACCCAGACAUUUUGAGCACAUGUUCACUGACAGAUGAGUUUUCCUCCAUCUUGCAAGCAUAGAAUUUAUCGGAGGUCUCAUACCUCUCGAUCCGGGCGUUCUUCUGAAAGAUAAACUCCAACUCCUGGAACAUCUCAAAUGCUCCAUGACGCUCAAAGCGACGUUGAAGUCCCGGUUCUAAGCCAUACAAGACUGCACAUUGAACUAUUGAGUAGUCCUCCUUACGUGCUAACCAAGCGUUCUUAACAUCCUGAUCAGCCGUAGCGGGUGGUUCAUCUCCUAGCGCAGCAUUAAGGACAUAAUCCUUCUUCCCAGCUUGUAAGAUUAGCUUAAGAUUACGAGCCCAGUCUACAAAGUUGCUUCCAUCAUCUUUCAACUUAGCUUUCUUUAGGAAUGUAUUAAAAUUCAGGAUGACUGUCGCGUGAGCCAUGAUCUACAACACAAAUAUAUUCAAAGUGGACUUAGACUAUGUUCAAGAUAAUUAGAGUUUAACUUAAUCAAAUUAUAUGCUAAACUCCCACUCAAAAAGUACAUCUCUCUAGUCAUUUGAGUGGUUCAUGAUCCACUUACACUAUCCCAAGUCCGAUCAUCACGUGAGUUGAGUAUAGUUUCAGUGGUAAGCAUCCCUAUGCUAAUCAUAUCAACUAUAUGAUUCAUGAUCGACCUUUCGGUCUCAUGUGUUCCGAGGCCAUGUCUGCACAUGCUAGGCUCGUCAAGCUUAACCCGAGUGUUCCGCGUGCGCAACUGUUUUGCACCCGUUGUAUGUGAACGUUGAGUCUAUCACACCCGAUCAUCACGUGGUGUCUCGAAACGACGAACUGUAGCAACGGUGCACAGUCGGGGAGAACACAAUUUCGUCUUGAAAUUUUAGUGAGAGAUCACCUCAAAAUGCUACCGUCGUUCUAAGCAAAACAAGGUGCAUACAAGGAUUAACAUCACAUGCAAUUCAUAAGUGACAUGAUAUGGCCAUCAUCACGUGCUUCUUGAUCUCCAUCACCAAAGCACCGACACGAUCUUCUUGUCACCGGCGCCACACCAUGAUCAUCCAUCAACGUGUUGCCAUCGGGGUUGUCGUGCUACUUAUGCUAUUACUACUAGAGGAAAAACUGUGGAGGUAUGUGGUCGGGCUGCCGUGGAAAAGUCGUCUCAAAUCAGCCCUAAAACCUCCGUAUAUAUAGGUGGGAGGGAGGGGGGCCUUGCCUUGGGGUCCAAGGACCCUCAAGGGGUCGGCCGAGCCAAGGGGGAGGACUCUCCCCCCCCCAAACCGAGUUGGACUAGGUUUGGUGGGAGGGAGUCCCCCUCCCUUCCCACCUCCUCCUUUUUUCCUUUUUCCUUUGAUUUCUUAUCCUUGGCGCAUAGGGCCCUUUUGGGCUGUCCCACCAGCCCACUAAGGGCUGGUGCGCCACCCUUAUAGCCUAUGGGCUUCCCCGGGGUGGGUUGCCCACCCCCCGGUGAACUCCCGGAACCCAUUCGUCAUUUCCGGUACAUUCCCGGUAACUCCGAAAACCUUCCGGUAAUCAAAUGAGGUCAUCCUAUAUAUCAAUCUUCGUUUCCGGACCAUUCCGGAAACCCUCGUGACGUCCGUGAUCUCAUCCGGGACUCCGAACAACAUUCGGUAACCAACCAUAUAACUCAAAUACGCAUAAAACAACGUCGAACCUUAAGUGUGCAGACCCUGCGGGUUCGAGAACUAUGUAGACAUGACCCGAGAGACUCCUCGGUCAAUAUCCAAUAGCGGGACCUGGAUGCCCAUAUUGGAUCCUACAUAUUCUACGAAGAUCUUAUCGUUUGAACCUCAGUGCCAAGGAUUCGUAUAAUCCCGUAUGUCAUUCCCUUUGUCCUUCGGUAUGUUACUUGCCCGAGAUUCGAUCGUCAGUAUCCGCAUACCUAUUUCAAUCUCGUUUACCGGCAAGUCUCUUUACUCGUUCCGUAAUACAAGAUCCCGCAACUUACACUAAGUUACAUUGCUUGCAAGGCUUGUGUGUGAUGUUGUAUUACCGAGUGGGCCCCGAGAUACCUCUCCGUCAUACGGAGUGACAAAUCCCAGUCUUGAUCCAUACUAACUCAACUAACACCUUCGGAGAUACCUGUAGAGCAUCUUUAUAGUCACCCAGUUACGUUGCGACGUUUGAUACACACAAAGCAUUCCUCCGGUGUCAGUGAGUUAUAUGAUCUCAUGGUCAUAGGAAUAAAUACUUGACACGCAGAAAACAGUAGCAACAAAAUGACACGAUCAACAUGCUACGUCUAUUAGUUUGGGUCUAGUCCAUCACGUGAUUCUCCCAAUGACGUGAUCCAGUUAUCAAGCAACAACACCUUGUUCAUAAUCAGAAGACACUGACUAUCAUCGAUCAACUGGCUAGCCAACUAGAGGCAUGCUAGGGACGGUGUUUUGUCUAUGUAUCCACACAUGUAAAUGAGUCUUCAUUCAAUACAAUUAUAGCAUGGAUAAUAAACUAUUAUCUUGAUACAGGAAUUAUAAUAAUAACUAUAUAUUUAUUAUUGCCUCUAGGGCAUAAUUCCAACAUAGCUACCCCCGACAGCCAUCCGAUUGCACUAACCCUAGCCCCGUUGACCCGUAGAUCUAGGCCUUUGACUUGCGUCGGACGGGCUUUGACCAGUGGACUCUUCCACCUUGUUUCGAUAGGUCAGCCCAUAGGAACAUGUAAGAACAUGGUCUCAGUCCAACCCAUCACUAGGUUACCUCCAUGUCGACUCGACGCGGCUAUUUCCCCCCUCAAAGUGUCGGCGGCAUUGCCGUACAUGAAGGGGGCACACACCGGAGAGCCACGACAGUUGUCUACGCAUGUCACAUCACUUUCCCACAUGCAUGAGGAUCCGACGCGAUGUUUCGGUGGCAUAGCUACCCCCGGAAGCCACCCGACCGGACUAAUUAACCCUAGCCCCAUUGACACGGAGAUCUAGGCCUUUGACUUUCGCCGGAUGGGGUUUGAACAAAGGACUCGUCCACCUGGUUACGAUAGCUCAGCCCAUAGGAUCAUGUGUGAACACGGCCUGGGCCCAACCCACCACUAGAUUUCCUCCGACUUGACCCGGUGCGCACGUUUCCCCCCUCAAAGUGCCGCGGCAGUAUCGUACAUGAAGGGGGGACACAUCCGGGACCACCGCGACGGGCGUCUACGCAUGUCAGAUCAGUUUCACACAUCCAUGAGGACCCGACGCGAUGUUUCGGCGGCAUAGCUACCCCCAUCAGCCACCCGAUCGGACUAACCCUAGCCCCGUUGACCCGUAGAUCUAGGCCUUUGACUUGCGUCGGACGGGCUUUGACCAGUAGACUCUUCCACCUCGUUUCGAUAGGUCAGCCCAUAGGAACAUGUAAGAACAUGGCCUUAGUCCAACCCAUCACUAGGUUCCCUACAUGUCGACCCGACGCGACUAUUUCCCCCCUCAAAGUAACGGCGACAUUGUCGUACAUGAAGGGGUCACACCCUGGAGAGCAGCGACGGGCGUCUACACAUGUCACAUCACUUUCACACAUGCAUGAGGACCCGAUGCGAUGUUUCGGUGGCAUAGCUACCCCCCGACAGCCACCCGAUCUGACUAACUCUAGCCCCGUUGACCCGUAGAUUUAGGCCUUUGACUUGCGUCGGACAGGCUUUGACCAGUGGAAUCUUCCACCUCGUUUCGAUAGGUCAACCCAUAGAAACAUGUAAGAACAUUGUCUGAGUCCAAGCCAUCACUAGGUUCCCUCCAUGUCGACCCGACACGACUAUUUCUCCCCUUAAAGUGGCGACGACAUUGUCGUACAUGAAGGGGGACACACACGGGAGCGUCACGACGGGCGUCUACGCAUGUCAGAUCACUUUCACACAUGCACGAGGACCCGAUGCAAUGUUUCCAUGUCAUAGCUACCCCCGACAGCCACCCGAUCGGACUUACCUUAGCCCCGUACGACAUGUAUGAGGGCCCGGUGCGACGCUCUGGUCACACUGCUACCCCAGGGCCCCCGUCCCGCCUAACCGUGUAACGAUUGAACACGAGAUCUAGCCUUUGACUUUCCGUGAGGGGGGCACACCCCGGACGUGAGGGGGGUCACAUCCCGGAGACGCGUGUAGGGCGUUUGCAACCACCACAAUAUUUCUGUAGGCAGAGCUGUUUUUGAUUUUAAUAAAAUAUAAGGACCUAUAUUCAAAGAAAAUGACGACACAUCAUUAACGUAUUCGAAAAAAGUACAAAGUACAUAUAUAUUCAUAAAAAUAAUAAUACAUGUAUAUUUACACAUGGUACAUGUAANACAUGCAUGAGGACCCGACGCGAUGUUUCGGUGGCAUAGCUACCCCUGACAGCCACCCGACCGGACUAACCCUAGCCUCGUUGACCAGUAGAUCUAGGCCUUUGACUUGCGUCGGACGGGCUUUGACCAAUGGACUCUUCCACCUCGUUUCGAUAGGUCAGCCCAUAGAAACAUGUAAGAACAUUGUCUGAGUCCAACUCAUCACUAGGUUCCCUCCAUGUCGACCCGACACGGCUAUUUCCCCCUCAAAGUGACGACGACAUUGUCGUACAUGAAGGGGGACACACACGGGAGCGCCGCGACGGGCGUCUACGCAUGUCACAUCACUUUCACACAUGCAUGAGGGCCCGAGCAAUGUUGCAGUGGCAUAUCUACCCCCGACAGCCACCCAAUUGCAAUAACCCUAGCCUCGUUGACCCGUAGAUCUAUGCCUUUGACUUGCGUCGGACGGGCUUUGACCAGUGAACUCUUCCACCUCAUUUUAAUAGAUUAGCCCAUAGAAACAUGUAACAACAUGGUUUGGGUCCAACCCAUCACUAGGUUACCUCCAUGUCGACCCGACACAGCUAUUUCUCCCCUCAAAGUGACGACGGCAUUGCCGUACAUGAAGGGGGCACACCCCGGAGAGCCGCGACGGGCGUCUACGCAUGUCACAUCACUUUCACACAUGCAUGAGGACCCGAGUGAUGUUUCAAUGGCAUAGCUAUCCCCGACAGCCAUCUGAUUGCACUAACCCUAGCCCCGUUGACCCGUAGAUCUAGGCCUUUGACUUGAGUUGGACGGGCUUUGACCACUGGACUCUUCCACCUCGUUUUGAUAGGUCAGCCCAUAUGAACUUGUAAGAACAUGGUCUCAGUCCAACCCAUCACUAGGUUCCCUCCAUGUCGACCCGACGCGGAUAUUUCCCCCCUCAAAGUGACGGCGGCAUUGCCGUACAUGAAGGGGGGCACAUACCGAGAGCCGCGACGGGUGUCUACGCAUGUCACAUCACUUUCACACAUGCAUGCGGAUUCGACGCGAUGUUUCGGUGGCAUAGCUACCCCCGACAACCACCCGAUUGGACUAACCCUAGCCCCGUUGACCCGUAGAUCUAGGCUUUUGACUUACGUUAGACGGGCUUUGACCAGUGGACUCUUCCACCUCAUUUCGAUAGGUAUGCCCAUAGGAACAUGUAAGAACAUGGUCCGAGUCCAACCCAUCACCAGGUUCCCUCCAUGUCGACCCAACGCGGCUAUUUCCCCCUCAAAGUGACGGCGACAUUGUCGUACAUGAAGGGGGGACACACACGGGAGCGCCGCGAUGGGCGUCUAUGCAUGUCACAUCACUUUCACACAUGCAUGAGGAACCGAUGCGAUGUUUCGGUGGCAUAGCUACCCCCGACAUCCACCCGAUCGGACUAACCCUAGCCCCGUUGACCCGUAGAUCUAGGCCUUUGACUUGCGUCGGAUGGACUUUGACCAAUGGACUCUUCCACCUCGUCCCGAUAGGUGAGCACAUAGAAACAUGUAAGAACAUUGUCUGAGUCCAACUCAUCACUAGGUUCCCUCCAUGUCGACCCGACACGGUUAUUUUCCCCCUCAAAGUGACGACGACAUUGUCGUACAUAAAGGGGGGACACACACGGGAGCGCCGCGACGGGCGUCUACGCAUGUCACAUCACUUUCACACAUGCAUGAGGACCCGAGCGAUGUUUCGUUAGCAUAUCUACCCCUGACGGCCACCCGAUCGCAAUAACCCUAGCCCCGUUGAACCGUAGAUCUAGGCCUUUGACUUGCGUCGGACGGGCUUUGACCAGUUGACUCUUCCACCUCGUUUCAAUAGGUCAGCCCAUAGGAACAUGUAAGAACAUGGUCUGGGUCCAACCCAUCACUAGGUUACCUCCAUGUCGACCCGACACGGCUAUUUCCCCCCCUCAAAGAGACGACGGUAUUGCCGUACAUGAAGGGGGCACACCCGGAGAGCCGCGACGGGCGUCUACGCAUGUCACAUCACUUUCACACAUGCAUGAGAAUCCGAGCGAUGUUUCCGUGGCAUAGCUUGUUGGGGAACGUCGCAUGGGAAACAAAAAUUUUCCUACGCGCACGAAGACCUAUCAUGGUGAUGUCCAUCUAUGAGAGGGGAUGUGUGAUCUACGUACCCUUGUAGACCGUACAGCAAAAGCGUUAGAGAACGCGGUUGAUGUAGUGGAACGUCCUCAGCUCCCUCGAUCCGCCCCGCGAACAAUCCCGCGAUCAGUCCCACGAUCUAUUACCGAACGGACGGCACCUCCGCGUUCAGCACACGUACAGCUCGACGAUGAUCUCGGCCUUCUUGAUCCAGCAAAGAGAGACGGAGAGGUAGAAGAGUUCUCCGGCAGCGUGAUAGCGCUCGGAGGUCGGUGAUGACCUUGUCUCAGCAGGGCUCCGCCCGAGCUCCGCAGAAACGCGAUCUAGAGGAAAAACCGUGGAGGUAUGUGGUCGGGCUGCCAUGGAAAAGUCGUCUCAAAUCAGCCCUAAAACCUCCGUAUAUAUAGGUGGGAGGGAGGGGGGCUUGCCUUGGGGUCCAAGGACCCUCAAGGGGUCGGUCGAGCCAAGGGGGAGGACUCUCCCCCCCCCAAACCGAGUUGGACUAGGUUUGGUGGGAGGGAGUCCCCCUCCCUUCCCACCUCCUCCUUUUUUUUCCUUUUUCCUUUGAUUUCUUAUCCUUGGCGCAUAGGGCCCUUUUGGGCUGUCCCACCAGCCCACUAAGGGCUGGUGCGCCACCCUUAUGGCCUAUGGGCUUCCCCGGGGUGGGUUUCCCCCCCGGUGAACUCCCGGAACCCAUUCGUCAUUCCCGGUACAUUCCCGGUAACUCCGAAAACCUUCCGGUAAUCAAAUGAGGUCAUCCUAUAUAUCAAUCUUCGUUUCCGGACCAUUCCGGAAACCCUCGUGACGUCCGUGAUCUCAUCCGGGACUCCGAACAACAUUCGGUAACCAACCAUAUAACUCAAAUACGCAUAAAACAACGUCGAACCUUAAGUGUGCAGACCCUGCGGGUUCGAGAACUAUGUAGACAUGACCCGAGAGACUCCUCGGUCAAUAUCCAAUAGCGGGACCUGGAUGCCCAUAUUGGAUCCUACAUAUUCUACGAAGAUCUUAUCGUUUGAACCUCAGUGCCAAGGAUUCGUAUAAUCCCGUAUGUCAUUCCCUUUGUCCUUCGGUAUGUUACUUGCCCGAGAUUCGAUCGUCAGUAUCCGCAUACCUAUUUCAAUCUCGUUUACCGGCAAGUCUCUUUACUCGUUCCGUAAUACAAGAUCCCGCAACUUACACUAAGUUACAUUGCUUGCAAGGCUUGUGUGUGAUGUUGUAUUACCGAGUGGGCCCCGAGAUACCUCUCCGUCAUACGGAGUGACAAAUCCCAGUCUUGAUCCAUACUAANCACGCACCUAUGAUUAUAUUGCUUUGUCUUCUGAUCUGGUUACAAGGGGUAGCCUACACGAGUAUAUAAAGAACUAAAGCUAGCCUAAUACACGUCGAGUCGGUUUGAUUGUUCCGGUCCAACCCGGACACGGACAGCGUGGUUAUUUUCAACAAUCACCCCCCCAAACACGAUGUCCUCACUUCACAGCUUGGACGCCGAUCCUUCUCCGCAUCUCUGUAAACUUCUGUCGUCCCAAAGACUUGAUCAGGAUAUCUGCAAGCUGAUCAUCGGUGCAAACAUAGUUGACUUCAAUCUUGCCUUUUUCUACGCACUGCCGUAUGUAGUGAUACCUUAUAUCUAUGUGCUUAGUCCUGUCAUGAUGCACUGGAUUCUUACACAGGGCAAUCGCAGACUUGUUGUCAACAUUGAGCACCACUCUUUCUGGUUCUUUAUCUGUGAGGUCACCGAGUAGCCUUUCUAGCCAUACACCUUGACCCGCUGCGGUUGCAGCUGCUAUAUACUCUGCUUCGCAGGACGAUAAUGCGACCACCUUCUGCUUUUGUGAUAGCCAAGUUACUAUGCUCCUGCCCAAGAAAUAUGCCAGACCCGAGGUACUUUUACGGUCAUCCACAUCUCCUGCCAGGUCGCUAUCACUGUAGCCAAGUAGCUCCACCAUCUCCUUCUUUUUCUCUCUCAAAUAGACACAACCGAAGUUUGUUGUCCCUUUGAUGUACCUGAGUAUAUGUUUGACAGCUGCCCAAUGUUCAGUUGUGGGUGCUUCCAUGAAGCGACUCACUAUGCCAACGGAAUAGGCCAAGUCCGGUCGUGUAUUCACAAGAUACCUUAGGCUUCCGACCACACUUCUAUAAUCCGUUGCAUCAACCGCAGGGGCUUCACUCCUUUUGCUAAGUUUAAGCCGAGGCUCCAUUGGAGCAUAAGUUGGUUUGCAAUCCUCCAUGCUACAACUUUCAAGUAUCUUCUUUGCAUAUGCCUCUUGACAUAUUGUGAUCCCGUUCGGCUUUUGUUGUACCUCGAUCCCGAGGCAGUAUGUCAAGAGCCCUAGAUCACUCAUCUUGAAUAGCUCCUUCAUUUGUAGCUUGAAUCUUGCAAUCUCCUCUUCGUCUGCUCCAGUUAUCAAGAGAUCAUCAACAUAGAUGCCCACUAAGAGACGAUCCUUGCCUUUACCUCGCUUGUACAUAGCAUGCUCGAGUGGACUUUUCUCAAAACCAAGAGAAAUCAAUGUACGGUCAAGCUUGAUGUUCCAUGCCCGAGGAGCUUGAUGUAGCCCGUACAAUGCCUUGUGUAGCUUCAACACCUUGUGUUCUUCUCCUUCUUUGAUGUACCCCGGUGGUUGCUUCACGUAUACUUCUUCUUCCAAUUCCCCGUUCAAAAAAGCGGAUUUUACAUCCAUGUGAUGUAGCCUCCAAGAUUCUUGAGCCGCGAGAGCUAUAACUAGCCUCACCGAUUCCAUCCUUGUGACUGGAGCGAACACUUCCUCGAAGUCCACACCUUGCUCUUGCACGAAUCCUUUAGCUACGAGCCGAGCUUUAUGCUUGACCAAGUUUCCUUCAGCAUCCUUCUUGACUUUGUACACCCACUUGAGCCCUAUGGAUUUGUGACCGUUGGGAAGAUCAGCGAGCUCCCAUACUUUGUUGUCUCGUAUUGAUCCCAACUCUUCAUCCAUAGCACGACGCCAACACUCCUCAGUAUUUGCUUCUUCAAAUUUCGUCGGUUCCUCGACGCUAAGCAAACAUUGUCGUCCUCUUCUUAUAACUUUGACAGGAUUAAUAGUACGAAGUGCUUCCUCCGGAUAUAAAUCCACCACUGGUCGAAGACGAACUGGUGUCGGCGGACGUUCCCUUGUCUCCUGUUCUGUCGAAGACGAGGAAUUUUCAUCUUGUGGAGUUGCCAAACUCCUGUUUUCUGGCGAUCCAGGUUCUCUUCCAGGCGCAGCUCCCAGGCUGCUCCCUUGUGGUACGCAGUCACUUGGUCGAGCGCUUCGAGCAUUGCUUGGUGUGUUUCACGAGCCAUCGCAUGCCUCGUCUGCCGCGUCCUGCUGCGUGCCUUCGCGCGCCUCUAUCCCUGCUUUAUCUGGCGCGUUCGGCUGCGCUCCAUUGUCCAGAGAAUCACUCGGCGUCGUUGUAGUCUCCGGUUGAUUAUCGGCAUGCUCGUAUUCGUUGUAAACAACGUGAAAGAUUUCAUCAGAGAUCGGGUAUACCGGCUCGGUAGAGUUCCAAUUCCAUGAUCUUGCUUCUUCAAAGACCACGUCACGAGUCACAACCACCUUAUUGGUAGAGGGGUUGCACGCACGGUACGCCUUCGAGCCUGCUUCAUAGCCAACCAAUAUCAUUGGAGUACUCCGAUCCGCCAACUUACUUGUAUGCCCGGCCACCGUCUUCACAUGCGCCACACACCCGAAAGUACGAAGAUGAUCAACCGCGGGCUUAUGUCCGUACCAUGCUUCGUACGGCGUCAUCCCAACCACACUCUUGGUUGGAGCCCGGUUCAGCAAAUAAACGGCCGUAUUGACCGCCUCACCCCAAAACUUGCCCGGGACCCCUUUGCUCUUCAUCAUGCUUCGUGCCAUCGCCACCACGGUUUGAUUCCUCCGUUCCACAACACCGUUUUGCUGCGGUGAAUAUGGCGCCGUAAGAUACCGCUUGAUCCCAUGUGCUUCGCAAAAUUCUGUGAAUUCACGAGACUUGAACUCACCCCCCCGACCGGUACGGAGGGCCUUCAGCUUGGCUUCGGAUUCUACCUCGGCCGCCAUCUUUACUUUCCUGAAGGCUUGCAAAGCUUGGUCCUUCGUCUUCAACAACACAAUCCACAUGUAUCUGCUGAAGUCGUCGACGAUGAGUAAGAAGUAUUUGUUUCCAGCUGGGGUAGCCGGUGUAAUGGGUCCGCACAAGUCUCCAUGGACCAACUCAAGAGCUUUACUUGCUCUAAAGUUUCCCUCUCUCGGGAACGAGGCCCGCCUUUGUUUCCCAACAAGGCAACCGUCGCACACUUGCUCAACAUGAUCAAUGCACGGUAGGCCACGUACCAUCUCCUUUUGUCCAAGUUGCCGAAGAGCCUGGAAAUUUAGAUGACCGUAGCGCGCGUGCCACUUCCAUGCCGAGUCCUCCAUGCUUGACAAGAGACAUACUGGAUCCACACGAUCCAAGUUGAGGACGUAGAGUCUGUUUGGCGACCUCUGCACCUUCAUGAUCAGCAUCCUCUGACGGUCAUACCCCCAUAGAUAGCCAUCUUCGAGCACAAUCUUGCAACCACGCUCCUCGAGCUGGCCAAGACUUAUGAUGUUGCUCUUUAGCUUGGGAAUAUAGUACACAUCUGUGAGUACCUUGUGACCGCCAUUCUUCAGCUCAAACAGGACAGUACCUCGCCCUGUGAUGUCAACGGUCCGCCCGUCACCGAACCAAACCGUGCCUCCAACCGAGAGAUUUAGCUCAGAAAACUGGUCCUUGUCACCGGUCAUGUGGUUGCUUGCUCCCGUGUCGAGGUACCACACGUGCCCCGCCGUGUUCACCCUCUUCUUGUCAUGAAGGUAAACCUUCUCUUCGUCGAGCGUGACAACCUCGGUAGCCGGUGCCUUCGGAGUUGGACCAUCCUCGUCCAUAAGCUCGCAUACUUCGACCAUGAGCAUCAUAUCGCUAUCAUCGCCUCCCUUGGCCAUGAGAGCUUUUUCCUUCGGUGGACUCUUGCAAUCAGACUUGAAGUGACCGAGGAUUCCACAAUUGUGACACCUUACUUUUUUAUGUCAAAUUUUCUCCUUGGUUUUCUAGCCUUUUCUUCCUGUCCAGCGAGGUCCUUUUUCGCCGGGCUUUGCUUCUCCUUUGCUUUACUACCGCUUGUGGAUCCACCUUGCUUUCCUUUCGACAGGGCCAUCCAUUGCGCCAUUGUAAGCAUGAGAUGCUCACUCUCCUUCGAAUCGCCGAAGCUGAGACGAAUUCUCUCGUCGUGGGCCUUGAACCUUCCGACGAGAUCCUCGACCGUGAGAGUGUUCAGGUCAAGACAUUGCUCGAUCGAUGUGACGAUUUGGAUGUAGCGUGUCGGCGCGGCGCGCAAAAAUCGUCGGACGAUCGCAACUUCUUCUAGAGUUGAACCAUAGCCGCGUAUGCCGUUGACGAGGGUCUUGAGACGGGAGGCAAACUGAUCAACCGUCUCGCUUUCCUCCAUCUUCAGGCACUCGUAGCUUCUCAUGAGGGACUGAAGGUGUGCUUCCUUGACACGGUCAUGACCCUGGUGCAGGAUCUUGAUGGUCUCCCAUGCCUCCUUCGCCGUUUUCUUUCCGACGAGGUGUUGCAGCACAUCCUUCGGCAUGGCGGAGUAGAUCGCCGUUAACGCCUGACGAUCCAUCCGGUACUUUGCCGCGCCCUUCGCGUACUCGGCGCCGCCGGGAUCGACAGCUUCCCAGAAUUCCGCUCCCUCCAUCGCGACCUCCAUGUUCAUCGCCCAUAGUGCGUAGUCUUCUCGAUCCAGCCGGGGGAAUUGCGACCCCCCAACCAUCGGCAUCGGUGCUCUAGCUCCCGCCACAACGAUCUCCUUGCCCGGGUUUGACAUGAUCCUUCGAUUGCUUUCCGAAGAUCACGUCAAUAAACCAAGCUCUAGAUACCAAUUGUUGGCCCAGAACCGACGCCGAGUACUUUCCGGCGACGGCAGCGACCGACGACGAACGACGACGAAGCGAAGCGAUCGAUCACCCGCAGUGUACAGCUAUCCAAACUAGCAAUCCAUCCUUUGACCUGUGUACGUUGCCUGAUGGAUGUGGUACACACGUACGAAACAGCUGCUAGCUAGUUACGAGCGGCUUAAUCAACUUCGCCGAGAGCAACACACGACACGGGAUUUUGAUGGCUAUAGGUGCGUGUCGCACCUAUGAUUAUAUUGCUUUGUCUUCUGAUCUGGUUACAAGGGGUAGUCUACACGAGUAUAUAAAGAACUAAAGCUAGCCUAAUACACGUCGAGUCGGUUUAAUUGUUCCGGUCCAACCCGGACACGGACAGCGUGGUUAUUUCCAACAGGGGCGGCGCGUCAUUGAACCUUGGCAAGCUGCUCAUUUCCUGCACCAACACUAUCACCGCCAAGGCUACGUUCGGCCAGGUGUGCGACGAGGAGCUCCAGGAUCGGUUCAUGGCCGUGACCGGCCUGGCGAUCAAGGCCUCCGGCGGAUCCAGCGUCGGGGACCUGGUCCCGUCGCUGUGGUUCGUCGACGCCCUCACUGGGCUGAGAGGCCGUCUGUGGCGUGCGCGCCGGCAGCUGGAUGCCAUCCUGGACAAGAUCAUCGCUGAUGAACGCAGGGAGGGGCGGCGAGGUGACCACCUUCUCGGAGUUCUGCUUAGGAUCAAGGAUGAGGGGAACCUUGAAUUCCCCAUCGACAUGACAAACAUCAAGGCCAUCAUAUUGGUACGUGUCAAGCUUCAUGCACUAGCUAACGUAAUAAAAGUCUAAAUAGAUUGAAAAUGCUAGACAAUCCAUGAUAUACACUCCAACAAUAUGAUACUAAAUAGAUCUAAUUUCUUUUAUCCGAGAGUAACUUAAUUUUCAUUUUUGUUCAUGCCCCAUUCAGGAUAUGUUCACGGCAGGGACGGAGACGACGUCGGCAGUGGCCGAGUGGGUCAUGGCCGAACUCAUUAGGAACCCAAAGGUGAUGGCCAAGGCGCAGGCUGAAGUGCGUCGUACCUUGGACACCAAGAACCCAAUAGACCAUGAAGAAUACAUAGAUGAUCUGCACUACACCAAAAUGGUGAUCAAGGAGACCAUGAGGUUAAACCCUGUGGUGCCGUUGCUUGUCCCUCAUCUCUGUCAGGAAACCUGCGAUGUUGGCGGAUUUGAGGUCAAGGAGGGCACCAGGGUCUUGGUCAAUGCAUGGGCAANAACCGUGCCUCCAACCGAGAGAUUUAGCUCAGAAAACUGGUCCUUGUCACCGGUCAUGUGGUUGCUUGCUCCCGUGUCGAGGUACCACACGUGCCCCGCCGUGUUCACCCUCUUCUUGUCAUGAAGGUAAACCUUCUCUUCGUCGAGCGUGACAACCUCGGUAGCCGGUGCCUUCGGAGUUGGACCAUCCUCGUCCAUAAGCUCGCAUACUUCGACCAUGAGCAUCAUAUCGCUAUCAUCGCCUCCCUUGGCCAUGAGAGCUUUUUCCUUCGGUGGACUCUUGCAAUCAGACUUGAAGUGACCGAGGAUUCCACAAUUGUGACACCUUACUUUUUUAUGUCAAAUUUUCUCCUUGGUUUUCUAGCCUUUUCUUCCUGUCCAGCGAGGUCCUUUUUCGCCGGGCUUUGCUUCUCCUUUGCUUUACUACCGCUUGUGGAUCCACCUUGCUUUCCUUUCGACAGGGCCAUCCAUUGCGCCAUUGUAAGCAUGAGAUGCUCACUCUCCUUCGAAUCGCCGAAGCUGAGACGAAUUCUCUCGUCGUGGGCCUUGAACCUUCCGACGAGAUCCUCGACCGUGAGAGUGUUCAGGUCAAGACAUUGCUCGAUCGAUGUGACGAUUUGGAUGUAGCGUGUCGGCGCGGCGCGCAAAAAUCGUCGGACGAUCGCAACUUCUUCUAGAGUUGAACCAUAGCCGCGUAUGCCGUUGACGAGGGUCUUGAGACGGGAGGCAAACUGAUCAACCGUCUCGCUUUCCUCCAUCUUCAGGCACUCGUAGCUUCUCAUGAGGGACUGAAGGUGUGCUUCCUUGACACGGUCAUGACCCUGGUGCAGGAUCUUGAUGGUCUCCCAUGCCUCCUUCGCCGUUUUCUUUCCGACGAGGUGUUGCAGCACAUCCUUCGGCAUGGCGGAGUAGAUCGCCGUUAACGCCUGACGAUCCAUCCGGUACUUUGCCGCGCCCUUCGCGUACUCGGCGCCGCCGGGAUCGACAGCUUCCCAGAAUUCCGCUCCCUCCAUCGCGACCUCCAUGUUCAUCGCCCAUAGUGCGUAGUCUUCUCGAUCCAGCCGGGGGAAUUGCGACCCCCCAACCAUCGGCAUCGGUGCUCUAGCUCCCGCCACAACGAUCUCCUUGCCCGGGUUUGACAUGAUCCUUCGAUUGCUUUCCGAAGAUCACGUCAAUAAACCAAGCUCUAGAUACCAAUUGUUGGCCCAGAACCGACGCCGAGUACUUUCCGGCGACGGCAGCGACCGACGACGAACGACGACGAAGCGAAGCGAUCGAUCACCCGCAGUGUACAGCUAUCCAAACUAGCAAUCCAUCCUUUGACCUGUGUACGUUGCCUGAUGGAUGUGGUACACACGUACGAAACAGCUGCUAGCUAGUUACGAGCGGCUUAAUCAACUUCGCCGAGAGCAACACACGACACGGGAUUUUGAUGGCUAUAGGUGCGUGUCGCACCUAUGAUUAUAUUGCUUUGUCUUCUGAUCUGGUUACAAGGGGUAGUCUACACGAGUAUAUAAAGAACUNCACCCUUUCUAACCUAUGCGAUGUGUGCCUAGUCUACUUCUGCUGCCUCACGGUGUCCGCCAUUGAUACACAUGGGCGAUGGUGCUCAGGUCUUCGAAUUCACUAUUGAAUUCUUUCCGUCUAAAGUGAAGCUAGUUGAUGGUAGUGUGCGAGACACACAGAGAGAUACAAUUGUGAAAUGAGAGGUUGAAUUUGCAGAAAUUGACCCAUAGCAAAUACAGAGAUGGAAGAGAGGGGCCUGAGGAAGUUUGAGGAGAAAGUUGGGGAGAGCAUUUUUUGGGUCCAGGGUAAGAGGUAUAAUUGUUACUGUUUGAUAAUUGAAAGGGUAAGUAUGUGAGAAUUGAGAAUGGUGAAGAGAUGGUUGAUGAAAUCGAUCGGCAAGACUGCUGGGUAAGCAAAAAAGACUACCAUUCAUGCAUAGCUCGUUGAUGCGAAAUCGAUCGGCAAGACUACUAGGCAAGUUCGAUUCAUAGAUGAUAUAUGAUGAUUGGAAUUCGUAGAAACAGAUAACGUCCAUGUGUACGGGGAAGUGACGGUAAUAGAGGGGGCUGAUCAACAUGCACAAGAGGGCUAUCAUGGUGCUGUAAGGGUUAUUUUUGCUGAUUGGAAUACAGUACAAUUAGAAGACAUUACUGAUUUGGCCAUUGCAUCAAUGGCUGACACUAAGAUGGCCAAUUUUUUGGCAUUCCAGUAGAUGAUCAAGAUAAGGAAGAGAGGGGUCAAUCGAGUUUGCCUAAUGAUGCUAACGUAGAUGCUUGUAGCCCCGACUAACUCUGUGCCCAACAACUACGGUAAGACGGGAGGGGGGGGGUGUUCUUCGGAAUGACUACGCGUAAAGGCAUUUAUGCGGUGAAUCAGGUUGAAAGUGAAAGUUGCCAAAAAGUGGCAGAAUUUAAAGUGCUAGUUAUUGAUGAAAGCACAUAUGCUCCCUUGAUGGUUUUUAUAAUUCAUGGUAACAUACAUUGUCUGUUCGACUAAUACUUUUACCUAGUACAUUUCAGAUAUAGUCCACAGAGAUAACUGACUAAUGGAUUGUGUGGAGAAGCCCCAAGGAAGGAAAGGAAUAAGAUUGGCCAGCUUCAAGCUACAAGACUCUACAUUUUAUAUUUGUGAGAAAUCACUUUUAGGUCCAUAGGAAAGCCAAUACUAUUAAAAGAGGUGAGGUAUCUAUGAUGAAUUGGUUGCUGAAGUGCUUAGAGACACCCAACAAAAAUACUCAGCCAUUCUCCCACAAAAUUCAAUGUCCAAAAGCCUAAACAUCAAAAUCGGUGCGUGAUACGUUAAGUUUUGAUUGUUGCAUGUUAUUAUAUUAUCUAUUUUGGAUGUUUUAUAUGCAUUUGUAUGCCGUUUUAUAUUAUUUUUGUGACUAACCUAUUAAACUAGAGCCUAGUGCCAGUUUCUGUUUUUUCUACCUUUUUGAGCAUUGCAAAUAAGGAAUAUUGAGCGGGGUCCAAACGGAAUAAAAUAUCCUGAAAGAUUUUUCUUGGACUAGAAGACACGCAACAGACUUGGAGUAGGGGGCAAGCCAAUUGCCGGGAGGCCACAAGCCUGCAGGGCGAGCCCUGGGGGGAUGGCCGCGCCCCCUGGCUUAUGGGCCCCCCUGGAGGUCUCCUAACUCUAUUCUUCGGCCUAUAAAUUUCCAAAUAUGUAGUACUUGAUGAGUUAUGCAUGCCCGCUUAUACAACCAGCUUUCAGUGGAUCCUGCUAAUCAUAGAUCCCGACGAGGCAAAAGUUGAAGUACUGGACUCACUGGAAAAAAGAUCGUAAAGAGUAAAUGACCUGAAGUUGAUAUCCGAGAGGUAAUUUCAAUCAUUAUCGCACUAUGUCGGCCUCUUUAGUUCAUUUCCUGAUAUCAAGUAAUCAAUGACUCCUUUAUUCUUUUUCUUUGCCGGGUAGACUUUAGACACGGUUCAUCCAGAAGGUUCGUGGUGAAUGGAAACCAAAGCUGAUAGGGGUACGACCUAAGGUAAUUAAGUAGUACUAGCUACGUCCGCGCAUCUACUUAGUUCUAAUUUUAAUAUCAUUAUAAUGCUUGAUUAUUAUCUGAGUGCAUUCUAUUCUCGUAAUCUGGUGCAUGCGGCAGGAACAAGAGACUAAUCUAUGUGCAUAUUAUGUUUGCGACAACAUUCGCUUUAUGACCGAACGGCGCCCAGAUGCAAGAACUCUUUGGGUACGUAAACAUGGUCUAAUAUAUAUACACACAAAUAAUAUAUUCAUAUUGGUCUCCUUUUUGAAAGAUGAAGGGGAUACGGGAUAGGCUCCUACCAAAGGAACGCAUAUGAGCACUUUAAGUGAAAAUUGUGGGAUUUUUGCUUGAGAAGGUCAUAGAUCCCGACGUAGAAUACCACUACACCAAUUAAUGCAUGCAUGUAAUGAUCUGCAAGUUGUAGGAGAAAUUGUAUGCUAUAUAGGACGACCAUUUGGGGCACCUAGGUGUCCAGGCUCCUUGACUUUUCACCGUUCGAUUGCAUUACGGGUCAACCAUCAUAAAUUACAGAUUUGGAAAUAAUCACGUCAUGCAUGGUAACUUUUUUGUGGGAUGACAUGCAUGCUACCUUCCUUAUUAAGAGACGUUUGUAAUAAGAAUUGGAGAGAAAACUAGUAAUUAAGGCCUUAUUAUUGUGUCUUGAACGUCCAUGACGUUGCGUAUAUGUACAUUUUUUUCAUAUGUGUGCAUACACAUUGGGUUGAUACAUACGAUUUUUUAUUAAUUAUUUCAAAUUAAGUUAGUAUUUUCUUUUUCAACCAUUUUAUGACUUUGGGUAUCAUAUACCUGUGGAUGCCAUAUUUCACGUAGACAAAUAUAUGUAGCCAUACUUUACUUUAUAUACGUUGAUGAGAUACCUACAAUAUUUUCGUAUCUUUUUUGACCUAGUCGGGUACAUACGUGUGUAUAUUAGGUAUAUUAGGUAUAAUACCUACAAAUUGGUAUCACGGUCUAAGAAAAUGUACACGUGAUAUCUCGGGUACAUACAUAAAAGAUGUGAGAUUUAUAGGUAUAUAUACAAAUAUAAUUCACAUCAAGUUAUUUAUAUAUAUAUGUAUGUUUUUAUUAGGUAUAUCAUCAACAUGUACAUAUUCAUUUGUAUAAUCACAUCGAGGCAUGUAUAUAUUCAUGUGUAUAUUCACAUCAAAGUAUGCAUAUUUUCACUUGGUACAACAACAAUACAUAGAUAUUAAAAGUAUGACAUUUAUGUCUACAUUUUCGUUAGAUAUAACUUGGACAUGUCCAUAUUUCGUUAAGUAUAAUACCCACUAACUAGUAUCACUGUGUACGUGGAUAUACAUAUGUACAUAUCCUAGUAUGAAUGUUCAUACCAUGUUUGUUUCUGAAAGCAAUUAUUGACCAUUUAAUAUACUAGUAGUACAUGCAAAUAAAAUAUGAAAAGUCAUUAUUUUGUCAAUUGAAUGUCAUGCACUAAUGAAUAUGACUUGCCAUAACCAGCCUAGGUGCACAGGCUCCUAGGUGCCCCAUAUAUAUAGGUGUCACGUGUGGUGGUAUAUGGAACACGUGGGGUAACUACCCCUGGGUGGUAGGAUGUAUAUAUAUAUAUGGUUGUACGAGGAAAUUCUAUGAUAUAUGAUUGGUCCUACGAGAAAUUUUAUGAUAUAUGCAUAACGUGUAUUGUAUGUAGUAGCGUAAGAUAUAUUUGAAAUGAAAAAAAUUAAAUAGAAAACUGAAAAUGAAAAGAAAAAAUAAAUAAUAAACCCCAAAAUCUCAAAAUCCCAAAACCCCAAAUCCCCGAAGCCGUUAGUCCCGGUUGGUGUUACCAACCGGGACUAAAGGUCCCCGCCCCCCGAUGCGCGCUGCCAGCCAAGUGGAAAGGAAUUAAUCCCUGGUCGUGGCAAACCGGGACCAGGGGGGAGGGGCUUUAGUCGCAAGUUAUUAGCCCCGAUUGGUGAACCGUGACUAAAGGCCCUUACCAACCGGGAGUAAGAGCGUCUCCAUCCGCGCCCCCAACACGCCCCUCCUAGGUCGUUUUUUUUCGCCGGCGGGCCAAAAAGGCCCCAGUCGCGCCCCCAGAAACCUGUUUUCGUCGAUUAGAGCCAAAAUUAGCCUCGACGGUCUCAGGCCGAACUCAGCGCAUUGGGGACCCCCAGGAGCGCCGACACUAUUAUUUGCAUGCAACAGGCCCACUGUCAGCCUCCCACUCCCUCUCUUCCUCCUCCCUAUCUCUUGCAUGCAACAGGCCCACCCAUGUGCAUGCCUCGCCCACUUCAUCUCUUUUUCCUCUCAUCUCUCUUGACUUGUAGUGUUGGGUGGGGGCAUAGCUGGAAAACUUUUCCUCCCCAUGCCAAAAAUUUCGCCGGUAUAACCCCAACCGGGUGAAAAAGUGCCUCCUGGGAGGCCAACCAGCGGAGAUGCUCUAAAGCCCCGUUUUCUACUAAGGAUGUAGCCAUAUGAAUGAACUCCGUUAACAAAUUUCGGUGUGUACUCGUGUGAUUGCUUGGUCUUUGAAUGAUCAAUGAAAUGCGUCGAAUUAUUUUAACGACGACUGUACGAUGGAGAACUCGUGGUCAAGGCACAUGCCCAAGACUGCUUGAGCCCAUUUAUGCUUGCUCUUAACGNUAAUAUAUUCAUAUUGGUCUCCUUUUUGAAAGAUGAAGGGGAUACGGGAUAGGCUCCUACCAAAGGAACGCAUAUGAGCACUUUAAGUGAAAAUUGUGGGAUUUUUGCUUGAGAAGGUCAUAGAUCCCGACGUAGAAUACCACUACACCAAUUAAUGCAUGCAUGUAAUGAUCUGCAAGUUGUAGGAGAAAUUGUAUGCUAUAUAGGACGACCAUUUGGGGCACCUAGGUGUCCAGGCUCCUUGACUUUUCACCGUUCGAUUGCAUUACGGGUCAACCAUCAUAAAUUACAGAUUUGGAAAUAAUCACGUCAUGCAUGGUAACUUUUUUGUGGGAUGACAUGCAUGCUACCUUCCUUAUUAAGAGACGUUUGUAAUAAGAAUUGGAGAGAAAACUAGUAAUUAAGGCCUUAUUAUUGUGUCUUGAACGUCCAUGACGUUGCGUAUAUGUACAUUUUUUUCAUAUGUGUGCAUACACAUUGGGUUGAUACAUACGAUUUUUUAUUAAUUAUUUCAAAUUAAGUUAGUAUUUUCUUUUUCAACCAUUUUAUGACUUUGGGUAUCAUAUACCUGUGGAUGCCAUAUUUCACGUAGACAAAUAUAUGUAGCCAUACUUUACUUUAUAUACGUUGAUGAGAUACCUACAAUAUUUUCGUAUCUUUUUUGACCUAGUCGGGUACAUACGUGUGUAUAUUAGGUAUAUUAGGUAUAAUACCUACAAAUUGGUAUCACGGUCUAAGAAAAUGUACACGUGAUAUCUCGGGUACAUACAUAAAAGAUGUGAGAUUUAUAGGUAUAUAUACAAAUAUAAUUCACAUCAAGUUAUUUACCCCCCCCCCCCCCCCCCCAUAUAUAUGUAUGUUUUUAUUAGGUAUAUCAUCAACAUGUACAUAUUCAUUUGUAUAAUCACAUCGAGGCAUGUAUAUAUUCAUGUGUAUAUUCACAUCAAAGUAUGCAUAUUUUCACUUGGUACAACAACAAUACAUAGAUAUUAAAAGUAUGACAUUUAUGUCUACAUUUUCGUUAGAUAUAACUUGGACAUGUCCAUAUUUCGUUAAGUAUAAUACCCACUAACUAGUAUCACUGUGUACGUGGAUAUACAUAUGUACAUAUCCUAGUAUGAAUGUUCAUACCAUGUUUGUUUCUGAAAGCAAUUAUUGACCAUUUAAUAUACUAGUAGUACAUGCAAAUAAAAUAUGAAAAGUCAUUAUUUUGUCAAUUGAAUGUCAUGCACUAAUGAAUAUGACUUGCCAUAACCAGCCUAGGUGCACAGGCUCCUAGGUGCCCCAUAUAUAUAGGUGUCACGUGUGGUGGUAUAUGGAACACGUGGGGUAACUACCCCUGGGUGGUAGGAUGUAUAUAUAUAUAUGGUUGUACGAGGAAAUUCUAUGAUAUAUGAUUGGUCCUACGAGAAAUUUUAUGAUAUAUGCAUAACGUGUAUUGUAUGUAGUAGCGUAAGAUAUAUUUGAAAUGAAAAAAAUUAAAUAGAAAACUGAAAAUGAAAAGAAAAAAUAAAUAAUAAACCCCAAAAUCUCAAAAUCCCAAAACCCCAAAUCCCCGAAGCCGUUAGUCCCGGUUGGUGUUACCAACCGGGACUAAAGGUCCCCGCCCCCCGAUGCGCGCUGCCAGCCAAGUGGAAAGGAAUUAAUCCCUGGUCGUGGCAAACCGGGACCAGGGGGGAGGGGCUUUAGUCGCAAGUUAUUAGCCCCGAUUGGUGAACCGUGACUAAAGGCCCUUACCAACCGGGAGUAAGAGCGUCUCCAUCCGCGCCCCCAACACGCCCCUCCUAGGUCGUUUUUUUUCGCCGGCGGGCCAAAAAGGCCCCAGUCGCGCCCCCAGAAACCUGUUUUCGUCGAUUAGAGCCAAAAUUAGCCUCGACGGUCUCAGGCCGAACUCAGCGCAUUGGGGACCCCCAGGAGCGCCGACACUAUUAUUUGCAUGCAACAGGCCCACUGUCAGCCUCCCACUCCCUCUCUUCCUCCUCCCUAUCUCUUGCAUGCAACAGGCCCACCCAUGUGCAUGCCUCGCCCACUUCAUCUCUUUUUCCUCUCAUCUCUCUUGACUUGUAGUGUUGGGUGGGGGCAUAGCUGGAAAACUUUUCCUCCCCAUGCCAAAAAUUUCGCCGGUAUAACCCCAACCGGGUGAAAAAGUGCCUCCUGGGAGGCCAACCAGCGGAGAUGCUCUAAAGCCCCGUUUUCUACUAAGGAUGUAGCCAUAUGAAUGAACUCCGUUAACAAAUUUCGGUGUGUACUCGUGUGAUUGCUUGGUCUUUGAAUGAUCAAUGAAAUGCGUCGAAUUAUUUUAACGACGACUGUACGAUGGAGAACUCGUGGUCAAGGCACAUGCCCAAGACUGCUUGAGCCCAUUUAUGCUUGCUCUUAACGUGCAUGAUCGAGCCCUGCUAUCCUGGCAUAAUCAAACUUGUGGGAGUAACAUUAGAAAAUUAUAUAUUACAAAUUUUUCAUAUAUCAAUGGUACGUCUAUGUUCCAUGGAUCAAUAGAAUAUCCGUUCAAUGAAAGAAGAUGUUUCUGUCGAAAGCAAAACGUCAUUGGUACUUCUUCAAUCUUAAGAACCAUUAGCUCAUUCUUUUGGGUGUGUUCAUAAGAGUAUGAUGUGCUUGAAUGUGUUUAUGCGAAUGAGUGUGCAUACGUAUUGCAGAGCUCAAGGUCACUGCCGCCAGUAUCAUAUUGUUAACUAAUCAGCCGCAUCAUUUUCACCUCUGAUGGUAAAAACACGAGGGGCGCACAGUCAAGGCACAUGUUCAUGACAAAGUAUGCUUAAGUGUAUUUAUUUCUUCAAUUUUGUAACUAACUUAUGGACGUCUUACUGAUGAACCAUAUUGGAAAGGAAAAUGAAGUGCAGGGGUCAUGAUGAUCAGGCAAUGUCCGAGGUGUCAUUUUGUAUGAUUUGUCCAUGAAAAAGAAAAGAAAACAGAUAGAUACAUCAUACGUCUACAAGGUGGCCGAUUGGUGUACUUAACGGGAGCGCCUGUGACUUGUGAGGCACAUCACCACAGUACCUUGCCCCCCCCCCCCCCCGUCAAGGUCUCAAGGAACAUGUCCAUGACUAAGUAUGGUCAAGUGUACUCUAUUAAUUUAUGUAUUCAAUUGUACAACUUAUGGAGCUUUGACUGGAAAACUGGAAAACUGAUGUGCAGGCUGAUCUACAAGCAAUGUUCGAGUUGUCAAAUUUUAUGCCACACUAAGGAUGUGGCGCCUAUAUAUAUAGAAAAGGUGUUCGUGAGUCUUAUCCCACACUAAAAGGCAUUUCUAUUUGUGCUGCAAGCAAACCUGAUGGUGAUGAUGAUGGAGCAAAGCGCAGCCACCCUCAUGCUCCUCACUCUCGCCUCACUCGUCGUCCUUGCAUCGGUACUGAGCCGCAAACCGAAAAACCAUAGGCGGCCUCCAGGCCCAUGGCGCCUCCCCUUGAUCGGAAGCCUCCACCACGUCCUCACGUCGCAGCCGCAGGUCGCCCUCCGGGACCUGGCCAAGAAGCACGGCCCGGUCAUGUACCUCCGGUUCGGCCAGAUGGACACCGUCGUCGUCUCCUCGCCGGCCGCGGCGCAGGAGGUGCUCCGGGACAAGGACCUCUCAUUCGCGUCGCGGCCCAACAUCCUGGUCUCAGAGAUCUUCUGCUACGGGGGCCGCAACGUCAUCCUCGCGCCCUACGGCCCCUACUGGCGGAUGACGCGUAAGCUCUGCACGGUUGAGCUCCUGAGCGAACGCAAGGUGCGGCAGUUCGCGCCCUUCAGAGACAGCGAGACCAUGUCCCUUGUCGAGAACAUCCGCGCCGCCGGUCGGGGCUGUUGGCCCAGAACCGACCCCGAGUACUUUCUGGCGACGGCAGCGACCGACGACGAAGCGAAGCGAUCGAUCACCCGCAGUGUACAGCUAUCCAAACUAGCAAUCCAUCCUUUGACCUGUGUACGUUGCCUGAUGGAUGUGGUACACACGUACGAAACAGCUGCUAGCUAGUUACGAGCGGCUUAAUCAACUUCGCCGAGAGCAACACACGACACGGGAUUUUGAUGGCUAUAGGUGCGACACGCACCUAUGAUUAUAUUGCUUUGUCUUCUGAUCUGGUUACAAGGGGUAGCCUACACGAGUAUAUAAAGAACUAAAGCUAGCCUAAUACACGUCGAGUCGGUUUGAUUGUUCCGGUCCAACCCGGACACGGACAGCGUGGUUAUUUUCAACAAUCACCCCCCCAAACACGAUGUCCUCACUUCACAGCUUGGACGCCGAUCCUUCUCCGCAUCUCUGUAAACUUCUGUCGUCCCAAAGACUUGAUCAGGAUAUCUGCAAGCUGAUCAUCGGUGCAAACAUAGUUGACUUCAAUCUUGCCUUUUUCUACGCACUGCCGUAUGUAGUGAUACCUUAUAUCUAUGUGCUUAGUCCUGUCAUGAUGCACUGGAUUCUUACACAGGGCAAUCGCAGACUUGUUGUCAACAUUGAGCACCACUCUUUCUGGUUCUUUAUCUGUGAGGUCACCGAGUAGCCUUUCUAGCCAUACACCUUGACCCGCUGCGGUUGCAGCUGCUAUAUACUCUGCUUCGCAGGACGAUAAUGCGACCACCUUCUGCUUUUGUGAUAGCCAAGUUACUAUGCUCCUGCCCAAGAAAUAUGCCAGACCCGAGGUACUUUUACGGUCAUCCACAUCUCCUGCCAGGUCGCUAUCACUGUAGCCAAGUAGCUCCACCAUCUCCUUCUUUUUCUCUCUCAAAUAGACACAACCGAAGUUUGUUGUCCCUUUGAUGUACCUGAGUAUAUGUUUGACAGCUGCCCAAUGUUCAGUUGUGGGUGCUUCCAUGAAGCGACUCACUAUGCCAACGGAAUAGGCCAAGUCCGGUCGUGUAUUCACAAGAUACCUUAGGCUUCCGACCACACUUCUAUAAUCCGUUGCAUCAACCGCAGGGGCUUCACUCCUUUUGCUAAGUUUAAGCCGAGGCUCCAUUGGAGCAUAAGUUGGUUUGCAAUCCUCCAUGCUACAACUUUCAAGUAUCUUCUUUGCAUAUGCCUCUUGACAUAUUGUGAUCCCGUUCGGCUUUUGUUGUACCUCGAUCCCGAGGCAGUAUGUCAAGAGCCCUAGAUCACUCAUCUUGAAUAGCUCCUUCAUUUGUAGCUUGAAUCUUGCAAUCUCCUCUUCGUCUGCUCCAGUUAUCAAGAGAUCAUCAACAUAGAUGCCCACUAAGAGACGAUCCUUGCCUUUACCUCGCUUGUACAUAGCAUGCUCGAGUGGACUUUUCUCAAAACCAAGAGAAAUCAAUGUACGGUCAAGCUUGAUGUUCCAUGCCCGAGGAGCUUGAUGUAGCCCGUACAAUGCCUUGUGUAGCUUCAACACCUUGUGUUCUUCUCCUUCUUUGAUGUACCCCGGUGGUUGCUUCACGUAUACUUCUUCUUCCAAUUCCCCGUUCAAAAAAGCGGAUUUUACAUCCAUGUGAUGUAGCCUCCAAGAUUCUUGAGCCGCGAGAGCUAUAACUAGCCUCACCGAUUCCAUCCUUGUGACUGGAGCGAACACUUCCUCGAAGUCCACACCUUGCUCUUGCACGAAUCCUUUAGCUACGAGCCGAGCUUUAUGCUUGACCAAGUUUCCUUCAGCAUCCUUCUUGACUUUGUACACCCACUUGAGCCCUAUGGAUUUGUGACCGUUGGGAAGAUCAGCGAGCUCCCAUACUUUGUUGUCUCGUAUUGAUCCCAACUCUUCAUCCAUAGCACGACGCCAACACUCCUCAGUAUUUGCUUCUUCAAAUUUCGUCGGUUCCUCGACGCUAAGCAAACAUUGUCGUCCUCUUCUUAUAACUUUGACAGGAUUAAUAGUACGAAGUGCUUCCUCCGGAUAUAAAUCCACCACUGGUCGAAGACGAACUGGUGUCGGCGGACGUUCCCUUGUCUCCUGUUCUGUCGAAGACGAGGAAUUUUCAUCUUGUGGAGUUGCCAAACUCCUGUUUUCUGGCGAUCCAGGUUCUCUUCCAGGCGCAGCUCCCAGGCUGCUCCCUUGUGGUACGCAGUCACUUGGUCGAGCGCUUCGAGCAUUGCUUGGUGUGUUUCACGAGCCAUCGCAUGCCUCGUCUGCCGCGUCCUGCUGCGUGCCUUCGCGCGCCUCUAUCCCUGCUUUAUCUGGCGCGUUCGGCUGCGCUCCAUUGUCCAGAGAAUCACUCGGCGUCGUUGUAGUCUCCGGUUGAUUAUCGGCAUGCUCGUAUUCGUUGUAAACAACGUGAAAGAUUUCAUCAGAGAUCGGGUAUACCGGCUCGGUAGAGUUCCAAUUCCAUGAUCUUGCUUCUUCAAAGACCACGUCACGAGUCACAACCACCUUAUUGGUAGAGGGGUUGCACGCACGGUACGCCUUCGAGCCUGCUUCAUAGCCAACCAAUAUCAUUGGAGUACUCCGAUCCGCCAACUUACUUGUAUGCCCGGCCACCGUCUUCACAUGCGCCACACACCCGAAAGUACGAAGAUGAUCAACCGCGGGCUUAUGUCCGUACCAUGCUUCGUACGGCGUCAUCCCAACCACACUCUUGGUUGGAGCCCGGUUCAGCAAAUAAACGGCCGUAUUGACCGCCUCACCCCAAAACUUGCCCGGGACCCCUUUGCUCUUCAUCAUGCUUCGUGCCAUCGCCACCACGGUUUGAUUCCUCCGUUCCACAACACCGUUUUGCUGCGGUGAAUAUGGCGCCGUAAGAUACCGCUUGAUCCCAUGUGCUUCGCAAAAUUCUGUGAAUUCACGAGACUUGAACUCACCCCCCCGACCGGUACGGAGGGCCUUCAGCUUGGCUUCGGAUUCUACCUCGGCCGCCAUCUUUACUUUCCUGAAGGCUUGCAAAGCUUGGUCCUUCGUCUUCAACAACACAAUCCACAUGUAUCUGCUGAAGUCGUCGACGAUGAGUAAGAAGUAUUUGUUUCCAGCUGGGGUAGCCGGUGUAAUGGGUCCGCACAAGUCUCCAUGGACCAACUCAAGAGCUUUACUUGCUCUAAAGUUUCCCUCUCUCGGGAACGAGGCCCGCCUUUGUUUCCCAACAAGGCAACCGUCGCACACUUGCUCAACAUGAUCAAUGCACGGUAGGCCACGUACCAUCUCCUUUUGUCCAAGUUGCCGAAGAGCCUGGAAAUUUAGAUGACCGUAGCGCGCGUGCCACUUCCAUGCCGAGUCCUCCAUGCUUGACAAGAGACAUACUGGAUCCACACGAUCCAAGUUGAGGACGUAGAGUCUGUUUGGCGACCUCUGCACCUUCAUGAUCAGCAUCCUCUGACGGUCAUACCCCCAUAGAUAGCCAUCUUCGAGCACAAUCUUGCAACCACGCUCCUCGAGCUGGCCAAGACUUAUGAUGUUGCUCUUUAGCUUGGGAAUAUAGUACACAUCUGUGAGUACCUUGUGACCGCCAUUCUUCAGCUCAAACAGGACAGUACCUCGCCCUGUGAUGUCAACGGUCCGCCCGUCACCGAACCAAACCGUGCCUCCAACCGAGAGAUUUAGCUCAGAAAACUGGUCCUUGUCACCGGUCAUGUGGUUGCUUGCUCCCGUGUCGAGGUACCACACGUGCCCCGCCGUGUUCACCCUCUUCUUGUCAUGAAGGUAAACCUUCUCUUCGUCGAGCGUGACAACCUCGGUAGCCGGUGCCUUCGGAGUUGGACCAUCCUCGUCCAUAAGCUCGCAUACUUCGACCAUGAGCAUCAUAUCGCUAUCAUCGCCUCCCUUGGCCAUGAGAGCUUUUUCCUUCGGUGGACUCUUGCAAUCAGACUUGAAGUGACCGAGGAUUCCACAAUUGUGACACCUUACUUUUUUAUGUCAAAUUUUCUCCUUGGUUUUCUAGCCUUUUCUUCCUGUCCAGCGAGGUCCUUUUUCGCCGGGCUUUGCUUCUCCUUUGCUUUACUACCGCUUGUGGAUCCACCUUGCUUUCCUUUCGACAGGGCCAUCCAUUGCGCCAUUGUAAGCAUGAGAUGCUCACUCUCCUUCGAAUCGCCGAAGCUGAGACGAAUUCUCUCGUCGUGGGCCUUGAACCUUCCGACGAGAUCCUCGACCGUGAGAGUGUUCAGGUCAAGACAUUGCUCGAUCGAUGUGACGAUUUGGAUGUAGCGUGUCGGCGCGGCGCGCAAAAAUCGUCGGACGAUCGCAACUUCUUCUAGAGUUGAACCAUAGCCGCGUAUGCCGUUGACGAGGGUCUUGAGACGGGAGGCAAACUGAUCAACCGUCUCGCUUUCCUCCAUCUUCAGGCACUCGUAGCUUCUCAUGAGGGACUGAAGGUGUGCUUCCUUGACACGGUCAUGACCCUGGUGCAGGAUCUUGAUGGUCUCCCAUGCCUCCUUCGCCGUUUUCUUUCCGACGAGGUGUUGCAGCACAUCCUUCGGCAUGGCGGAGUAGAUCGCCGUUAACGCCUGACGAUCCAUCCGGUACUUUGCCGCGCCCUUCGCGUACUCGGCGCCGCCGGGAUCGACAGCUUCCCAGAAUUCCGCUCCCUCCAUCGCGACCUCCAUGUUCAUCGCCCAUAGUGCGUAGUCUUCUCGAUCCAGCCGGGGGAAUUGCGACCCCCCAACCAUCGGCAUCGGUGCUCUAGCUCCCGCCACAACGAUCUCCUUGCCCGGGUUUGACAUGAUCCUUCGAUUGCUUUCCGAAGAUCACGUCAAUAAACCAAGCUCUAGAUACCAAUUGUUGGCCCAGAACCGACGCCGAGUACUUUCCGGCGACGGCAGCGACCGACGACGAACGACGACGAAGCGAAGCGAUCGAUCACCCGCAGUGUACAGCUAUCCAAACUAGCAAUCCAUCCUUUGACCUGUGUACGUUGCCUGAUGGAUGUGGUACACACGUACGAAACAGCUGCUAGCUAGUUACGAGCGGCUUAAUCAACUUCGCCGAGAGCAACACACGACACGGGAUUUUGAUGGCUAUAGGUGCGUGUCGCACCUAUGAUUAUAUUGCUUUGUCUUCUGAUCUGGUUACAAGGGGUAGUCUACACGAGUAUAUAAAGAACUAAAGCUAGCCUAAUACACGUCGAGUCGGUUUAAUUGUUCCGGUCCAACCCGGACACGGACAGCGUGGUUAUUUCCAACAGGGGCGGCGCGUCAUUGAACCUUGGCAAGCUGCUCAUUUCCUGCACCAACACUAUCACCGCCAAGGCUACGUUCGGCCAGGUGUGCGACGAGGAGCUCCAGGAUCGGUUCAUGGCCGUGACCGGCCUGGCGAUCAAGGCCUCCGGCGGAUCCAGCGUCGGGGACCUGGUCCCGUCGCUGUGGUUCGUCGACGCCCUCACUGGGCUGAGAGGCCGUCUGUGGCGUGCGCGCCGGCAGCUGGAUGCCAUCCUGGACAAGAUCAUCGCUGAUGAACGCAGGGAGGGGCGGCGAGGUGACCACCUUCUCGGAGUUCUGCUUAGGAUCAAGGAUGAGGGGAACCUUGAAUUCCCCAUCGACAUGACAAACAUCAAGGCCAUCAUAUUGGUACGUGUCAAGCUUCAUGCACUAGCUAACGUAAUAAAAGUCUAAAUAGAUUGAAAAUGCUAGACAAUCCAUGAUAUACACUCCAACAAUAUGAUACUAAAUAGAUCUAAUUUCUUUUAUCCGAGAGUAACUUAAUUUUCAUUUUUGUUCAUGCCCCAUUCAGGAUAUGUUCACGGCAGGGACGGAGACGACGUCGGCAGUGGCCGAGUGGGUCAUGGCCGAACUCAUUAGGAACCCAAAGGUGAUGGCCAAGGCGCAGGCUGAAGUGCGUCGUACCUUGGACACCAAGAACCCAAUAGACCAUGAAGAAUACAUAGAUGAUCUGCACUACACCAAAAUGGUGAUCAAGGAGACCAUGAGGUUAAACCCUGUGGUGCCGUUGCUUGUCCCUCAUCUCUGUCAGGAAACCUGCGAUGUUGGCGGAUUUGAGGUCAAGGAGGGCACCAGGGUCUUGGUCAAUGCAUGGGCAAUGGCAAGAAGCCCCGAGUACUGGGAAAACGCAGAGGAGUUCAUGCCGGAGAGGUUCGAGGACGGCACGGCUACCUACAAGGGCUCGCGGUUCGAGUACUUGCCGUUCGGCACUGGAAGGAGGAAGUGCCCCGGCGAUACCUUUGGGCUGGCCACACUGGAGCUCGCGGUGACACGGCUCCUCUACUAUUUCGAUUGGAGCCUCCCUGCCGGAACACGGGUAGAUGAGCUCGACAUGGAAACAAGCGUGGGGAUAGCCACGAGGAGGAAGAACCAGCUGCACCUAGUGGCGACCCCUUAUAAGUGUGCUUGCUAGGCAAAUACUAUCUAUGUGCUCUCGUAUGUUCUUUUCCGUACACAAAAAAAAAUCACCGUGGAGUUUUUUUUUCCCGAGAAAUAACCUAUGUGGAGUGUAUUUGUAAAUUAAGUUCAUAACCUCUUUAUGCCUGCACAUGGACGGGUGAAUAGCUCAUGUGUGAAGUUUUUGAUGCGAAUUGGAAAGAAUGAAACGUAGUUGCGAUGAUUUACAUGGCAAUAAUAGCCCCUAUACAAUGGGAAUGGUCAUCAACG